GAUCAGGUGCGGGUGGAAUUUUUCGACAACCCAUCUUGUCAGUUUGUCCCUCCAAACGAUACCAGUCUCCUCUUCCGGAGCUGGGACAAUUGGUCUGAUUAUCCAGGCGUUAAUCUAUUGUUCCUGGGAAUACCUAUCUCAAAAGAUAUCGCACCUGAGGGCGGUUACAUCCCACCUAAUGUGCUAGUUUAUCAUGUUCUUCCCUAUCUGCAGAACUCUCCUGUUUAUGGAGGCAUCAUGGUUUUCCCCUACCUUCAUCACGAGGUAAAUUUCCAAUCCCUGCUACGGUCCUAUGCUCGUGCUGCCUGAUCAGUUCCUUCCUCUCGAUCGCUAUCUACUGAAGGAGGGAUGAAAUCAAAUGUACUCCUGCUUGUUAAUGCCGGAGACGAAAAUGGUAAAUAAAUAAACAAUGGGUUGGUUAUCCAUGCCCACAUUAAAUAAAAUUGUCGCAUGAAGCUCAAUCGUACGGGUUUGAUUUUGAAUUUCUGUCUGUUCUUCAGCAAAACAUAUGUUAUAUAGCGCGAAGAUUAUGGUUGUUUAUAAGUAUUUUUCUUUCAGUUGUCCUAUGUAUCAUCAUUAGAUAUACAUAUAUAUCCGUUCUCCAGUACAAACAUAUUCACGCAAGAACCUCAAUGGUUAAUUCGGAACAAUAGCUCACGAUGACUUGAAGUCUUCGUGGAAAUCAUUACAACAACAACUACAGAAUAUAAUAGACGUAAAUAUUAAAUGUUAAAGACAAAAUAUGUAAAUAGAUACUACAACAAUAACUACAGAAUACAUAGUAAAUUUUAUCAUCUAUUCAAUCUAUCUUUCUAAUUUCAAAACCUACUCAUCAGCCACCACUAAGUGCAGCCACCACUAAGUGUACACUGCCGACACUAGAAAAUGUGAAUCCCUUAAACAGCAGCAUAAAGUAGUUACAUACUUCAUAAUAUCAUUAUUCGGCAAUUUUUUGGAAUAAACAGUCUAAGAAUCACUUGUGGUUGGCUAACGGAUGGUAUUUAGUUUAUUCUUCUAAAAAUUAUACCGCGAGGUAAUUUUUCUAGUUCACUUUAUAACAAGGCAAGUGUUUUUGUUAGACUGACGAACGUUCCGGAAGGUUCAUGACUCAGAUUUUGCCAAUAACAUAAAAAUUCAUGUUUUUGGAGAUGAUUUUUUUUUUUUUAUCAAGCUUUCUCGCAAGUGACAAUUGAUUAAUAAUGCAGCAAAAGUGACGGGAAUACUACUACCAAAUCAAUAAUAACACUAGCUAAUAAUGAUGUAGUAGUAGUAUUAAGGAGAUGCGUACUACAGUUGCAUGCAGCCUUUCAUACUACAGUCCUCCCAAUCCAGUGACAUGAAAGGGGCGGGACGCUGCAUACAGGCAAAUUACACUUUACCCCCCUAUAGUUUAGUAUUUUUUUGUACAUAACUUUCCUAUAAUUUUAAAAGUUAUAUAUAAUCUCUUCAUGAUUUGAAUUAAAGUAUCAAAGUAACAAAAUUUGCAAUCCAUAAUGGAAUCAAUUAAAAUAUAAAAAAUGCCCCUUUAUAAAGUUAAAAAUUAUCUAUUGACUACAAGCGAGUUAUGUAUAUAUAGUGAAAACAAUAAGGAAGUUACAUAAUAAAACAUUAAAUCAUAAGAGGGUUAUAUCAUAAAAUAUAAAAUCAUACAGGGUUAGAGUGUCAUGCAUAUUAUGUUUAUAUAUGUUGAUCACUUCAACCAUUUGAAUUUUUAAAUAAGAAUAAUUUCGACAUUUUUAUAGGUUCCUUUACAAAUGAUUAUUUCCGUUAUUUUGACACUUUAAUCCAAAUUAUGAGCGGAUUAUAUAUAACUUUUAAAAUUAUAGGGGGGUUAUGUACAAAAAUACUAAAUCAUAAGAAAUACAAUGUAAUUUGCCUUUUUUUUUCCUUUUGUUUUACAUUAAUUUCCAUCUGUUCUCAUAUUCUUGUUUUCUUCCGCUUUCUUUUUAACUAAACAUAAGAAAUUCGUUAAUUGCAUAUUGGAUUACUAUUUUACUACACCGGUAACAACUCCAGCGCGAGAUGCGGGACUCCUCCCCAAAUGCAAUAUAAGUAGCAGUAGUAGGAGUAGCUUGCCCUUUGUGUCAUUCAAGUUCACAAACAUAAUCGACACCUCAUCGAAAACAAAGUCGAAACAGGCUGCCUUAUUUAUGAAACUUUUAUGCAUCUUCAAUUAACUUUAUAACUAGCCAAAUUCAACAUAAAUAAUCCAAAUUCAACAAUAAAUUACUAUAAUUUGAAUAACAGCUUGAAUUUAUGAAUAAAAAUCAAUCAAAAAAGAAAAAAAAAUUCGCAAUUACCAUUAUUGAAUAACAUGACCUUAGAUAUUAAUGGAUAACAAGAAUUUCACUAUCCCUCUAACAAGGAUUUUCAAAGCAUUCCUAGAACUAAUGGCCUGUUUGGCAAAUGAAUUUUUGGCUAAGUUUGUUUCUUACCAAUUUUUUAACAAUUUUAACUACAGUAAUCUCAAAAAACUGCUAAAAAUUUUUAAACUACAUAUUUCAAAAUAUACAAAACACAUAAAAAAAAUUUUCUUCCUCCUUUCUCAUUCCACCCCAACCCACCCCCACCUCACCACUGACCAAGAUUAGCUGGCACCGAAGGCCACCUACUCUCUCUCUCUCUUCCCCACCACCUCUCUCCCCCAUUCUCCCUUCCCCACCAACCUUCCCUUACCCCUUUGCCCAAUCUGGUCGCAUGACUAGAAAGCACCCAGGAAAGGAGGGAGAGGGGAGGGGAGAGAGAAAAGAGCACAAAAAAAUUCUUGUUCCAAUUGGAAGGGAGAGGUGGUAGGGGACGGGGAACGGAGAUGAAGAAGAAAGGAAAGAAAAGAAAAAAAGAAAGAAAGAAAGAAAAUGAAAAAGAAAAAGAAAUAAAAAGAAAAGAAAAAAGUUUGUCAUUUUAAAAAUUUUUGCUACAAUUUUUAUAGUGAGUUACAAUAAAAUUUUAGACAAACAUCUAAAAAACUCAUUCGCCAAACGAGGCCUAAGUUUCACCCAGAUAUUUAUUGGGAGUUAUUUGCCAAAUAGGGCCUAAGUAAUAUCUCAUUCUCUUAUCAAACUUUAUUGGAAUUGCCCAGUUUUUUAAGGUUUAUCUCUUUUUUCACGAAUCUUUAAUUCGUGAUUGGGAUCCGUUCAUAUAAUAUUCCUCAUUGGGAGGAUGUUCAUGAAACCCCUUCUACUCUUACAUGUUUGUUUAGAAGAUCAGGAGGCCUAGGACACAUUUUUAUAGCAUGUCUACCAAUUAAUGAUUGCAAGAAUUAGUUUCUAAUAGGACCAUUUAUGGCAAUCGAUGAGUUAGAAAUUUAAUUUAUGUUCAUUAGUUUUUCUCACAUGGCUUUAUGAUCACUUGAUUUGAAUCUUAAAACUACAGGUAAUUCUAGAUUGAAAAUCAUGAGUGGGUGAUGUUAUUGAAAAGGAUUAUGUCUUGAAGAAAUUUCUAGGUGGUUAUGUUAUAAUAUUUCUAGAUCCACUGUGAUAGCAUGUAGUAUGAAAUAAAUUCGGGGUGGAGCACGGAAUUUACUAAUGGAGUUUUAAUUGAUAGUAGAUUACUUUAAUGAAUAGUAAGACAUGAUUAUCACUUUAGAAAUAACUAAAGUUGAAAUGAAAAUAAGGAUAAUUAAGUGGAAUUACUUCUUGAUGUUUGGAUUUAUGUUGACGCAAGGGAAAUGUAAUGGGCAUUAGGUGUUUGAAAUUUCUAUGGCCUUGUAAAAAGAAUAGCGGAUUUGAACAUGAAGCAACCCUUCUUUGGUCUAGUGAACCGCUUUGAUAUACAGGUGAGAUCUUCUUCGUCCAGUUGGGUCAUUUCCUAAUAUUGGUUAGAGUAAGAGUAGUAAAAGGAGUUGACGAUUGACCAAAAAGGUGAGGAGGGAGGGGGGAACAUGAAUUGUCCUUGAGUAAAUAAUAUCUAUGCUCUAUGUAAAGGUGGAGAAAGCUUUUGUUGUAAAUAUAUGAAGGGGAAGAGGGCUUUUGGUACAAAUAAAAUUUUGUCAUUUUAUAUUAUUUUUUAACUACCCUUGCUAGCUACCCAAUGUAAUCAACUAUCGAUUAUGGUUAUGGAUUACUGCUAAAUAACUAUCUAUUUGUAUACUUAUUUUCAUGAAUUUUCCAAUACCCAUUGUCAAAAAUAUAAAACCAAUUCCUUUGAAAAUGAUUUCAACAAAUUUACUCAAAAUUUUAAUAAUAUGUUUUUUAUUAGGUGUACACAUAUUGGUGUGUGCCCUAAAUACUAGUAGUUUAAUUAAUACUUGUUCAUGUAAAGUGAUAUAAUUGGAAGGGCAGUUUGUUUUUAUGCUAAUCUGGUCAAAUUAAGUUUUGAGAGUGAAACUUAGGUGGGUAGAAUUAAUGUAAUACCUGAAAAUCAUUAGUUGGUAAUUCAUAAGAGUUGUUGGCAGAAAAGCUAGAAUGUAUAUCAAUUAGAAAUUAAACAACUAAAUCAAUUAUUAGCAUAAACAAGUAUAGAAUUCUUCUAAAGUGUUUAAAUCUGUUGACGCAAAAAUUAGAUCAGUACGCAAGAUAAACAACCAAUAAAUUGCUCGAUAUAGAAUCUUUAAUGCAUUCUAAUGCGAAUAGAAAAAUAAUUAUUUCACAUCCUAUCAUCCUUAGAAUCGGUUGUAAAUAAAAAUCAAUAAGAUUCUCAUAGUAUGGAAUGUAAAGAAACAUAGGAAAAUGCAAUGUAAAUAUGAAGAAUAGAGGAGGAUUAUUAGAAAUCAAACUUUUGAGAAAGUAAAAAUAAUUGCCAAUAGAAAGAGAGAAUCUAGAGAAAGCAACUAAGGUUUUGGUACCUAGUUUUUAAGAUCAAGAGUACCAAAAGUUAAGGAAUGGAAAUUUCUGGUCUUCAAUCAAGUAAUAGUUUAUUGGGAAAAUUUCCUUUACAAGAUACUGAUUUGAUGAUAGAAUCAUCUACUGCUUUUGGUGCGUUAUUAUUUUAUUGAUAUAACUUAUUGAGCUAUCAUUUUCUUAUUGAAUAAGAAUCGGUCAAAUCUUUAGAAACGUUUGGAGAAACAAAUUACAAAUUACCAGACUACAAAUUGCAAAUUCUCAAGGAGAGUAUGCUGCUGCUGCGUGAUAUGAAAAACAAAAUAAAUGUGCUUUUACAGGGCAUUACUCAAUGGAAAUUCCUCCUCAGCUGAUUGGCCUUCAAUGCAAGAAUUACGCAGAUUUUGUCAUAGGCAUUUUCCAGAAACCUGAGGUAUGCAUGCAUAGCGCCAUGACUUCUUGAACUGAAGGAUCCCCAAAACUCCCAAUAGCCCGACAGCAUAACCCCGUCCUAUACUAGCAUAAAACCAAGACCAAUUAGACUCGCGUGGCCUAUAUCAUCAUGAAUAUGCCCAUAUUUCGUAGGCAAUUUAUGUUCUAGGCAGUCAUUUGGGAGUGGCUCACCACAGAGUCCACUGUUUCCUUCAUAGAUAGAUGGAUUGAUUAAGGUCUGAAUUUGAUUCCCUGAUGGUAUUGGCCCUGAUAGCUUAUUGUGUGACGAAUUCAGGAAGUUUAACCAGUUUAAAGCAGAUAAGCUUUCAGGGAUUGCACCGAAGAGUUCAUUCAUUGAUAGAUCAAGCGACUCAAGUUGCUUCAAGCUGCCAAUCUUCUCGGGGAUUCUUCCAGUGAAAUGAUUAUGUGAAAGUUCAAAGUUAGCAAAUCAACCAGAUCCAUUAUCCCAUCAGGGAUCUCACCCACUCAAUUAUUUGUCGAGAGGCUUAUGGUUUUAAUGCGCAAAAGGUUCCGAGAGGAGUACUCAAGUUCUCCUCCUCCCUUGAAGUUUUGAAGCCAGGUGAAAUCGCCAAAUGCCCAGAGAUCAGUUCCUGUUUCACUUGAUACCAUCAUUGAGAAGUUGAUAAUACAAUGAGGAAUAGAUCCUGUUAAAUGUUGUGGUUAACUUUCUGAGCAAGAAAAUGUUAGGAGAAAACAGAAAGGGAAUAGAACAAAUUUGAGAGAGAAAGAGAGAUAAAGAGAGAGAGAAUGAAGGGAAUGAGAAAAUAUGAUCUGAAUGAAUUAAGAAUGAAUCGAUCUCAAAAACUGUCUGAACCAAUACAUCCUUCAGUUAUUUAUACAGGAUUGUGCUUAUUUGCAUGCAGACGUCCGGCUAACAGAAAAGAUUCCUUCUAACUAACUCCUCCAGCUAAGAUGCCAGCCUGGCAUAACUGACGAAUGAUCUGCUUGGAUUCUGCCAGGACACAACAUUGCUCCCCCCUUCAAACAAUCCUAGUCCCUAGGAUUCAAUUAUGGAAAUUGCACUCGAAUAAAGGACCAAUCUUCCCAAGUGGAGUUAUCCUUAUUCAAAUUCUCCCAUUCAAUCAGCACUUGCUCAACCUCUUGACCCUUCCUGUAAAUAACUCUCUUGUCCAGAAUGGCCUUAGGAGCUACCUUGAACUCUCCUUCCGCAGUUGCCUCGGGAGGUGUAGGGUGGAUUUGGCUCCCAUUGGCAGACUUCUUGAGAAGAGAAACAUGGAACACAGGGUGCACUGAACAUCCAUCUGGCAACUUCAGUUUAUAGGCCACUGACCCCACCUUCUGCUCAACCUAAUAUGGUCCUUAAUACCUGGCAGAUAACUUUAGGUUUCUUCUCAAAGCCACAGAAGAUUGUCUGUACGGUUGUAGCUUUAGGUACACCCAAUCUCCUUCCUCAAAUUUCCUAUCCGUCCUGCCCUUAUCCGCCAAUUGCUUCAUUCUAUUCUGUGCCUGCAACAAGUUUUCCCUGAGUAAGGUAUUCCAGUUCACUCUUUCUCUGGACCAAUCCUCCACUGCAGCAACUAGUGUCUGCGUAGGGGAUAAAGUGAGUUGUGAAGGUCUGUAUCCAUAGAGGGCCUGAAAGGGAGUCAUGGUCAGGCUAGUGUGGUAGUUGGUGUUGUACCACCAUUCAGAUGUAGGCAGCCACUUCUUCCACUUGCCUGGUUAUUGCAUGCACAUACUCCUAAGGUAAGUCUCCACACAUCUAUUGACUCUCUCUGUCUGGCCAUCUGAUUGAGAAUGGUAUGCAGAAGAGAAGCUGAGUUUAGUGCCUAGCAAUUUGAAGAGCUCCUACCAGAAAAUGCUGGUAAACACCCAGUCCCUAUCAAACACAAUGCAAGAAGGCAGUCCAUGGAGCUUAAAGAUUUGAUCAAAGAAAACUUCUGUGAUACCCUUAGCCGUGUAAUGAGAGGUUAUAGGGAUGAAAUGUGCAUACUUAGUGAGCAUGUCUACUACCACAUAGAUGGCAUCACUGCCUAAGGACUUAGGCAAUCCUUCUAUGAAAUCCAUUGAAAUUUGUUGCCAAGCUUGAUCUGGGAUAGCUAGGGGUUGUAGCAGUCCAGGGUAUAGACAAUUUUCAGACUUGCUCCUGCUGCAAAUAUCACACCUCUGCACAAAAACCUCUAUAUCUUUCCUCAUGUUAGGCCAGUAAAAGAAAGGCUUCAUCCUCUGAUAGGUACCCUGAAUCCUUGAGUGACCACCCCAACAGGUAUCAUGGAAACACGAAAUUAAAUUCUGCCUGAGGUCAGAUCCUGAUCCUACCAAAAUUCUGUCCUUAUGCCGUAUGACUUCCUUUUGGUAAGUGUACUCAGGAUGAGAGUUGGUACCUGUGGUCAAAGCCAUCACCAGUUCCUUGAUACUGUCAUCACCAACAUAACUAUCGCCCACUAGAAAGAGUCACUGAGGUGCUACUGCUGACACAGCAUGCACUUCUGCCACCCCAUUUCCUUUCCCUCCUUCCAUUCCCUCUGUUCUCCUAGAGAGAGCAUCAGCCACCACAUUCUCCUUUCCCCGUUUAUAUUGAAUUUCAUAAUCCAUCCCCAUCAGCUUGGCCAACCAUUUUUGUUGUAAGGGUGUUGUGAUUUUCUGUUCAAGUAAGUACUUCAAUCUCUCAUGAUCAGUUUUAAUCACAAAGUGCCCUCCCAAUAGAUAAUGUUUCCAUUUUUGAACUGCAGUCAUUAAGGACAACAGCUCCUUCUCAUAUAUGGAUAAGGUCUGGUUCUUUCUACCCAAUACCUGACUCAUAUAGGCUAUGACCCUACCUUGCUGCAUCAAAACAGCUCCAAUGGCAGCUUGGCUUGCAUCAGUUUCCAAAACAAAGGACUUAGUAAAGUCUGGUAGUUUUAAGACUGGUGUAGUACUCAUUGCUUCCUUUAGCUUCUGGAAAGCUUGAUCCGCUUCUUUACUCCAAGAGAACUGCCCCUUUUUAAGCAGCUCAGUAAGAGGCCUGGCGAUCACCCCUUAACUUUUCACGAAUCUCCUAUAGUAGCCUGUCAAUCCUAGGAAGCCUCUGAGGGCCUUAACAUGGGCAGGAGUAGGCCAAGAGAGCAUAGCUUCAACCUUUGCUGGAUCAGCCUUCACACCUGUCUCAGUGACUAUGUGGCCUAAAUACUCUACUUGAUUCUGGCCAAAUGCGCACUUGGACAAUUUAGCAUAGAAGGAGUGUGUUCUGAGGGUGUUCAACACUAAGGACAGGUGAUGUAAAUGAGUCGUAAGGUCAGGGCUGUAAAUCAGGAUGUCAUCAAAGAAUACAAGGACAAAUUUUCUGAUAUAAGGUUCAAAUACAGAGUUCAUUAAAGCUUGGAAAGUUGCAGGUGCGUUUGUUAAACCAAAAGGCAUAACAAGGAACUCAUACAAACCAGAAUGUGUUCGAAAAGCUGUUUUUGGAAUGUCAUCAGGAGCCAUUCGGAUCUGGUGAUAACCUGAUCUGAGGUCUAUCUUGGAAAAAAUUUUGGCUCCAUGUAACUCAUUAAGGAGGUCAUCUAUGAUGGGAAUGGGAAAUUUAUCUUUGAAGGUCAAGCUGUUCAAUUGUCUAUAGUCAAUGCAAAGUCUCCAACUGCCAUCUUUCUUUUUCACCAGAAGAGCUGGAGAGGCAAAAGGACUAUGACUUUUCUGAAUGAUACCAGAGGUUAACAUUUCCUGGACUUGUUUUUCUAUCUCUGUCUUUUGUGAAUGGGGGUACCUAUAGGGGGCAAUUUUGAAGGGCCUAGCCUCAGUUUUAAGAGGUAUUUUAUGGUCAUGAGUUCUGGAUGGGGGCAAUGUUAUAGGAUCAGAGAAAAUGUCCUCAUAUGUAGCCAGCAAUUCAGUAAGAGAGUUAGGCAUACUAGUCACCUGACAGUUGUGAACCUUCACCAUGCAGGACUGCUGCAGAGCUUUCCUGACCCUGUGCCUGAUGGCUUUGCCCGCAGUCUCUCCUCUCCUAACUUCACCUGUGCAGUCUCGGAGUCCUCCUGCAAUAGGACCUGUUCUCCCUCCCUGUCAAAGGUUAUCUGCAAUGCUUUGAAAUCAAAUGUUAGGGGACUGUAUUUCUUCAUCCAAUCGACUCCAAUUAUCAUGUCAUAAGGUUCAAGUUCCAAAACAAAUACAUCAUGCUCAAAUUGGUAGCCCUGGAUCUCCCACUUCAUCUGAGACACCCACUGAUCGCAAUGCAAAACCUUCCCAUCUGCAAUUUUGACUUUGAAAGGUCUAUGUUUCCUGAUUUUCUCAGGAUAUAAUUGCGCAACCGUAGGUCGGAUAAAGCAGUUAGUACUUCCUCCAUCCACUAAAACUGAUAGCUGCCGGUUACCAUACAGUCCUUGCAUUUUGAUGGUGCUAGAAGAUAACUCACCUGAGACUGAGUGUAGAGCCAGUACUACUGCUUGAUCUGCACUGGUACCCCUAUACUCUAUGACCUCCUCCUCCUCUCCUUUAUCUGCUCCCUCCUCCUCUACUAGCAGCAUGUGAAGCUCCUUGUUCUUGCAAGUGUGUCCAGGGGAGAAUUUCUCCCCACAUUUAAAACACAAAUGGUUGUCCCUCCUGUACUGAAAUUCUGAAGGCGAGAUUUUCUUAAAGACAGGCUGUGAGUCACUCCUUUUCUUAGUUUCUUCACUAUUAUUUGGCUGCAUCCUCCUGUUCCCAUUGGCACCCAUGUGUCCCCUACUGAAACUAGAUGGCAGCGGACUCCUGUGAGUUACUCUAUUGUUUUUGGAAAGUGCUUCCAAGAGGUGUUCCUUCCACCUAGCCUUUUCAAAAGCUAGCUGAAGAGAGUCUGGUUUGUGCAUUUUCACAGCAGACUUGAUUUCAUUCUUCAAUCCUCCCAAGAAGCAAGAAAUGUAAUAGGAUUCUGACAGAUUGGGAACUUUGGCCAUCACUAAUGCUCUUAGUUCCUCAAAUCUCUCCUGGUAAGCUACUACAGAUGAGGUUUGCUGCAGCUUGUUGAACUCCUCAAUGGCAUCAUCCUCUCCCAGUUCUCUGAAUCUUCUACAGAGUUCCUCCUUGAAUUCGUUCCAACCAACUCCUCCCUUGUCUUUUUUGAAGUUCUGGUACCAUAGAUCAGCUUGCCCUUCCAAGUGCAGUUCUGCCAUAUCUACCUGGCUCUCUUCCGAGACUCUACAAAGGUGGAAGAAUUUCUCGCACUUUCUCACCCAAUCUCUAGGGUUGCUCCCAUCAAAUUGAGGAAAUUCCAGCUUAGGAAUAGCCACUGUGUAGUGAUUCCUUGCUGUUACUCCACCACCAGUUCCUCAUUCGCCCAUUCUCCCAGCUUGAGUCCCACUGUUAUGGUUAGGGCUCCCCAAAAUCCCCCUAUCACCAUGCACACCUCUCGCAAAUGCACUGAACUGGUUAUUCAUAUCAGCCAUGAAUGUCUUCAUUUCCAGUCGAUUGGCUUCCAAUAAUGCCUUCACAUCUUGGAAGUUAUCUCCCAACUUUUCCUCCAGUGCUGCCGUAGAGUCCAAAACGGUCUGGAUCCGUGCUUCCUGUUUUCGUAGCUGUUCUUCGAAGCUCUUCAUCCUCGUCCCUUCGGCCAUGGCUAGUUGCAGCUGAUAGUCCAAGGACCACCAGCUCUGAUACCACUGUUGUGGUUAACUUUCUGAGCAAGGAAAUAUUAGGAGAAAACAGAAAGGGAAUAGAACAAAUUUGAGAGAGAAAGAGAGAUAAAGAGAGAGAGAAUGAAGAGAAUGAGAAAAUAUGAUCUGAAUGAAUUAAGAAUGAAUCGAUCUCAAAAACUGUCUGAACCAAUACAUCCUUCAGUUAUUUAUACAGGAUUGUGCUUAUUUGCAUGCAGACGUCCGGCUAACAGAAAAGAUUCCUUCUAACUAACUCCUCCAGCUAAGAUGCCAGCCUGGCAUAACUGACGAAUGAUCUGCUUGGAUUCUGCCAGGACACAACAUUAAACAAUUAUGAACUAGGUUCAGCACUUGAAGACUUGAGAGCAGGCAGAGCUCAUCAGAAAUGACUCCAUGGAAGUUAUUUGACUGAAAUCUUAGAAACUUUAACUUUGAUAACCUUUCCCCAAUCCAUGUUGGUAAAAUAUCUGUGAGUCCAUUGUCACCGAGAUCAAGAAUUUGUAAAUUUCUCAGGCGCUGCAUUGAGGAUGGGAGCUUCCCAACGAAUUUAUUUCGAUUCAAAUGCAGAAUCCAAAGUUGCCCAGUGAACUCGGAAUUUGACCGCAUAGACUAUUAUUUGCCAAGUUUAGGACCCGCAAGUCUGGCAAAUUUCCCAAACACAGAGGAACUCUUCCAGACAGAAAAUUGUUGGAUAGAUCCAGUUAUUUUAAAUUUUCCAACUUGCACAGGUCUUCCGGGAUACUACUUGUUAAAUGAUUAUCGCUGAGUAUGAGAAUAAAAGUAGAUGCAACAGUUUGACCAACAUCAGGCAAUGGAAUAUGUCCGGUAAGAAAUUUUUGUGAAAGAUCUAAUUUGUAAAUAUAAGAUAGAAAUGAUUUGAGAGAUCCAUCCAAUUUGUUGGACUUUAGAACGAUGCUUGGAGAAUUUCCAUCAGGAGGACUCUCCUUCAUUUGUUUGAACUCCAACGAGUUCCAAGUUAGGUUGUUGUCCGAGAAAUCUACUGAUGCAAUAUCAUAACAAAGCACUCCAAACCAGCUGGGUAUGCUAUCCGAAAUGCUUGCAUUCUGCAUCUCUAACCAUUGAACCUCCUUUUGCGUUAGCAGCCAAGCAGGAAAUAGCGGGCCUACUUUGAUGGAUGACAUCAUAAUUUCUCGGAGUUGAAAAAGAGGAACCACCAGCAGCUCACAUUCAAAGAGAAUAAGUUUUCAGGUAGGUUCAAUAACUUUAGAUCUCCGAGUUUCGCAGAGUGGUUUUCAGAUAAUACACCAGUUAAUGAGUUGGAAGAAAUGUCCAAUACUUGCAGCUUCGGAAGUUAGCCUAUUUCACUCGGUAUUGGCCCUUGCAUGUCAGAUCCAAAUAAUUAAGACUGCUUACAUUGCAAAGUGACUUCAACGUUGAUACAUCAAAGCAGUUUUCCCCUAGAUCGAGAUCAACUAGAGAGGUCAUUUGUUCAAAUAGGCCAUGAAUUGGACCAGAAAGAUGAUUAGAGCUAAGACCAAGAUCAUAGAGACUAGUAAGAUUAUGGAGCCAAGGAGGGACCAUGUGGUCAUUGAAAUCAUUUUCACCGAGCUCAAGGGAAGAAAGAGAUGUGAAAUUGACCUGUGAAAGAUGAGGAUUGAUGAAAAGUUCACAACUAUCUAAUUCCAGUCGUGUUAGUGAAGGAAGCAUGUUAAUUGUCUGUAACCCAUCUUCAACGGCACUAGGAUUCACCCCAAACAGGACUAGGCUUCCCAGAAAAGAGAGUCCAACAAUCCACCUGAGAUCCUUCUUCGUCAAUCGAUUCCACGUUAACGAGGGAGUUACACCUCCAAGUUCUAAAUGCCGUAAACAUGAGAGAUUUCCUAGAUGGUGGGGAAUUUCGCCAUCAAACACUGCAUUUGCAAGAUUUAAGUAUCUCAAGUUUUUCAACAAUCCAAGGAAUGUGGGAACUUGGAUUCCUGAAAAAUUAUUCUUGCUCAGGUCCAGGUCUUGCAAAUUGGUCAAAUUAAUCAAAAAUGGACUUAAUUGGCCUCCCAAGCAAUUUUUGCAAUAAGUAAAUACAUUAUUUGAGUUUAACGGCUUCGUAUUUUGUAGAUCAAGUUUAACGACAUGACUAGUGAUUUUGUGGCAAUCAAUGCCUUCCCAUAAACAACAAUCCUCUCCUAUCCAAGAUGACAAGCGAUUCGAUUCAUCUAUCAACCCAUCUCUGAAUUGAAAAAGAGCUUGCCGUUCACUCUCAAUAUAGGAGACAUUUGAAUGAGUAUAAGCUUGUUUGCUACAGCCAAAUGGAAAAUGGCUAGUGACGAGAAUAGAAUUCAAUAAGAACAUUACUAGUAGUAGAGAUGAAGAAGUGCCAAGAAGAUGAUGCUCCAUUGGAUUUAUUUUGAUAUCGAACUAUAUGAUUUGUACAAGUUUAAAAGCAUCACUCACCGUUGUGCGUUGGAAGAAACUAUGUGAUGACCGAAAGUCUUCGUGGAAAAGUUGAGCCAGUAAACGAUCAAGUAUUUAACUAACUACAAAAUAUAGUAAAACCAAUCUACUUAAGAUGCAAAAGAACCUUUUACUUUUCUUAUGACUAAACAACCUCAAGAGGCUAAGUAAAGAUAUUCUUUUACUUUUCUUAUCGUCAACUCUUUUAAUGGGUGUGGAUCAUGGAGUUGGUGAGGCAUUAUUUGAUUGGGAGCCAUAAACGAUCCAAAAAAGAUUGAAUUGGAAAUAUAAUCACAGAUGGGGGAUAGGAACUGGAAAGAUAGAUUAUGGGAGUCCGAAGACUGGCAUGAAAUUAGAAAUGGAGUAGGCUAGAUAGACAAGCUAAUAAUGUCUUGACUUGAGCUGAUAAUAUCUUAAGAGUCUGGUCAUUCGAUCUGCAGAUAUAGAUUUAGAUGAAGUGAAAUUAAACAAGAAGAUCGGUAAACAAACAUGAUUAAUUUGCGUAGAAAACUUGACCAUCUAUUGCAUCCGACGACUGCAAGUCCACUGGCCAAUAGAAGUCCCGAUCGGCCAUAGAAAAUCAAUAUAUUAAUUCUUCGACUUGGAUAAUUUAAGGACUACACCAAAUAAUUUGCAUCAGUAAAAUUUUUUAUUUAUGUAAGUGCUAGCUUUUCUGUUUCGUGGAUUAUAUUCUUAAUUUUCCUUGUCAGACAGUCUAGCAAGGAAAUCAUUUAAUUAUGGAGUUAACCUUUUAUACACUGACGGAAUAUGUCCUAUUAUCCAAUCUUGGAUGAAUGAUAAGUAAUGUAACUUUGAAUUGAUAGGGUAUUAAUUGUUAGUAAUUUUAUUGUUAAUUUUCCUCUUUGUCCUUGCCAAAUAUUGUUUUAAUUAUUAACAUAUACUUAUAUUUGGUAUUGGGACUAAUUUCAGGAAGUGAAGCAGAAAAGUGCUAAAAAAGGGAGAUCUUCUUGAGAUAAAUACUCCACACGUGGGAAGUUUCUAAAAGUAAAUACAAGUCAGGCUCCACAGGAUGCUACAAACGGAUUUCCUAUAUUUGUGCUGAUGAAGAAUUGACUUGUACUAGGAGUUCUACUAGUAAUAGGAAACAAAAAGAAGGGAACUUCGGUAGGCUAAAGACCUUUUUGUUUUGUUUUCUUCCUAAUCGGGACGGGACCACUGAGAAAAGGAGUUAGUGAUUGUUUAGGGAAUGUUUCACUCAGUUUUUUUCUUGUUCAUGCGUGCCUUCUGUUUGACAUUACUCCCCGCUGGAGAAACAACCUUCGCUUCUUGAUUUUUAGUGAAAAACGUGAUACCUUGGAAAUCAAUUAAUUUGCUUGGAGAUUUUCUUAUGCGGCGUGGCUAAGCUUCUCAUCUAGUCAAGGAUCAACGUGAUAACGCACUCUCGAAUAUCUGUGAGAUCGAAUUAGUUUUCAUGCAUUUCUUAAUUUGUUAAUAUUUGCACGUUGUCUACUUGAAUUUUUAUGUGAUUAUUUUGUUAAUUGGAUGUCAAGAGCCCGAUAUUCAAUGUGACUUAUUAAUCUCCUGCCAAAUUAAUCAAUUAAAUCCGUAAUUGUUUAAUCGGUUAAUAUCAGUGGCAACUAGCAUUUUUACACACUAGGGGAACGUGUAAUCUAAUUUUAAUAACCCUCAUAACGUGUUAUUGAUUGAGAUUAGGUUUUUCUAGUUCUUAGUGUAAUUAGAGAAUUAACUCCUACGGUCAUACUUAGGAGUGUUUUCAAGUUAGAGGUAAUCAAUAGUCGUACCUUGAUUAUCAAUAAAUUAAGGAAAAACUAGUCAUCAGUGCUUAUUAGCGACUAUAACUAACAUGUUAAUAAAAUUAAGUGAACCUCCCUUGCAUCAAUGAUUGGAUGAAUGGAUUGUGUUUGUGAAGUUGUAUCCUUGGCUAGAACUCGUCUUUUAUUGAUUUAAUUCCUGUCUACAAUCGUUUAGUUAAUUAUUUGUUUUUGGUUGAAUUGUUUAAUUGCUCUUAUUCUUAUUUCGACAAAAAUCCCCCAUUGCCAAUUGGGAUUUCAAAGAAACGAAUAUCCCCAAUUCCUAAGAAGACGACCCUGCUUGCCACUGUCUAUUUGUUAGUAAAGUUUGUCAGCUUGACAGGUUGUUGAGGCCUGUGCAAUAAUAAAAAUAAACCUAAUUGCCAAUUCAAAUAACCAAAACUCGAUUCCAAGUACUGGAGUAGGGACUCUAGGUGUGUAAUGGGUUACUUGAUUCACCCUAUUUCCGAAGAGUUUGGUUGAUCCGAUAUACUCGAAUGGAAUGAUUCUUUUUUUUCACAAAUAAUUAUUAAAUUGUAAAUAGGGCAAGUAGAGUCAUAUCCUCAGGGAUUGGGGAUAUUUAUCUCUUUAGAAAUCCAGGGUAACACAAGGGGUGUUUUUGUAUAAACGAUGACAAUUAAAACAAUUCAACUAAAAAUAAAAUAGCAAACUAAAAAUUAUAUGACAACUCACUAAAAUUAGAGCAAUGAUAAUUAAAGAUCUAACCAAGAAAUAACUUCAACAAUGGUUCACCUAAUUGGUCAUCGAUGCACAAGCAAUUCCAAUUAUCUAUUAAUAAUAGGUUAUAACUGCCAAACAAGUGAUGACAGUCAACCCCUCCUUACUGUGUCGGUGAUUAAGGUACGGCCGUUAAUCACUGCUUUAAUUGAGAAAUAAUCUUAAGUACGCUCAUAAGAUUUAAUUCCCCAAUUGCCUUACGUAUUAGAGGAGCCCUAUACUAACCAAAUAACGCACUACCAGGGUUAUUUCAGAUUAGCCCGCGUGUUCCCCUGACACAAACCCAAUCAUGCCAGUUAUCACUAAUUCAAGACAAUUAAACAAUUACGGAUUUAAUGCCCUAAUUGACAAUAGAUUACUGACAGGUGUCGAGCCUGUGCAAUAAUAAUCACCUACUCAAGAAAGAUACAAAUUUUGUAUAUAGCGGUGAGUAGAGUCGAAUCUACAGGGAUUGGGGAUAAUUCGUUUCUUCCAGAGUCCGAAGUAUGAGAAAUUUUUGGAGAAUAUAAAAUAACUAAUUAACUAACUAAUGAAACUACUAAUAGAAUUAAACAAGAAUUAAUCAAUAGCCAAUACGACUUUAGUCAAAGGUGCAACUUUUCAGACACGGUCCAUUCAACUGAUCAUCGAUGCAAAGAUAAUUCAAUUACUCAUUACUAGAUUGGUUAUAGUUGUCAUACAUGCGAUAAACAACCAACCAUUCCUUACUUUUUCGAUAGUCAAUGUACGACCGUUAACUAUUUCUCUAACCAAAAAAUAACCCUAAGUACGAUUGUAGGAUUUAAUUCCUCGAUUGCAUUAAGCAUUAGAAAAGUCCAAAUCCUAACUAAUAAACAUACUACGAGGAUUUGUUUAAAUUAGAUCAUACGUUUUUCUAACAUAAAAUCAAUCACACUAGUCGCCACUGGUAUUAACCAAUAGAACAAUUACGGAUUCAAUCAAUUAAUAUGAUAGUAGAUUAUUAGGUUAAUUCGAAUGUCGAGCCCUUGACAUUCAAAUAACAAAACAAUCAUAAGUAAUUAAAUCAGAAAACGUACGAAUACCAAUGAAUAAAAGAAAUAAGUAAAAUAAUUCGAUCUUACAGAUAUUUGGAACCGCAUCUUCAAAUUAACCCUUGACUAGAAAAAAGGAGUUAGUUCAUCUUCAUGGAAGAAAUCUCAUGCAAAAUUGCAGAAGUAAUUCUCGAAAAUAAAGCUAUGUUUCCGUCAUCCUAAUAGAAGAGACUGCAAAGAAGAAAACCAAGAAACGGCAAAACGAGGCUAGCCCCCACAAGAAUGAAAACUGUCCUAUCUAAAAACAAUGACUAACUCCUUUUUCCCUACAUGGUCCCCACCGGAUAAGGAAAAAACCAAACAAAAGGAUUCCAGCACUACCGAAGUUCCCUUGUAUUUCGUUUUCUAUUGCUAGUAGACUAAUUAGUACAAGGCAACUUUUCAUCAGCAAAAGGAAAGAAAGUCCGUUUCUUAGCACCAUGUGGGCCCGGUUUGUGGAGCUUUUAGAAGCCUCUCAUGUGUGGAGCCUUUACCUCAAGAUGGUAUCUCUUUUUUGUACUUUUGUACUUCAUUUCUUGAAAUUCAGUCCAAAUACCAAAUAUAAGUAUAUGUUAACAAUUAAAACAAUAUUUGGCAAGGACAAAGGAGAAAAUUAACUAUAAAAUUACUAACAAUUAACACUCUAUCAAUUCCCCCCCACACCUAAAUCAUGCUUAUCCUUAAGCAUGAGAAUAAUUGGACUCAACAAUGGCCAGCUCUCACAUCAUCUAUUGCCAAGUUGUGCUUAUACCAAAAUCAAGGUUCAGUGGCUAAAUUUCAAGACAAUCCUCCCGGUUACCUCCUGAAAUCAGAGACUCGUCCAAUUCAUAGUUAACUUGUCCAGGGAAUCAAAAUAUUAAACUAGCAACAGUCAGCAAUUGGUCCAACUAGCAACCAAAAUCUCAACAUUGAAAACCAAGGAUCAACAGACCAACAUAAUCAUAAGCUUACAUAUUUUUCACAUCUGUUCGUUUUCUUUUCUCCCUUUUUUUUUGUUUUUCUAUCCUUUUUUUCUUUUGAACGAAUAAAUGCCCAGUCCCAAACCAUUCAAGUCUUUUGACGCAAACUCUAACAUUUUUAGAUGAAAGAGCCCAGUUACUCAACUUUUCACCGCUUUAGGACCACCUACUCAUAGAUAUCGCCACUUUUUGACGCGAGAGUCGACACUUGUGGUGAAACUCCCGGUUACUGAGUGACGACACUAGCAGAGUAUAGCCAUAUGUUAUGCGCAUAAAACACCAAAAUACCAGACAAUUAAAUAACAUGGCCCACGUCAUCUCUUAAACAUGGAGAACUAAGGUCAACAGGGGACCAAUCCACACAACAGUUGCCAGCAGAAUAUUUACAUUGUCUAAACAAGUUAACCACAAUUCGCACAAAGUCAUCAAACUCACAAUAUUCACCAAGGAAACAUGCUCUUACUUGCCAUUGAAGCCCAAAUUAUAGAAUAAAUCACAUCUAGCAAUAAAAGAAUGAGUUUGCCAGGUAAUUGUUGAUCACCAAGAUAAGCAAUACCAAAAGCAGAAAAUUAAAGAGAUACCAGUCGAACUGCCCCCCUUCCACACCUGAAUGGUACAUUGCCCUCAAUGUAACAAUUAAAUAGCAAAAGCAAGAAGAAGGGCAACGGAACUUCCCUGAAAUCACGGGGACCGUGGCGGGGUCACAGCGGUGGGUGAGGCGUUAAUUGAGGUGUAAGACCCGUGUGGUGCAUAAACGCUUCCAAGUUCUGCAUAAAUGCUGACAAAACUUGCCCACCCCAAAAUCUCAAUAAAUGUCUCCAAUAGGACAAUCAAUUACAUAACUCAACCAACUGAAAUUAGCAAAUGUCCCAAGAAACCGGCAAUUCUAGCAACAGCAGUUCAAAAUGUGGACAACAACUUAAUCACAAGGUUUCUAGCUUUCAAUUAGGCAGCCAACCAAAUAGAAUCAACAAAUGUAAUCAAAAUGCCCCAACCAGUACCACUGGUGCACCUCACAGAUAAUGAAGCAACUCAAAUGGCCAACUAAAUCAACAAAAUGUACAAGGUAAGCACUCGAGGUCAACACAAAUGUCCCAACAAUGCAGCAAUUUCAAAGCACCCGCAGGUUGCUCUCAGCUAGUGAUUCACAAUCAACUUCACAAUCAACUAAAUCUAUGGCAACAAUCAACGUAAUAAAAGCCAGUGUGUCACAAGCAAGCAAUCAGAGGCACACUGGAGCCAACCAAAUCUCAACACAAACCCACAGAAGGCAAUUAUCGAAUGAAUGAGGCAACAAUGUAGCAGAUGAAUCGCAAGUGAGUGCAACAAACAACCCUCAAAAGUGAUGCUCUAAAUACUAAAGUAAGAGUUGAGAGGAGUAAAAAUCAAAUGUCCUUGAAGCACGAGGAUGGCGUGGCAGCCACGCGGCGGCGCUGGCGGCGUGCGACGGUGCACGUCGUCAGUGGCGGAGGUGAACAGCUGCGGUGCUACGCACGUCGUGGAUACGUAGGCAGCAGUGGUGGCUUGAAGGGAAGAGAGGAGAGGCCGUGGGUGGAGGUGGUGUGGUGGCGCGAGGGGAGGCGGUGGACGUGAGGUGGUGUCAGCCGAAGAGAAAGAGAAAGGAAUUAGGGAAGAAGAGAGAAAGAAAAAAGGAAGAAAGAAAGAAAAAGAAGAAAAGGGGAAAAAAUAGUUUUUGGGGGAUUUUUUUUUGAAUUAAUGUUUUUUAAAAUAUGAAUUUUGUACAACAAAACUGAAGGUUGAAACGGAAAAUAUUUUUAUUUUUUAUCUUUCUAAUUUUUUUAAUUAAAAAUUUUUUCUUUUGUUUUUGGGUCAUCAAAUAUGGCGUGGACACGCCAAGAUUAUAAAACAUCUACUGAUCUCAGGAGUCACUGACACAGCGUGGGCACGCCAAGAUUGGUAAACGUCCACUGACCUUGGGAGUCACUUUUUGCGUGCCCUUCUCGCGUGGGCACACCAAGAUUCCCUGUCCUAGUUACAGUGGAGGAAAAUAUCAAGAUCAAUCAGUACCUAAGUGAGAAACGACAAAUUUAAAGCAAUGAACAACGAAAAAAAAGUAAACAAAACCAAUAUUUGGGUUGCCUCUCAAAAGCGCCUUUUUUUUAACAUUUUUGGCUAGACAUUGCCAUAUUUAUUCACGGAAGAUAAAAUCGUGUAGCUCAUUUCAGUGUUUUAUCUUCUAUGUAGUCCUGAUAACCCUCGUAAAUAGUGUAAUCUUUGAGUACAUGAGUUACGGUCUUCCAUGGACUAGUAGAUGGCGCCAAACAAGUCAACAAUAAUCUGACUUCUUUACUCACUUCUCCAUCAAGCACAUUUAUUGGUUCAAGAUAUUUUGUCAUUGCCAUUCUUAAUUUAUUCCUGUCAUGAAAUUCAAAAUUUUCUGGUAUAAUAAAGUCAAUCUCACUAACAGGAAUUGAAGAAUAAAAGUCAGGAGAAUAUUGAUUAAGGAAUGGAGAAGAUGUCACCGCAUUUGGAGAUUGUUCACUGGAUUCAGUCACUUGGACGAGUUGAUAUUGGGGUUUCAUUUCUUGCACCUCAACUUCCUUUUCAAUUGCAUCUUUAGAUCUAUUUUCUUGAGACUCUUGCAGCUCCUUGUCACUUGUCAAGAUAAUUACAUUCUCAUCUUCCUUAAGGUAGAUGAUGGUUUGAGAGGGUAAUUCUUCACAAAUUAGAGAAAUCAAUUUACUCAUUGUAGAUGUCAAUUCACGCCUUCCAUCUUCCGUCUCUUUAAUCAUCCUUUGUGUCUCUUGUUGAAAUUGAUAUGUGUUAGUAGCUAUUAAUUCAACCAUUUCUUCAAGAAACAUACCUGAUAUAGAUGAUGGCUGUUGUUGUUGAUAUUGAUGUUGAAAAUCAAUUGGUUCUGGCGUAUAAUUAAAGCUGGAGUUGUCCCACCAUCUUUGAUCAUACCCAUUUGAAUAAGGGUCAUGCCAUGUUCGAGAUUGAGGUGAAAAAUAUCCAAUCUUAUUGAAAUAGGCAUUCAGGUAAUCUUGAUAUUCAAAGCACAUACUGGUCGAAUGAUCCGUAGCAUAACAAAUUCCACAAGUUGCAGCAGCUAUUCUUUCUAUAAGAAAGGUUAGUGAAUCUGAAUAUUGAUCAUCAGAAAAAGCACAAGCCUUAUUUCCUUUUGUAAGAAUAAAAUUCAGUCUAUCACCAAAAUAAAGACUGUCAGCAGCCAUAAACCAGUAAAAAAAAAUAAGAGAAAAAAAAUGAAAACAAGAUGAACUCAAAAAAGAAACAAAUUAAUCAGGCAUCAGUUCCAGACAACGGCGACAAAAAUUGAUAGGUGUCGAACCCGUGCAAUAAUAAUCACCUACUCAAGAAAGAUACAAAUUUUGUAUAUAGCGAUGAAUAGGGUCGAAUCCACAGGGAUUGGGGAUAAUUUGUUUCUUCCAGAGUCCGAAGUAUGGGAAAUUUUUGGAGAAUAUAAAAUAACUAAUUAACUAACUAAUGAAACUACUAAUAGAAUUAAACAAGAAUUAAUCAAUAGCCAAUACGACUCUAAUCAAAGGUGCAACUUUUCAGAUACAGUCCAUUCAACUGAUCAUUGAUGCAAAGAUAAUGCAAUUACUCAUUACUAGAUUGGUUAUAGUUGUCAUACACGCGAGUCAUAUUCCCAAUUUACAGAACCGGAUUCCUACCAACAGGAUAGUUAACUGCACUAAAUUCAAAUGGCCAUAACUCAAGUUACUAAAGUCCGAUUAAGGCGUUAUCAGGGGUGUUGGAAAGAUAAGAUAUAGUACUACAACUUUUAUGUUUUGGAUAAAUACUGGUUCAGUACAUAUCAUGGUGAAAAGACACGACUAAAUUGGUGAAAUAUCCAAAACUGAUCACUGGAUUCACCUGGGGCAGUCAGGGUAUUUCGGUCUUUUCACAGGUUACGCUGCUCCGAUUGAGCUGAAAUUUUACAGAAAACUAUAAAAACAUCAUUUUCUAUAACUUUUAUGUUUUAGACUAAGCCUAAUUCGGUCUCUAACAUGGCAAACUAGAAUCGGACAGAACAGGGUAUACCUUAACUUCAAUUCUGGAAAUUUGCUAUAAUUAAGGUAUAAAUCUCAUUUUAGCUUGAAAUGAUCACUACCACCUCUUAUACCAACCUAUAUAUAUCAUAUACUACCAAUACAACAAGUAUGAUAAGUGAAUCAUUCAAACCCUAACUCAAAUUCAUUAUCCCAACCAUCCAAAAUCACUUGAUAUAAGUAUUACAACCACAAAUACAAGCUACUAAGUAACUCCAACAUGAUUAAGGAAAAAGAAAAGAGUGGUCAGCCAUAUUACCUCAAAAACAAAGCUUGCUAGAGUUAUUCUCCACUUCUCCUUGAAAGUUUUGGUUCCUUCAGCUUCCCAAGCUCUCAACCUACAAGUUAAUUGGUUUAGUUUUUCUUGGUUUCACUCACAACUCUUGAUUUGAGAUUGGAAAUAGAAACUCUCUUCACUCUUUCUCCCUCUCCUUGCUCUCAGCCAAAUAAGAAAAAAAUGGUGAAGAAAUGAGUUAAAAUGAAAAUAAGAAGGUAAGAAAGUUGGCUUGGUCAAAGGGCCUUAAAUGGCCAACACUUGUCACACUUAGGCUCUCACAAUUUUUUUUCUUUUCUUUCUCUCUUGGGGUCAAGAAUUUUGGCUGUCUUGAAGGGUAUUUUGGGAUGAUUUUUUAUGAAAUAAAAGUAAGGAGAUUGAAGUAAUAAAGUAGUAUUCAAGUGAUGUGUUCAAUCGGUAGCGCGCGAUACCCGUCGGUCCGAAUCGUUUUUUUUUUUUAAAUCGCGUAUACUAGGGUUUUUACUGAUAAUUUACUACCUCAUUAUUACUACUUAUAAUCCCAUAUUUAAUAUCAUUUAAACUCACUCUUAAUCACUAAAUUUGAUUCACCCUCGGUACCGGAUAGUCACCCUACGGAUAGACGUAAAAACCCUAAUUCACGUUAACUUAAAAACGAAAAGGGUGAACCCUUAAUUCUAUAUUCAUUUGCACUUAUUGUGGGGUGAUUGAGUAGUAAGGCUAUUAUAAAGUAAUAUUUGUCAAAUAAAAGGGGAUUUUUAAGAAAAUAUAAGGAAUUUGCACGUCCUCACACUCUCUCCCCCUUAAGAGAAUUUCGACCUCGAAAUUCAUACCUUGAGUUGUAAACAGGUCUGGAUACUUCUCUCGCAUGUCUUUCUCUAGCUCUCAGGUGGCUUCCUCCACGUCAUGAUGUUUCCAUAGAACCUUCACUAGUGGGAUCUACUUGUUCCUCAAGUCCUUCACCUUUCUAUCUAGUACUCGAAUGGGUCGUUCCUCAUAGGCUAAUGACUCAUCGAGUUCAAUAUCUUCUGGUGGCAAACAUGUGAGUCGGAUCUGGAUGGUAUUUCUUAAGCAGAGAAACAUGAAAAAUGUCAUGGAUCCGAGACAAACUAACUAGUAAUUCUAGUCGAUAAGCCACAUUCCCUAUCCGCUGGAGUAUAGUAAAGGGUCCUAUGUAUCUCGAUUGCAACUUUUUCCCUUUUCCUCCUUUAAUCUUUCCUUUCAAUAGAAUAACACGAAGAAAUACUUUAUCCCCUAUCUCAAAUUUCAAGUCCUUUCUCCGAUGAUCGGCAUAGCUCUUUUGUCGACUUUGAACUGUUUGAAACCUUUGACGAAUCACCUUUACCUUUUCGUAGGCUUUCUCAACCCAAGAUAUUGUAGGCGGAUCUAUGAUCUUUCUCUCUUCUACUUUAUCCCAAUGGAGUGGAGAUCGACACCGUCGUCUAUACAAUAUUUCAUAUGGGGCCAUUUGAAUAGACGAGUGAUAACUAUUAUUAUACGCGAACAACAACAACAAGGUUGCGAGGAACUACAAUCUGACUAUCAACAACACCACCACCAACAGAAUAUUUAGCAGCAACAGCAGAACCAACAACAGCAGCAGCAGUAUCAUCAUCAAAACCAACAGCAGUAGCAAGAUCAAUAUCAGCAGCAGCAAAAUCAGCAUCAGAAGUAGAACCAAUAAUAGAACUAGCAAAAUCAACGGUAGCAACAGCAGCAGCAAAAUCAGCAGCAACAGCAGAACCAACAGCAGCAGCGAGCAGAAUCUGCACGCAACAACAAAAUGAAGAAGUUUUACGAAAUCAACAAUACACAAGCCAAGGGACUCGUCAACCCAAAAAGGCAGGGAAACGAAAGUUAACAGAUUCAGAAAAGGAUUAGAUCAAUGCAAAUUAUACAUAUUUAUGUAAAGAACCUCCUUUCACAGUCGAAAAUUGGAGAGGGAGAUAGAGUAGAGAAACAGCUACAAGAGGAGGAACUUCACCUACAACUACCAGAGGACAACCAAGCGUCAAAAGAGGAUCAACAUCUGAAAAUUGAAAAAGAAGUAAAACUAUAGUUAGAUUGGAACAUACUUGAACUACAUUUUGCCUUUCUGUAUCUUGUUUGUUUUGGGUUUAAACAACAAUAUAAGUAAUUUUUCUUUUGAUAUGUUGACAUAUUAGGAAUAUGGUCCAUAUGUACAAAUAAUUUAUUUUAUUCAUUUUGAUGCAGAUUGGUCUAUGUUAAUGUAGCACUUGUCUGUUUAGUUCUUAUAUCUCUGUCAUUGAUGAAAUUAGUAGAACUGAAAUGUGUUAUUUGAAACAUUUUUGACACCAAAUUAUACUUAAUUUCAUGUGAACAAGUCAACUUUUAUACAUCAUUGUUUAUAAUUGAAGGUACAAAAGGGGAUUUAUAAAGCCAUUUGCCCUUUCAAUAUGCUACCAUUACAUCUAACUGAGCACCUAUUCUUCAAUGAUUUUCAACGACCCCAGAAAUUUGUAGCACGCCACCAGAUUUAUCUAUGCUUCUAACAAACAUUGCGAAGACAACUAUUAGCCAAGGCAACAAUACACAUCGAAUGAGUGUCUUAUUGGCUGAUUUGUACUUGGUAAUUUCAGCUUCAAGUGGAUUCAUUUUGGCCUCCAAUUUCAUAGCUUUUGCUUCCCAUUUUCUUGCUACUUUUUCAAAUUCAACUAUUUUUGCCUCCAUUCUAUUGAUCUUUCUGAGUAGACCCAGUAUAAUCAUUGUAGAUCGAGCGCACAUUUCAUCAUCUAUCCAACCCCAAUAGCUACAUCCAUUCUUCAAAACUAAACAAAUUUAUUAUGUUUCUUACACAAUAAUAAAUUAAGUAUCUAGAAAGAUGUUACAAACCUUCCUCAAUGCGCAUUUGGCAAAUCUUCUUCCCGAAUUUUGUGCAGUCCAUGAAGUUAUCAUUACUGUCUUAAUCCCACAAACACAAGUAGGUAGAGGUAGAUGAGGCAUCGAUGUAGGCGACAUGGAUCUUGCUGGCAUGGCUCUUGGUGGCGUUGAGCUUGGUCCUACUUCCUCUAAUCCAAGCUGGGCUUCUUCCAUUUCUUUCUCUCUUGUUGCAGUAGUAGCAGAGCCUUCUUUAGGUUUAUAUAAUAAGAAAAAGAAGAUGUAUGUUGAACUCCCUAAAUUGACCCUUUCUUUUAUCUUGGAAAUCGCGUGGGCAGACAGAUCGGCAAACUUAACAACUAAAUCUAACAGAAUGGUCUCAAGUCUUAACUUUAUACAUUUUAGUGGCCAAAAUUAGACUUUUAAUAGUUGAAUGACCAAAACUCGAUGAUUGCAAAAGUUUAGUGGCCAUCCAGAUAAUUUGCUCAAAAAAAAAGGAUUUGCUUUAGAUUUAUUGGCAUGGACCACUUAGUUACUGGCUGGUUGGAUUAGUCCAUGUCCAAGAAUAAACCAAUCAACAACUUGAUAACUUAGAAGAUAGGAUCCACACGCUUGUGGUUGGAUUAGUCCAUGUCCAAGAAUAAACCAGCCAAAAAUUGAUAACUUACAAAAUAGGGUCCACACACUUUGCUAAGUAGAUGAGCUUGCGAUUGUUCUUCAAUAAAGUGGACUGGUACACACAUUAAAAAGAAAUUUAAACUUUGGCCUGUUUGGAACCUCAAGUUAUUUACAAGUUUGUAUGCUACUAGUUUUUUAAUAACUUUUGCUACAGGAACCCCCAAAAAUUUGUCAAACUUUUUUAUCUACACAAUUCAAAAUACCCAAAACACAAAAAAAAAAAAAAAUUCCCUUCCCUUUUUCUUCUUCUUCCUCCCCCACCCCAACCCACCACCACCUCCGUCGCUGACCACCACUUCCGGGCCGGUUCCGGCGCCGGAAGAGGCCUUCCUUUUUUUAUUCCCUUUCUCCCUCUCCCCCUCUUCCUCCCCCGCCAUCCUUACUUUCCACUCAUAGAGUUUCUAAUCUACACACAGGACUUCAAAGCCAUAUGUGAGCCCACGAGUUCUAUAAAAGCUUGUUCAUUUAAUUAAACUGUAACAAUACAAAAUUGCAUUAGACUGAUCCCAUAAAAUUAUCCCUGCCAAGUUUGUAUGCAAAUCUACCUAUAACACACGAAUUUGGGAAAGAAAUUCAAGAGAUGAAAGCUACUCUACAGUCAGAUUUCGGCCACAUCAAUUACUUUUACCUGAUUUGAUGGCGAGGGUGGCGGGGGAGCGGGAGGAGAGGGAAAAUUGCAAAAAAAAAAUUUGGUACCUGAUCUGUGUGGCAAGAGGAGGAGAGAGAGAGGGAAAAUUAGAAAACAAAAAGUUGGGGAAAGGCUCCUCCAUCGCCGGCAGGUGAAGCAGCGGCAGGUGAGGGAAGGGCAGAGGGGAGGGGGAGGGGGAGAGAAAGAAGAGGGAUGGCGGGGUAGGGAGAGGUGGGGAGUAGGAGAUGGGGAGAGAAAAUGCAAAAAAAAAAAAAAAAAAGUUUUCUGUUGCAGACUGCUUGAUGGCAGUUUCGGGAGAGGAAUAGAGGAGGGAAGGGGAAGGGGGAAAGGGAAGGGAGAAGAAGCGGGAAGGGAGGAAAGAAAAGAAAAAAGAAAGAAAAAAAAGAAAAAGGAAAAAAGAAAAAGAAAGAAAAAAAUGAAAAGGAAAAAAAGUUUUUCAUCUUACACAAAUUUUUCUACAACUUCUACAGUGAUCUACAGUAAAGUUUUAGACAAACAUCCAAACAAACUAAGGUUCCAAACAAUGUUUUAAAAACCGGACCGUUAAUUGAACCGGUGAAGUGAAAGGGUCAAAGUUCAACCGGUUGGACCGGUUCAAUCUCGGUUCAAUGAAUUUUUUAAAAAAUAAUUUAUAUAAAUAUAUAUGUACAAAAUAAGACAUGUAAUGGACUAAUUUAAUACUUUAUAUGAUGAAAAGUUUACUAUUUUUUAAUAACUUGGAUUUUUAAAAAUAAAUUUUUUAAAUUAUAAGUUAAAACAAAUAAAUUUCAUCUCAAUUUCAAUUAUAUCUAAAUCCAACCCAAAAAUAUCACAAUAUUUUGAAAUUAUACAAAAUUCAUGCCUAUGAGAAUUUAAAUUUUAAUUUACGUUUUGGGAUUUAGAGAUUGCAAUUUAAAAAAGGAAGUUUGGAGUUCGAAAAAAGUCAAGAAAAUCGAAAAUAGAAAUAUAAACUUGAUAAGAAACAAAAAAUGAGAUAAAAGUGAGUGGUUGUGGCAUUAAAUAAUUUGGGUUAAAAAAAUAAUGGACAAAAACAAUUUAAUGGACAAAAACAAAAUUAAAAGAUGGAAGAAAACAUCAAUAAAUUAAAAAUAAAGAGGUUUGAUUAAAAAGGGAGUGACAAAAGAAAAGAGGAUAGAGAGAGAGAGAGAGAGAGUUGAAAAUUAAAAAGAAAGAGCCAUGAGAGGAUGAGAUUUUGUAAAAAAAAUGGAAAAAAGAAAUAUGAGUAUUUGCUUUAUAUAAAUAAGUUAUCAAAAAAAAUUAAUAAAAUGUGAUGGUGCAACGGUUAAUACAUUGGUCUUCUAUUACAAAGGUCUUGAAUUCGAAUCUUGAUAGCUGCAUUUAAAAAAAAAAAAAAAAAAAGGAAGGUUGAAAACCGGUUCAAUGGCGGUUUUUUCGGUUCGACCGAUUCUUGACCGGUUUUCUGACAAAGUCAACUAUGGCAUUGAACCGGACCGGUGCCAUGGCCAAUUCGCGGUUCAACCGGUCGAACCGGUCGGUCCGGUCCGGUUUUCAAAACAUUGGUUCCAAACGGGGCCUUUGUUUCAUGAAAACUUUUUACAUUAUUUAUAUGAAGCGUAGAGAUUUUUUUUAUACAAGUAGGUUUAGAUAAAUGUCAUAUUAUCAGUGUUUAAAUUUUGAAUUCAAUUUUUCCUCAUAUAUCAUAUAUUUACACCCGUUAGUAUAAAAAAUCUUUACAGUAAUAAUGUAUACAAUAUUAAUGUAUAGUUGUGUAUAUCUAUACUUCUUUAUGUCAUGAAAACCUUGUUUAACACAUUCAAUGAGACUCGAUAAACUCUUUUUAUUUUGACUUGAUAAAUUUUUAAUAAGCAUAAAAGUUUGGGUGGUUUUUAAACUAUAAAAAGAUUGAGACCAAAAGAGGAAUAAACAGAUCAAGAAUUUCAAAUGUGCAUUUAAAAUUAGGAGAAGCAAAAAAAGCCAAAAUAAAGAGCCUUCAAAAUCUUGACUGCCACAUAAAAUGCUCCAAGUUGGGCAGAAAUUUUGCCAACGUGUUGGGUCUAAGUCCAUCCAUCAAUGGAAGUUGUGACCUACUAUGGAAAAUUUGUGCUGAAUUCAUGGAAAUUUUGAUUCUCUAUCAGUUAGUUAUGAAAUUGAUUUUUCAAUUUACGAUCCUCUCUUUUGUAAUCUAAAUUAAUUCAAAAUUAUUUGUUAAAAUCACUAAACAAUUAGUUGUGAAAUUGAUUUUUUGAUUUACGAUCCCCUCUUUUGUAAUCUAAAUUAAUUUAAAAUUGUUUGGGAUAAAAUCAUUAAACGGAUUGGAAAUUUGUCACAUACCUUAAAGUUGAUAGAUCAACGUUAAAGAAGCAAGCAAAUUAGGUUUCCAUGAGAAUAACAAAUUCUAAAGCAUGAGGGACAAAACUAAAUCUUAAAAAAAAAAGUCCGCAAUGCGUGUUGGAUGGCUACCAAAAAUGGUGCACACUUUGUGGUAAAAAAAAAAAAAAAGAAGCUUUGUGCAUACUUUGAUUUUUCUUUUUAUUUUUUUUGUUCCUGUUCCUUGUCAAAAUUUGAUCAUUUAAAAGUUAACAUCGUUGAAUAAGAUAUUUGAGCAUUCAAAAAACAUUUUAUACAUAAAGUGAGUUGCAUUUAGUGUGACAAACACGAUAAUUGGAUGACCUCUAUUAGUUUCUCCCAAAGGACAUGUAUGUAUGAAACUCCUUUUUCCUUUUUGACUUUUUUGAGCUAAUCCAAAUUUCUCUCUUCUAUGAAGGCGCUCUUUGACAUUAAUGUGACAUCAUAAAGUGCUGCCUUCAAGAAAAAAGAAUAGAUCAGCAACCUGGAAUGAAGAUAUCAAAUCAAGAAAAACGAAGAAACUUGUUUGGACAUCAAUUUUUCAAAGAAAAAUUACUACAUUUUUCGUAAACAUAUUUUCCAAUCAUCUUUUUACCUCAUAUAUAUCAAAUUAUUAUAAUAAUUUUUCGACAAAAAAUCUAGAAAAAUGUAAUCCAAACAAAGCACGUUGCCUUCAAGAUCAGGAAGUCCAUGUGUAGCAUUUCAAAGGGGUUAGGAUAAUAGGUUUAGGGUUCCAAUACUUUCAAUUGUUGAAGGGAUCUCUUCCAAGCAAUGAACUGUUCAUGCCUCUGAUUUUUUUUUUUUUUUGGUCGACACAAGGGUGUCCGGGUCAAUCCUUACGGGGCCCAACUAAUCCCCUGCGGCCUGGGCCCGGCGCCCCAACCCGGCCCGAACACGUUAAGUGCGCGGAGGAAUCCAGCGGAGCGGAGACUCGAACUUGUGACCUCAAGAUUCACUGGUCAGACGCGUUCAUGCCUCUGAUUAUAUGAGUCAUUUUAGAAGGAAAACAGAUAAAGCCACCCUAUUGGGCGAUGACGUUAAAUUCAAAUGAUUGACGUACAAAAUUCCAAACGAUGGAUUAAUUGUAUACACGUAGUUUGGAAAAUGUUUCCAAUUGGAUGGAGAUUCUCUGCAAUUGCAUCAUGCAAUUCAUUUAAUUCAACGAAAUUAAUUAUAAGACUUUGAAAAGUUUACGAGUAAAUGGACACCGUUUUGAUGGAUGCAUGAAUAGCUUCAAAAAUUGACUUCAGCUGAUGUUAUCUUGUCAUCCAAUCUGCAUCUCAAAUUUAUAUGUGGAGGUGUGGUGAAAAUUAAACAAGAAGUUCCUGUGAAACUAACAUGUUCAAUGGGAAUUUAAUUCGAUCAAUUAAAACUUGGCCUUUAAACGUAAGCCAACAAGAGUCCGAUCUUCAAUAACAUAAUCGUACUAGUUCCUAACCGUUACUUCAACCGGAGUACAAAUAAUUUGUUGAAAGAUUCUGUAAAUUUGAAAAUUACUUUUGGUAACAAUAAAAUUAAAGUAAACAUUUUGUUUUUGACGAUGCAAAAGAAUUUAGUUUGAAGACCUAAACAAUUGUAGUAAACAUUUUGUGCAAUAAAUUUGUAGAAAUAUUGACGGAUGUUGAUGAUUCAUGAACACAAUUGACAUACAUAGAAUGGCUCAUAUAUAAUUCAUUAAAAGUUCCUAUAACUAGGAAAGUCGAAAAGGAAGAUAAUUAAUUGUUGAAAAAGAAGAAUGGAAAAGUAGGAUAUAAAUAAGGAGGUAAUUAAUUACAGGAAAAAAAUAAAAUUGUCUAAAUUUUAGGAUUAGUAACGUCUAACAUAUAUCAAGCCAAAUACUAUAAUAACAACAUAAAACAUGAUUGCAAAGAGAUACAUACAUACACUGAUCUAUCCGGAGUCCAACUGUGUAGCGAGGAAUACACUGCUCUAUUGGAGCAUCUGGAUGACGACGACAUCAUCAAUAUCAACCAACUGAAUCUAUUACAAAUUCAUUUUUCAAAGACUACAACUUUUUUUGACAUAUUCUGGUUUCAAUGAUGAUGAAACUACAAAUACAAAUUUUAGUUUUGGAUUCCAUAAACUACAAAUUCGUUCUCACAAGGUUGAUGGCUGAUGCUAUUCUUGUUUCAAAAAUGAUGAAACCCGUGGCUCUCUCUGGUACCAGUUUAUAAUCUCAAGUCAAACACUGACUUGGAAACGUAAUGAAGAUGAACUUUGGGUUUUGUUAGUGAUUUGACCCAACAAUUAGGAAUUAUUAUGUAAUAGUAAUGCAGUGGAUAAUUAAAAGGGUUUACAUGUAGAGAAGCCAGGGGCAGAAAGAAAGUGGUUCAUAUCCUCUAUCCAAGUUGUCUUUCUAACUCUCUGUUUAAGAUUAGUGUUAUCAGUGUUUUGAACGGCGUAUUUGGGCAAGUUUCAGGGCGAGCCUUAGAGCAAGAUAUUCUCAAAUUACCCUUGGACGGUUAAAUGGGGCGUUAUUGUUAUGGGACAUUCGCCCCAAGGAUCGAGGCAAACGCCAGACCGUUUGGGCAAAUUUUUUUUUGAGGCAUAAAAAAAAUAUACAUUUAAAAUCCCAGUACUUUUUCCCAUUUUUUAAAGUUUCAAAAAAAAUCUAAACUGGAUUUUCCCUUCACUUGUUUAAAGAAGUUGAGACCCUUAAACUCAACUUGCAAUUUCUGAAAGCUUUUCUUAUAUUAGCCUAUAAAUUUAAGUUGGCAAACAUGAAUGUUAGUUUGGAAUUUGAUAAUAAAAAAGAGGUGAAAUUUCAAAACUUUGUCCCUCACAUUGAGGAUACUCUAAAGAAAUAUGAAAAAGACACUUGCUUUGAUAGUUAAAGCUCACAAGUAUCAUUUGCUAGUAGUUUAGAAAAGAGUUUUCGCAACUAUGAUCAUUAGUUUGCGGGAUGAUAAUAAAGUUUUUUAUGCAAAUAAUCAUCAAAGUUUACGGUGGUUUAUUGGGUUUCUGUUCAUGGGAUGUCAUUAGUUGCACAAGCAGGUUUUAUUUUAAUCACAUAAGGUUAUAAUUUUUCUCUAUUUUUUGGAUAUUUUUAAUAUUAUAUAUAUACACACAUUUAUAUAUAUAUAUAUAUAUAUAUGUAUGUGUUUUUAUAUUUUUAAAAUAUUAAAAAAUAAAAAGAAUGCCCUGCCCAUGACUUUCGCCUUUUAAAACACUGUCUAGCCUAAACGACACCAAUUGGAGCCGGAAAACUUUGAUGACGUAACUUUGCACAGAGGCAGAGCAAUCGCUUCUUCCUCCACAGUGCACUUUACCUCAACCCUUGCCAACUACCGAACACCAUCAUCACCUUCCAUCCCUCCAACAAAUCCCACCCCGAACCUCGCUGACCCGGUUGUCACCACCCGUUCUUUCUUUAGUUAUGCCGAGUCCUUGAUUCUUUAUAUCUAGUUCGCUUCCUCCUUGUUUCUCCAUCCUCCUCCUGCUCUUUCUCAGUCAGAGGACACACAAACACAUCUGCAAAUUAUAUCCAACCACCGACGAGUUUGUAGGAGUAUUUUAUUGCUAUAAGCCAAAUCGACUUUCCUAUCCCAAAACUGACUACGAGAUGGCAAUAUAUAUUUUAUUUUGGACAAAUCUCUUUGACGUAAGAUCAUCGGUUUAAUUUUAAUUCCUUUAAUUUAAAAAUGUAUUCCAAAAUUAAUAGGGGAUGUUCAAACAUCUAAAGAUGUGUUUGGAUUGUAAUUUUUCAAAAAAAAAAAUUAUUACGUUAACAUAUUUUUUAAUUACCUUUUUAUCUCACGUAUAUCAUAUCGUUAUAGUAAUUUUUCUACAAAAAGUCUAGAAAAAUGUAAUUCAAGCAAGACCUAACUUAUCGGGAGGAUAAUACUAAUUAAAGUGGGCUACUUACUCAAAAAAAAAAAACUAAAGUGGGCUUCUGGAGGACAAAGAAGAUAAGAAAGAAGAGGAAGAAUUCCUAGGCCUGAUGAUGAGGAGGACAUGGGAGUGGUAGGUUGUUGAAGCCUUGUGGGUUGUGUUUGAAACUGAAAGUUAGGAAAGGAGGAGUUGAGACUUGAGACAUGGCAGAGAGUUAAAACAACAUUGAUUUAAAUUUUUUUUUCUUAUCUACACGAUAAAUUCUAUUCUAUAUAUAUUAAAGAAGAGGAAUGAUCCAUGAAGAAUCAGAGAAGAAGUCUAGAAAAGAAUGCAACCCACGGAAUUUGAUUCAAAUUAGUUGGUUCAAAAUUGUUUUAAGUAGGUAAGUGUAAGCACAAAUUUUAUUGCUUAAAAUGAAAGACAAGAAAACUUGCACAAAUAUCAAAUUUAUUAAAUCAAACAAUAGGUGGGUUACAAUCUCUGGAAACUCUUGAAUCAAAGAAUUUAAUCCCCUGAUUCUUUUCUUCGAAUAGCUUCAAUUGAAGGGCCGUAAAUACUUGUUCUUCAAUCGAAAGGAUGUUUCCUACAAUUUUGGCGUAGAAAACGAUUAAUUUGAUGACGGCGUCACACACUUGGAACUUCAAGUCUUUAACACCGAUAGCAGGAGGAUUUGUUUGAUUUGACUUAGACUUGGAUUUGAGAAAGAAAGCUCUUGAGAGGAUUUGACAGAGUUUCUCCGAAUGUUAGGAAUUUUUCUCAUCUAUUUGCUUUGAGGGAAGACCUUUAUUUAUAGCCAAAAAUAUGUAGGCUAAAUCUUCAAGAAAACCCUCCAGAAAUCUUCCUGCAUUUUGGGUAACUUGUAACUCAAGAAACCUAUUUAAUUUGGGCUUAAAUAGUGGGCAAACCCAAAUGGUCCAUGGUGAAUUAAUAAAGCAAUCAAUUCACUCUAAGUUAAAUGACCAUUAUGAAUUUAAUUUGAUUUAAUAGCCCAUAUAAUAUUGGCCCAAUUUGUCAGUCCAAAACAUAAUGGACUUCUAUAAUUUAAUUUAAUUUAAUCAAGAUCAAUUUAAUUUAAAUAAAUCUCGAUUAAAUAAAUUAAAUAAAAUUUCUUUGUCUACAAAUGCCCCCACUUCAAGGCUCAAUUGAAGCUUGCUUGUCAAGGAUUGUAAUUGAGACUUGAAGUAAUUGAUUUCUUCUUUUUUUUUUGUAUAUAAAAGAAAGCCAAUUCAUUUGCUAAUUUGAGCUGGGAUGAAUACAUGCAAUUCAAGAUCAUAUUUAUGAUCAAAAGUCCCCACGGUCCAUGUGUCAUAUGAGGUCUAUGGCGAGGUGCAAUACAUAGGAUCAUUCCCUAUACAAUCACAAUGAAUUUGCUGCCUGCAAUUAAUCUCGAACCUGCAAUUGGGAUCCUUUCAUGACCAUUGCACCACCAAAACAUUUAAUAAUCAAAGCACGGAAAUCAAUUUGUUCGAUGGACUUCCCAUUCAAUAUUCACCAUAAACUCUAGAGAACGGAAACACGGUGCUAAGAUUAGGAAAUAUCUUCAUACCUCCGCACUCAAAAUUAUACGCAGCAGAUAUUAAAUCGAGCUGGUAACUUCAAGCAACUUCCAAAUUCACGACGCUGCUAUAGUCAGCCUUCGCAACUGAACCAAAUUGAUUUGAAAAUAGAAUCAUAAUGGCCGUGGCUUCAUUUUUUUUUUUUUUUAUGAGACCACCUUCCAUGUGAUUUGCGGUUGAUUCUAUGAAACUAAGAAAACCACUUUCAAUCAUUUCCAUCUUCCAUGAUGCAACAAACCAGUAAUCGUCCAAAUCGAGGCUUGAAAGGAAAAGGUACCAAAACCCGAACUAGGCAAUGCAGGUUCAAAUUCCAAUAGCUUUUUAACUUCAAUGUAGAUCUUUUGAAGUUGAUAUGUAACUUCUAAAUUAGCUAUUGGACCCAUAUUUCCAAGUUGCAUGAUUUCUAAAAUAACCGGAACUUGCCAAAUCUUGGAUGAAGCAUUAGUAGGAAGCUUGCUUAACACUCCAAUUACUAUAAGCAAUCACAUGCAACUUCCUCAUAUUUUAAGCGUAGCCUUUGUGGAGAUUAGGGAUGGCAAUGGGAGCGGGUGCCCGCGGGAGGCUCCCGGGGCGUGGGUUGGGGCGGGGGCGGGGGGGGGGAAUUUUUUCCCCCCGCUUAGAAAUGGGGCGGGGGGCGGGGGAGUAUACCCCCGCCCCAUCCCCCGCCCCGCCACUCGCAAAAAAAAAAAUAUAUAUAUAAUUAUAUAUAAUAUGUAAUUUAAUUAGUUAUAAACUUAUGAUAAUGAUAUUAUUAGUUAGAUGUAUUAUAUAAUGUAUAUUAGUAUAUGUAAUAUAAUUAAUAUUAUCAAUUAUACGAAUAAUUAGACAUGUCUACUAAUAGAAUUUAUUAAUUAGUUAUACUAAAUUUACUAAUACAUUUAUACUAAAUUUCUAAUUAUACUUAAUAGAAUAACACUUUUUUUUCUGAAAAAAAAGCACAAACACAAUAAUGAAUUAGUGAUUGUAUUUGUACCAAAAGUGAAAACUUAACUAUUUAGUUGUAUUUAUUUCAUCAUGUUGGAUUGUAUUCAAAUAAUUUUUGUUUGAUUGUUUUUAUGAGUUUCAAUUGUAAAAUUAAAAUGAAUAAUAACUUGAUGAUGUGUUGAUAUUUUAGUACUUGAUUAUUUAUUAAAAUUUAACUAUAAUAAAAUUUUAUUAACCUAGCAGGAAAAAUUUUAUUAACCCCGCAGAUGCCCUCGCUGGGGAAGCGGGGCGGGGCGGGGACGGGGUGGGGGGAGUGGGAGGCGGUGGACGGGGCGGGGGCGGGGGAAGUUUGUAGGUAGCGGGGCGGGGGAUGGGGGAGGGGUCCCCCGCCCAACCCCGCUCCAUUGUCAUCCCUAGUGGAGAUUAAACCCAAGCUAUUGGAAUCGUAUCAUUGCAGUGCCUUGCUAGUCACCAAAACGAAUUUAUUGCCCGGAUGGUAGCCCUGUUGACUUUUAGAAUCCCAAAUGUCCCAAGAGACUAGUUAUGAAUCUUUAGGCAACUAAGCUUUUGGGCAAUUUACUCAAGUAGACAUGUAUGGCUCCACUUUCCAAACUUCUCACGUAUCUAGGAAUGUAUUGAAACUAGAAAGUGCUUAAACCAACCUACGGCAUACACGAGCUUCUUAGUAAUGUGGUACUCUCCAAAUUUUAACAGCUUCCUAAUUCGAAUACUGCUAAAAUUUUCCAUGCAACUUUAUAUAAGAUAUUUCCUUGCUUCUAUAUGAGGAGACACAACCUGCACGACACAACUUGCAAAGUUUUCCAGUUUGCUUGGAGACUUACAAUUUACGAAGUCUUCUAGCUUGCGCAGUUCUCCAGCCUUCGUUUAGACCAAAAUUUUCCAGCUUUCUUGGGAAAUUUACAAUUUGCGAAGUCUUCUAGCUUGUGCCGUUUCUAGCUUUCGUUUAGACCGAAAUUUUCCAGCUUUCUUGGGGAAUUACAAUUUGCGAACUUCACCCCCAGGUAACUCGCAAGCUCACCUAGAAACUUUCUUACUAAGAAAUUUAAUUUUCUCACAUUUGUGCCGCUGCUGACUUUUAAAGUUCUUCCUUUUUUGUUUUUGAACUGGUUGCCAUUAGGAAUUCGAUCUUCUUGCACUAGUUGCUUGUUCAAUUGACCCAAUAAGACUUAGUGCACAUAGGGACUGCAUGGCUUUGAUUCAUGCUUGACCCCCUGUCUCAAGUCAAUUUCGGACUCCAUUGUCACUUUGCAUGUGAAUUGGCAUCAUAUGAAGAUACGAAAUUUAUAAGCACCAAUUCCUUUUAUUUUUCUUUUUGUUUUUUACUGCCGGACAGAACUUGGCUCAUCAUAAACCUGCAUAUUACACGUUCUUUUGGUCCUUGAAAUCCGUAUUGCAUGACCUUGCAUUGAACGAAUGGCAUAGCCGUCUCAAGACCAUUGGAUACAGUAACUUGCCAAAUGGUUUCUUCGUGCUAUUAUUCAUUAAUAAUUGGUCCAAUGCCAAAUCACUCAAACUUCAUUUGUUGCUUUGCAUGCAAGCCACGACACUUACAAUCGGGCCAAGUCCAUAGUUUUUUUUUUCAUGUCAAUUUAAUUGAUAACUGACAUGAAGUGUUCACCAACACAUGCAUUGCAACUUUCUCGGAAAUGCGUCUUUCUCAUGAGUUUUUUUUUUUUUGUUGCAGCUUGUAUUGAUACCCACUGAAGCGAGUUGACGUUCCAGUUGUGUUUGGCACUUUAUAGCUCGUGGAAUUCAAAACGCUAAGGUAGCUCACAUGCCUCAUGAUUUUCACUUCUUGUCAAUGCCGAUUUUUUUUUUUUUGAUGUGAAAGAAGGAUCCCCGACACAUCCUGUAUGGCGGACAUUUAAUUUGAAGAAGGCGCAACCGCAAACUCCCACGAGAGCCAUAUUAUGGCUUGAGGAGUACAAAGGAAAUGGUACAACCAAAAUUUGAAGAUGGCGCAACCGCAAACUCCCACGAGAGCCAUAUUAUGGCUUGAGGAGUACAAAGGAAAUGGCGCAACCAAAAUUUGAAGAUGGCGCAACCGCAAACUCCCACGAGAGCCAUAUUAUGGCUUGAGGAGUACAUGAAGGAGAUGACGCAACCAAAAUUUGAAGAUGGCGCAACCGCAAACUCCCACGAGUGCCAUAUUAUGGCUUGAGGAGUACAUGAAGGAGAUGGCGCAGCCAAAAUUUGAAGAGGGUGCAACCGCAAACUCCCACGAAAGCCUAUUAUGGCUUGAGUACAAAGGAGAUAGCGCAGCCAAAAUUUGAAGAUGGCGCAACCGCAAACUCCCACUAGAGCCUAUUAUGGUUUGAGGAGUACAUAAAGAAUGAGACACGAUUACCCACUUCAAUAAAAACUUACCCAAAAUUCAAGAAGCCUUUUACUGUCUUCGACCAUGUCAUUUUAACCAAACUUUCUUUUUUUCUUGCUUUUGUUGCAGGUGAGUCUUGAUACAAUGGUGGUAUUCAAGAAAGUCACAUCUUUAAACGAAAAGUAUCUCCUUAUCGCUGACAGCGAUGGUGACUCUGGUAACAAAGGAACGAAAUUAUUGGUGCAUCCCCCCAUACAAGGAACUUACUCUGAUAAAUGGCCUUCUCACCAGUACCCAAAACUGAAGGACUGGUCACUUGAACUUUCUCAAGAUGAUGGCACGAAAGUCCACUCCUUGAGAUCCCUUAUUCAUAAUAAGGAGCCAAGGAUAACUCCCUUUCAAACCCUUGGCAGGCGGAUCAUAGAUCGAGAUGCACACUGGAGCCCUUCCUUGCGACUCAAUGGUGCAUUCAGUUACAUCGAGAAUUAUUAGGAGUGGUUGGAGGAUAUUCUCGGGAGGAGCAAACAAGUGCUCCGUGAAAAUUAGUUGUUUGACGCCUUAUAUACUUCACUUUUCACAUAUGAUAGGAAUUCCCAUGUACUUAGGGCAUUCUGCGAGGCGUGGUGCCCGGACACUAAUACCUUGCAUACAUCUGUCAGGGAAUUGUCUCUCUCACUUUGGGACCUGCACAAGUUAGGAGAACUUCCAAUCAUCGGGAGUAUUUAUGAAGAGGUAAUCCCAUGUACAGAGGAGCUAACUGGAGUAAAUGAAAAGAAAUUAAGGCAUAUUCCACAAAGCUGUGAGUAUUUGUUUGCAGCCUUACAUCAUCUUCAACAUGGAGAAUCCAACAAAACUGGAGUUUCGGCUGCCCAAUGGAUUAAGUUCUGAUUUAAAGGCAAAACCAGGUACUCAGAGCCAAAGCAGAGAAGGAUAAAGAUGGCAUCCCGUGCUCAAGCGAUCCAAAAUCUGGAUGGCGAAAUUGGACAACCACGCAAAUUUUCAAGUCAAGUCAAGACAAUGGCGUAUUUGAUACCAUCAGAAUUAAACUUCACUUGCAGGAAGAGACCUAUCUUGCAACAUUUAUAUCUUGUUGGCUCUGUGUCUUUGCUUUACCAGAUGAGGACCUACAUUAUAUUAGACCAUCUACUUUUAAAAUGGCUAGUAUAAUGGCUGUCGGUGGUAAGACUUGCCUUGCUGUUCCUGUCCUGUUAAACAUAUAUCGUGGGCUUGAUAAAAUUUCAAACUCAGCUACCCCAGGGUAUGCACAUGCAGCUUUUCCGGUGCACUAUGUAUAUGCUUGGUUAGCGAGUUAUUUCUCUACUCAUUACUCGACUCCAAAUAUCAUGCCUGGACCCACCAUGAUCAACUAUGAAGGGGGUGCACGAUACUUUGAUGAAAAUAGUGCUCGUGACCUCAUUCAUGAGGAAGACAAAGCAACUUGGGGAAUCACUUCUCUUGUGAAGAAUCGCAAUGAACUUUUUAUUGACAAUGGCAAAUUAGCGAAUCUCGAACUAAGUUAUUUUGUAAGCGCCUGCUCAAAUUACUUAGUUUUACAUGCUGAAGGGGAUUUCCUUGUUGAGCCAUAUAGUCCAUAUAGAUUUGCGCGGCAAUUCGGUUUUUAUCAAGUUCCUUCACAGGAACUCGGGGCAGAUGUUCGUUCCACAAGUUAUGACUUGAGUCGAAUACUCUGGCGCACUGCCAUUCGCAGUAAAACUGAGUCAAGGGAACUUUUCCCUAACUAUCCCUUGAAUGCUAGCAAACACACAUCUUCAGGCUUUCAAACAUGGUGGGCUAUGGUGCAUGAUGAUCAUCUCCUCAAAGGGCGUGAUGCUUUGAUUAAGAGUGUCCAAUCAAAUGGGGAGCAGAAGAAGUCGAAAGGGAAGGAACUUGCAAGUUUGAACAAUCCUUCCAAGGUUGGCAAUAGUUUUGAGAUGAAGCAAAAGACUACGAGAAGUGAGAAGGAAAUUUUGAAGAGUUCAAACAACAAGGCUACUACCCCUGAGAACCUUACUCCUAAUGAAGAAUUUUCGAAGGGUACUUCAUUUCAUCUUCCUUCAAACAUUGUGAAGGCUAUUGAUCAUGAUUCUUGUAGUUUACAUGAGAAGGAGCGGAGCGAGCCUUUUAAUGAGGAGGAUGAGCAAUCCACCAGCACGGAUCAGCAUUGGAAACGCAAGAAGUCCAAGGUAAUGACUCUCCCCUUGGAUGAUAUUGGUUUGGAUCCUAAAGAACUCUUUAAAGACAUUCCGGAUAUAUCUGUGCCUGGUAUAAGCCGUGCCAAUAUUGUAAGGACCCUCCUUGUUUUCUUUAAUCUAGCAUUUGAAAUUUGCUUGUUAAUUUCACAUUCAUGGUUUGUCUCACAACAUUUUCCCUACAGUUGGAUGAUCAAGACUUGAUCUUCAUUGAUGAUGGAGAACCAAGUCAAGUAUCAGUUGAAGGACCUACUGCAUUUGAACUUUUGGCCAAACAAGUGGUCAGUUCUACCCAACAAAAGAGCGCUAGUGAGAAUUCCAAAAAGGCAGCAGAGGAUGGAAAUGUGAUUUAGGAAAUCAUGCCAUAGAAGGCGGAGCAUAUGACUCCAUCGGCCAAAAGGAAACUCAAAGUUUUUGAUCCACCAUCGUGGCCAAGGGCACCUCGAGUGUCUGAAUUUUGCCCCUAAAGUGUGAUCUCAACAUGUCGUCGAGACUAUAUCCAAAUGUUGUGGAAUAACUUGAGGGUGAUGAUAUCUCUAACAAUCUUAGAGCGCAUGCCUGCUCUUGAAAUGAAAGCAAGUGAAAUCAUGGAGGAAAUGCAAAGUUUCAAUGCCACGGAUAUCUCAAAUUUGCAAGACCUUUUGAAGUCUUUCUUUGCAAAUGCAGCUCGUUACGUCGCAAUGAAAUCUUCUCUUUCAAAUAAAAUUUCAGCUGAAUCAUAUGAUGAGUUGCUCUCUACGGCCACCCAACAUCUUAGAAAUGCUCAGAGUAAGGAGAAACAAUAAGCAGAAAAGAUCUCAACGCACAUAUUGAAACUUAAGGAGUUGAUCGCGAGGAAGUAGAGUUAAGGAAGCGACUUGAGUUCUUGGAUGCUCACAGAAAGGAGACACUUUCACGGCUACGAGAAGAGCAAGAUGAGCUUACCCGAGUGCAAGGUGUGAUGGUCGACUUACAAAAUGAAGUUCGAAAGAUUGAGAAUUCCUCGCCCCUACUUGCUGAAGAGAGUCAAACUUUGGACAAGAUGCAAGUAUUACUUGAAAGCAACUGAAAGGAGCUGUCGUCAUUUGAAUUCUAGGAAUAGUUGCAAUCUUUCAUUUUGUUUCAAAUUUCAUCUUUUGUUACCUUCUCAAAGCGUGUAGCUAUGAGCACAAACAUUUCAUAAUGAAACUUGAUUUUUUUUUCAUUCUUGCAGGCGUCCUCGUUUUUCCUUAUUUUUUUAAUAGCCACCAUUUUAGGCUAUUAACUACAAUACAAACAAUUCCAUAUUUGCAUAAUUUUGAUCACAUUUGAAAAGGUAAUUAUCCAAAUAAUUUAGAAACCUGAAUAAUACACUUUCAAGUAUAUGUCACAAAAUAAUUCGAACUGUCUUAAAGAGAACCGCUCUUUUUUUUCGCAACAAAAGAAUCAUCCGGACAAAGAAUUUAGUUUUAUAGGAUUGUAACUGAACUUAGAAGUUGCCCUCUAAGCUACCUACGUAUCCCAAAAGGGAAUCAAGUCACACGUAAUUCCUACCGUUCACAGUUUAAACUCUUGCGGGUCAGGAAUAUCUUUUUAUUUUCCACCUUAAAUUUGAUGGAGUGUUUCAGCAGUUUAACCACGUUCUACACUAUUGGUGAUUGUUGUCCACAGUUUUAGCUCAUGCGGGUCUGGAGCAACAUGCAGUUUAGACUCAUUCAUCAUGGAGUACUUCAUUUUUUUUUUAUCUAUGGCAUGUAUAAUUUCAUGAAUUUUUCAUUUAUAGGACCAACUUUCACGCCAUCUUUGUCCACCAAUUUGUACGCGCCAUUCAAGUAGACUUCUCAAAUAAUGUAUGACCCAUCCCAUUUGGAGACGAAUUUGUCUUUAGUGCGAUGAGUCAUAACUAUUGGCUUUCGAACAACAAGUACCAUGUCUCCAACUUAAAAGAAGCGACGCCGAACUUUCUUAUUAAAAGCUCUAGAGAGACGGGCUUGAUAGCAUUCCAGAUUUUGUUGGGCCUCCAAUAUCUUUUCGUCUAAAACUUCCAAUUCUUCAAGGCGCAGGCGAAUAUUUUCUUCCUCCGUGAGCCCUUCUUGGAUAGCAAUUCUCAAAGAAGGGAUUUGUUGUUCAAGGGGCAGGACAGCUUCUACACCAUAGACUAAGGCAUAUGGUGUGGUUUGCGUUGGAGUUCGAUAUGUGGUGCGAUAGGCCCAAAGAGUUUCGCCUAUCCUUUCGUGCUAAUCCUUCUUUGAUUUUACCACCACUUUCUUCAACAAGUUACAUAAAGUUUUGUUGAAUGCCUCUGCAAGACCAUUGGCGGGGGCAUUAUACAUGGAGGACUUGCGUUGCUUGAGAUUAAAUUUUUCACACAACUUAUCCAUCAAGCUAUUGGAGAAGAAUUUUUCGUUAUCAGUGAUAAUGUAUCGGGGAACUCCAUAACGGUAAAUAAUAUUCACACGAAUAAAAUUUACAACAUCUUCCCUUCUAACUUGCUUGAGCGGUAUGGCUUCAGCCCAUUUAGAAAAGUAGUCGGUCGCAGCCAAUAUAUAUAAGUGUUGACCGUACGACUUUGGUAAUGGCCCCACAACAUCAAGACCCCAAGCAUCAAAAGGCCAAGAAGCAACGGUCGGGUGUAACGGCUCAGGUGGUUGAUGAAUGUAAUUUGCAUGAAACUGGCAAGCUUGACAUCUUUGAUCAUAUUCUAUGCAAUCUUUGACCAUAGUAAGCCAAUAGUAGCCCAUCCUUUUAAUCCGAAAAUGUAAUUUGGGACCGGAUUGGUGAGCUCCACAUAUUUCAGAAUAUGCCUCGUGCAUCACCCGAUAUGCCUCGUCUUCGCUUAGACAGCGCAACAGUACACCUUCAAAUAAUUUUCAGUACAGCGUAUCCUUGUACAAGAUAAAACGAGGGGCACGACGACGGAUGUCAGUUCUCCUACGUUGCUACUCAGGUAAGUUUUGAUAUUUGAAAUAAUCAACGAGGGGUUGUCUCCAAUCUUCUUUGUCAAUUUCAUAGGUUGAGACCACAUGAGCGUCGCCUCCUUCAAUAUUUUCAUUAUUAAUUAGUGAUGGAACUACCCACUUUUGGCAUACACGAACUUGUAUCUCAUAAUCCGGCAUGACAAGUGAAGAGGCUAGCACAGCUAAUGCAUCAACUUGUUUAUUUUCCCUUCUAAGAACAUGCUUAAUACUUGCACCUCCAAGCCGCUUCAUAAGUCGCGUUGCAUAUUUGUGAUACGGAAUUAAUUCGAAUUUUUUGACUUCAUAACUUUCCAAGAGUUGGUUAACUACCAAUUGAGAGUCACCAUAGAUUUGAAGUUCCUACUGCUCCAUGUUAGCAGCUAUUUCAAGUCCGAGUAUGAAAGUCUGGUACUCAGCGACAUUGUUUGAACAAUGUUGAUUUAGGGUAAAAGAGUAUAAUAAUAUCCAUCCAUCAGGAGUCACGAAUACAAUCCCCGCUCCAACCCCAUGACGAUGAGCAGCACCAUCAAAAUACAUUGUCUAUGGUGGGCGAAUUUCAAUAAGGAGUACAUCCUUAUCUGAUAGGUCAUCACUUAACUCCCAUUCAGCAGGUAUCGGGUGAUCAGCAAGAAAAUCCGUCAGAACUUGUCCUUUCACAGUUUUUUGAGGCACAUAAAUAAUCUCAAACUAUUGUAGCUGAAGAUACCAUCUAACUAAAUGAUCGGAUAAUACUGGCCUGCUCAUCACAUACUUUAUGGGAUUCGCCCUGGAAAUGAACCUCACACUAUGUGCUUGAAAGUAAUGUUUUAAUUUCUGUAUUGCAAAAAUAAGAGCUAAACACAACUUUUCAAUCGACGAGUAGUUUAGCUUGUUAGGGGUCAUCAUUUUGCUUAAAUAAUAAAGGGCAACCUCUUUUCCUUCAUUAUUUUCUUGUGUAAGCAAUGCCCCCACUGAGCAUUCUUGUGCAGCAAUAUAAAGAAGUAAUGGCUUUCCCUGAUUAGUGCAGCCAAAACAGGUGCUUUCAUAAGAUAAGACUUAAUAUUAUUGAAUGCAUUACUACAAGUCUCAUCCCAUUGAAAUGUCACAUCUUUCUUCAUCAAGCGACUAAAUGGUUAACACCUUCCUGCCAAAUUUAAGAUAAAUCUCCGCAGAUAAGCUAAUCGCCCUUGAAGAAUUUUCAAUUCAUGAAUGUCACGAGACUCAUGCAUCCUCAAUAUAGCAUCAAUUUUGGCCUGAUCAAUUUCAAUACCUCGAUGGCGAACCACAAAAUCAAGAAAUUUCCCUGACGUGACUCCAAAUGCACACUUGAGAGGGUUCAUUUUGAGUUGAUACCUUCUCAACCGAUCAAAUACUUGUCUCGAGUCCUCCAAAUGAUUACUCCUUUUCUUUGAUUUAACAACUAAAUCAUCCACAUAACAUUCGAUAUUUUUAUGAAGCAUGUCAUCAAAGAUGCUUUGCAUUGUUCUUUGAUCUGUGGCUCCAACAUUUUUGAAACCAAAGGGCAUUACUUUAUAACAAUAAAUACCUUUAAGAGUACGAAAUGCAGUGAGCUCCUCAUCCUUAGGUGCCAAUCGAAUUUGAUUAUAUCUAGAAGAGUCAUCUAUAAAUGACAGAAUUUCAUGCCCAGUAGUUACAUCAAUCAUGAGUUUGGUGAUCGGUAAAGGAAAGUCAUCUUUAGGACAAGCAUUGUUAAGAUCUCUGAAAUCGACACAGAUACGAAUUUGUCCAUUCUUCUUUCGCCCGGGCACGAUAUUCGAAAUCCAUGUGGGAUAUUUAACUUCACGAAUAAACCCGAUUUCAAUAAGGUUAUUGACUUCAAUUUCGAUCAACGGAAUCAAAUCGGGUCUAAAUCGCCGUUGUGCUUAUUUCACCAGUCGAACUCCCUUUUUAACAGCCAAAUAGUGGACGGCCACUUUUGGGUCUAAAUCCAGCAUUUCUUUAUAAGUCUAAGCAAAAACAUCUCGAUACUCUUGCAAGAGGUCAACAUAUGCCUUCUCUUCGUCAGGACUUAGUGAAGCAUUUACAUAUAUUGGAUGUGGGUCCUCUGAAAUACCAACAUUGAUCUCCUUUAGAUCAUCCACAGUGGUCUUAACACCUUCCUCCAAUUCAGGUGGAGCGUCUUCAGCAUCUUCUUCUUCUUCAGGAGAGUCACCGUCAAUUGUGGUUAUAUAAUUGCAUGAAGCAACACUCUCUUCAUCAUCCUCUUUUGCCCUUGUGUACACCACGGUAUGCUCCCUGACCCUCAAUUCAGUCCCACACUUUAUUACAAGAUCUGUGCAUCUUCUCAUUCUCGAAGGAAUGAUGCUACCAAAUUUAUGAGAACAAUUAGAAGGUUCUUCAAGAUUUUGCAAUGACUUUGCUAUCUUUCCCUUACUCUUAUAGGAGUUUUGAGGUUUUCGUCUUCUUUGCGGUCCUAACCUCUGAAAAACAGAUACCCGUGGAGCUUUAUUCUCCUUUUCGUGAAAAGUUUGAAAUCUACCAGCUAUUUGAGAAGACUCAUCCUCUACAGUAAUAUAUUGGCUACUAGCUCUAUUGAUCUUGAUACGGAUUGGUGUAGGAGAGGAAUAGCCAAGACCAAAUUUGGGAUUUUCAACGGCAUAUCCUUUUUCCUUCAACAUCUUUUGGGUAGGAUUCAACCCAUGCAUCAUGCUACUAGUAGAUUGACCGGAUGGAACAUUUAACAUAGCAGAUUCUUUGAGAUCGUAUCCAGUAUUAGCGAAAAGCUUAUAAGCAAUGGGAUCAAAAUCGUCUUUGGUUCUUGACUUUGGUAUGGUGUCUUGUUCGACUUCAGAUUCUUUACUUAAAAGGUUAGGCCUUUUAAGUGGAGGAAAUGACACCUUCUUUGUAUCAAGAUGAACUACCGGAAGAGUCAAACCUUUUAGAAUUUCAUACUGAAUUGCAAGUGACUGUUCUUGUUCCAUUCCUGACUUGGGAGGGUAACGAAAGACAACUGAUUCAUUGUUUGGCAAUGAAACAUCAGUUUCUUCAUGAACUUCCUCUUUUGUUUUCAGAUUUAUCACUUUCUCCCCUUUUACACUCGGAGAUUUGGGGUUCUGGAUUUUAUCCACAGAUAGAGGUUGCUCAGACUUAUCCUUCGCAUUGUGCCUUUUGAUGUAAAAUUUGGCAUCAGCGAUAUACGCUUCCGCCUCAGUGAAAGGAUUGUCAUCGAUUUUCACACUUCUUGCUACCCCAUUUUGACAGUACUUGGAACAUUGAUGAAGAGUUGAUGGUACAGCUCCAUUUUCAUGAAUCCAGGGCCUUCCCAACAGUAUAUUGUAUGUUGUUUUAGCAUCUAUUACAUACAACAGUGCUCUGGACGUCAUGUUAUCAAUGACUAUCUCCAAAUUUAGUGAUCCAAGAGCUUUUUGCCCUCCUUGAUUAAAACCUUGAAUCAUCAGUCGACUAUUGGAGAGUUCAUCAACCGGGAUGCCGAACUCUUUCAGAGUCUUUAAAGGAAGAAUAUUGACUGCAGAACCUCCAUCUAUCAAAAUUCUAUUCACUUUUUGCUCAUUUGCAUAACCAGUCACAAACAAAGGGCGGUUAUGCGGUGUUGACCCAAGCAACAAGUCUUCACUAGUAAAAGUGAUACUUGUGACGUUCACCUCUUCAUUGCCGGUGGGCACACAAUUUUUUCAUCGCUGAUAGGCACACAGGCUGCCUUACAGAGAGAUUCGCCAGUAUCAUCUCUUUGUUCUUCACUAUGAUCUGCUCACGUUGCGUGACUUGCAACUACAUCAAUGUCAAAGAACUCCUUAGGCAUGAAUUCCUUUAAAGUGGCAGGUGUUCGCGACUUUUGCUUGAAGAUUCGACCUCCUUGAAGAUUAUGACAGUCAUUAUUUUUCUUUACGUCCUUCUCUUUCCCCUUCCAAAUCAUCAUACUUCUUAUUAAGACCUUGUUCGCCUCACUAGAUGGACAAGAUUUUUGCCUCCUUCUUCGCGUGACUAGAGUCCAUCCUUCAUCAUCUACAUCAAGUUGUGACACCUUCUCGUCUUCACGUGCAUGUUCUUGAAAAGUUAAAGGAGCACCUUCUUGUUCGAUUUCCAUGGGAUCCAAUGAACCAAAUUGAAUUGUUGGCAAUACCGGUACCAUGACCCUUUUAAUCUCCAUGGACUGCAGGGAAUCAAUGGACGUUUGAUUCACACUUGCCUUGUCUUCUUCAAGAAGAAUUUUCCCUUGUCUCGCCAACUCCAUUACUUUGUCUUUGAAGACAAAGCAUUUUUGAAUGGGAUGCCCAACCAAUCGGUGAUACUUAUAGUAAUUUGGAUCAUCAGUGUUCCUAGACUCGUCAGGUCGCUUCAUCUCAGGAAGCGUGAUCAAAUUUAUACUUAACAGAUCGUCAAACAUACCAGGGACAUCAGAAUCAAGGAAGGGGUACUCUUUAUCUUGCAUCUCCUUGAGAGUCGGUUUCCUCUUUCCUUGUUCUUGAUGUGCAUUGAUCUUCCUGUCUUUCUCUCCUGGCAGUUUUGGAAACAACUUUAAAAGGCGUUACACUUGUAGCUAUAGCCUCCUUCUUUUCAUUUUUGAAUGGUGGCUUGUCCCCUUUCCUCGCUUCUUGUUUCUCCUUAGCCUUGUGAGGGUCAGGAACUGGCGGUUCUUGUCCAUCAAGAUUAAUUUCCAACUUAUGGGCUUUUGUGGAUAAUUCAUCAAAUGUUUCUGGUUGCACACCUUGUAAGAUGUAUCUGAGUCCCCAGUGCAUACCUUGAAUGCACAUUUCGAUCGCGGAAGAUUCAGAAAUUCGAUCUUUGCAAUUUAAGUUUAGUUUCCUCCAACGGUCGAUGAAAUCAAUGACAGGUUCAUUCUUCCAUUGACGUGUAUUAGAGAGUUCAGUCAUGCUGACAGUUCUCUUUGUACUAUAGAAGUGACUAAGAAAUUCAUGUUCUAGCUGCUCCCAACUGUAAAUAGUCCUAGACUCCAAAUCCGUAUACCAGUCAAAGACAUUACCCUUCAGCGAGCGAACAAACUGCUUAACGAGCAAGUCGCCAUCAGUGCCUGCAUUGUUGCAGGUUUCCACGAAGUGUGCAAUAUGUUACUUGGAGUUGUCCUUGCCAUCGAAUUGUUGGAACUUGGGAGGUUGAUAUCCCACGGGCAUCUUCAAACUUUCCACUCUAGCAGUGUAAGGUUUGGUGUAACCACUAUAUGAUUUGGCACUUCCACCAAUCUUGUCCUUGAUUGUGCCUUCGAUAAACUCUUUCAAAUUAUCAACAUGAAUAGUGCCAUCAGGGGAGAAUGAAACUUCUUUCGUGGCUUGUGACUUCGCAUCCUCUUUCUCCUUCUCCCUUGACGAUGAGUCACCUUCAUCUUGUACGUUGGAUUUCUGUUUGGACAUACUAAGGCUAUUUUCGCCUAUAUUUUCCACCAUAGCCAUUAAUUUGACUAUUUUGGCAUCUUGACUUUGAGCAUGCACUACUAGCCCUUUGACAAUUUUGAUCAGAUUCGAAAUCUGAUCUUCCACAGUGGUGGCAUUGGUCAUCAUGACGGGCAUCACCAUAGAGGCAGCCGAAUCACUUGGGCUACUAAUAGAUUCAUCAUGGGUUCCUUUCUUGCUAGAAAGUAUCUUGAGAUUUGUUUCUUCAGUCACAACGUUCGCCUUAGUCUUCUCUGCUAAGUUCUUGGCCUUGCUCCUUGUCAGAGGUGCAGUAUACUGCGUCUCUUGAGUGGUUGUGACAUCAGUAACCAAGCCUUCAAGAGAAAAGUUCACCUUCUUGAACUCCAUUGAAUUUUGAGACUGGUAAGUUGUUGGAAGAAAAGAGAUGAGAGGCAGAAAUUGUCCUACUGGGCGUGCCAGAAAUUUGUAAGCACAAAUUUUAUUGCCUAAAAUGAAAGAUAAGAAAACUUGCACAAAUAUCAAAUUUAUUAAAUCAAACAAUAGGUGGGUUACAAUCUCUGGAAACUCUUGAAUCAAAGAAUUUAAUCCCUUGAUUCUUUUUUUCGAAUAGCUUCAAUUGAAGGGCCGUAAAUACUUGUUCUUCAAUCGAAAGGGUGUUUUCUACAAUUUCGGCAUAGAAAACGAUUGAUUUGAUGACGGCGUCACACACUUGGAACUUCAAGUCUUUAACACCGAUAGCAGGAGGAUUUGUUUGACUCGACUUGGAUUUGGAUUUGAGAAAGAAAGCUCUUGAGAGAAUUUGACAGAGUUUCUCCGAAUGUUAGGGAUUUUUCUCAUCUCUUUGCCUUAAGGAAAGACCUCUAUUUAUAGCCAAAAAUAUGUAGGCUAAAUCUUCAAGAAAACCGUCCAGAAAUCUUCCUGCAUUUUGGGUAACUUGUAACUCAAGAAACCCAUUUAAUUUGGACUUAAAUAGUGGGCCAACCCAAAUGGUCCAUGGUGAAUUAAUAAAGCAAUCAAUUCACUCUAACUUAAAUGACCAUUAUGAAUUUAAUUUAAUUUAAUAGCCUAUAUAAUAUUGGCCCAAUUUGCCAGUCCAAAACAUAAUGGACUUCUAUAAUUUAAUUUAAUUUAAUCAAGAUCAAUUUAAUUUAAAUAAAUCUCGACUAAAUAAAUUAAAUAAAAUUUCUUUGUCUACAACAAGCACCCUUUUUUUGGCGUUUUGACAUAGCGCAGCAGCUGGUAGAAAGUAUUUUGUUUCACGUAAUUAAUGUUCAAGGACCAUUUUUGGCAUCUACGACAAAGAGCAACAGCUACCAGAAUUUAGUGGAUGUGUUUGGAUUAGGAAUAUUUGAAAUAAAAAAAUUUACGUCACAAAUUCGAAUCGCCUUUUUAUCUCACAUACAUCAUAUUAUAGAAAAUAUUACAGUAAUUAUCUCAAAUAAAUCAUCCAAAUAAACUCCUAUCUAAACAAACUCGGUGUUUCAAGAGGGAUGUUCAAGGGCAUUCGUUCAGAGAUUAAAAAGUCAUAUUCAUAUUCAUGGAGGGGACAGCCAUAAAGCUUGUGAAGUCAGUUUUCAUGCAUAGGUACGUACGUGCGUGGCAGCUAAUUCCAUUAUUGUCGAUGGAGGGCCUGACUAUUCCAUCACACGCGGAUUUAGCUAAAUGACAGGGCGCGAAAUAUGAACCAGGUGAUUGCCGACGUCCCCUUCUCCUCUGGAUUAAUCCACUCUCAGUCUCAGUACUGUUUGCUACAAAUUUGUAGUGUGUUUUUGCGGGUUUCUUAUGCUGAAAAGUGAAAACCUGAGAACAAGAACGUCCUGGUUUCUUUUCCUUUAUUGUGAGGAAAACAGGUCAACUUUGUUAACAACUAUGUACGUUGGUUAAUAAUUAUUAACUUGGGGAAUUAGCCUUUGGCAGGAUCACAAAUUCUUGCGGGAUCCACAAUGAAAAUCUUAAAUUUUACUACAUAUCUUAUCCAAAAAAUUAAAGAGAGAACAUAUAUUAGAUUUAAUGUAAAUAUAUUUUCAACAGAAAGCAUCUUCCAUGGAAAAUUUUGUCCGGAAAAAUAAUUACUUUCUCCGUAUUUUUCCCGUGUUUGGGUAAUUUGUCCAAAUAGUUUCAAGACAAAACUUUCUCUCUUGUUCACGCAGUUAAGAUACCCUCUAGUUCAUAAUUCCAUACCAAAACUCGGGCUCUUGCCUAAAAUCCACCGCCCUACCACCAUAUAACUAACACCUCAAAAAUGUUUCAUCAAUUGUUUGGAAAGCCAUUUUCUACCAAAAAAUUUUUACGUUUUUCGUGAUCAUAUUUUUCAAUUAUUUUUUUAUCUUACGUAUAUCAAAUCGCUGUAGUACAGUUUUGUAUAAAAACUCUAGAAAAUAGCAAUCCAAACGAUAACAGUUAAUGACCGUCGAACAAACAUGCCUCAAAUUUACAAUAUAUUAGCACAAGAUUAACAACCUCAUUUCAUUUUCAUACAUCAAAACUUUCUCUGGCAUCCUUCACGAUCUCCCUAUAGCCCCUUUGAAUUUCAAGUCUAGAUCUCCCCAUAUGUGCGUAUGGUCUGUGUAUCUGAGAGAAAUAAAGAUAGGGACAAAGAAAAAUAGAUAGAGAAAACAGCAAAGAAGGGAGCUUUAAUGGAUAGCCUUACGACUCAGACAUGGAAAAAAACUUCAGUUUAUUUAUAUGGAAAAUUUUCGCAAGCAAUAACCCAAUCAAACAAUAGAAAAUCAGGAAAACAUUUUCUGGAAAAUAUUUGGCUUCCAAACAAAAAGGGAUUCCCAAAUCCCACCUCGAGUUGAGGAAUCUUAAACCAAACAACAGGAUGCAUAGAACGAACACAAUGGCAACUAUAUAUGAAUGGAGGUAAACAGGUGAUACAGACGAGACAUUGGCAAAACCGACAACACGAAGAGGUCCUUUGGAAUUGGGGAUUAGUUCAACAACGUUGUAUUUGUAUCGGCCACAGGAACCCAGGAAGUGCUCCUUGGAAGAUGCUACCUUGAUCUAUAUCACAUAACUACAGAACUUCCCACAUUCUUUUGUCGUCACACAAAGUGGGAAAUAAUCUUGACUCAAAUAAUUAGUGCUUGGGCCCCAUGCAUUUAUGCUUAGUUUGGCGAGUUAUGUAGGAGGUUAUGGGCAAAUUAAUGUUAAACCAAUUCAUAAUAUAGUACUGACACGUUUGCGCUUCAUCUUUAAUUCUUUUUGAACGUCCAAUAGCAUCAUCCAACGUGUUGAUUAUGGCAAAAUUUUACUAUUAUUUCUAAAUCAUAUGUAAAGUGUAGAUGCCCUUUAGUUUUUAUUAUUUAAAGAUCAUCCUUUACAUUAUUUAAAGAUGACCUACCUCUCCAACCCUCCUUCUUCUUCCCUCUCCUCCCCUCUUCCCCGCCACCUCCUCCAUAAGUGAAAAUUCAAUGCAAUAGUUGACAACUGAAAGACUAAAUUAAUACUCUAAAGUAGAAAUCUGGCAUUAUUUUAGACAAUUUGAAAAGCUAAGAGACCAACAAUAUUGUAGUUUUUAAAUAAAAAUCAUACUUGGGCCAUUUUUGACAAAAGAAUUUGCAGAAACACAAUUUGGAUUUGUUUGGAUAUGAGUUUAUUUAGAUGAUUUAUUUGAAAUAAUUACUAUAGCACUUUUUGUGAUGUGAUGUAUGUGAGACAAAAUAAUAACUAAAAAGAUAAAAGAAUGAUUGAAAUUUAUGAAGUAAAUUAUUUUAUCUCAAAACACACUGAAUUGUCUCUAAGUUGUGGUGUUUAAGUAAAGACCAAAAAAAUGGAUGAAUGGUACUCCGUACGAUUUGAUUAAAUUGUUUUCCGAACUUUAAUAUGGAUAACGAUUUUCGAGGAACAACGAAUCAGAUGCUGAGUGACUGGUACUCAUUAUUGUGACUCGAUUCUAACAGUUCCAUCAGUAGAUGCAAUGCCAAUUUAACUUCGUUCCCAUGACCUCUCCCCUGAAAUGUGUACCUGGAAAGGGCUUUUUAUCACAUACCAUCAUCAACCUCUAUCUUCACUGUAAAAUAAUUUUGUUGCACAUCUAUGUUAGCUUUAAGUUAGUUUAUUUUAUUUCUUUUAAAUUUUCUAAUAAUAAUCUACAGAUUUUGUGGCAAUAUAAAAAAAUAUGGAGAAUGUUGGCUUUAAGUAAGUUUUCUCUUUGCAAUUUCACGAAGACGACUUAAAAGUCUUCAUGGAAAAAAAAUUUGAAAUCACGGUGGAAAAUCAUUGCGUGCUUGUGGGAGAAAUCCUUGGUGACAUACAGAUUAAAAUAGAAACAUUGAUUCAUUUUUAUUUGGAUUUAGUUUGAUAUUGAUACUUACAUUAUGAUAAAAAAACAAAAAAAUCAGUCCUUACCUAGUAAUUUUUAGUUGUAAAAAUUAGUUUCAUAAAAAUUAGUUUUACAUGUUGAAAAAAAUUAUGUUUUUAUAAUCUUUUGUGAAAAUACAACAUAUUUGACCAAUUUGUUGAAAAUACUACAAAAGGUUUGUCAAGGGGUAUGGAGACAUAGCCAGACCCGUGACCAAUUUGUUGAAGAAGGACAUAUUCCAAUGGAGGGAGGAGGAUUUAGAGAAAGCUUUCCGGGAGUUAAAGGGAGCCAUGUGCAGCACACCUAUAUUAGCAGUACCUAGAGCUGGCAAAAAAGCCCAACCCGUCCAUUAAUUUUAAAGAAUGGGUUGGAUCAAUUGGGUUAUGGGUUUUUUUGGGUUGGGUAAGAAUAACCCAACUUAUUCAUUGAGCGGGUUGGGUUUUUUAUUUGGGUACCCAAUACCCAACUUAUUUAAAAGUAAUUCAAAAUAAUAAAUACAAUAUUCAAUACACAUAUGCUCAACUAUUUGUAUUUGGACAUGUGUUAAUAAUGCAUUGAUUAAUUUGUAUUCAAAAUUCUCAUAUAUAUAUUUUCAAUCAAUUUUUUUAACUUUUAUUUAAAAGAAAAAAGAUGCCCAAGAUGACCCAGAUGACACUUGACAGCCACCAUCUUUAUUUUCUUUUAAAUCAUGUCUCCACCUGAUUUAUUGGUCUGAAGAUAAUUAUUCAGUUCUUUCCCUCUCUUCUUUUUCUCCCCUGAUAAUUUUUUUUUUUAAAAAAAUCCACAAUACUUUUUUAUUGCUGUUUAACAAAAAAUUACAAUUGAUCCGCAGGUAGUGAAACAAAUACUAACAUAAAUUUAAAGUACUAAAUUGAUAAUUUGUUAAAAGGCAUUUAACUCUUAAAACUGAUUUAUAAGUCGUGAUUACUACAAUCAUUCUAGAACAAGAGUAUUUACUUAUUACAAGGCAUAUGGACUCUAUAUGUUGAACAGGACACAAAUAAAGAGAAUACCUAAUACUAAUACUAGAACACCGUUUCACAUACGUAGUCCAAAAGCAUUUUCUUCAAAUCUAGCUAUUCUAACUGAUACAGAAUUUUUGGUCUUGAUAUCUAAUGCAUAAACUUUGCAAAACAAUCUGGAAUUUCAAAUUCAAAUUUUAUACAGUUGUCAUUCAUCCAACGCUGAUAGUGCAUACACUGUCAGUGUAGGAAAGAUUAAUUCUUACUUUUAUUAUAUGCUACAAACAGAUAUAGUAGUAGUAUUACUUUUCUCGAUCAGGUAUUAUAAUAUUAAGUAAUCACAAGAUUCCUAAUUUUUAAAAAAAUUUUAAUAUAAGAAGUGAGUGUGUGUUUGUGUGCAUGAAAAUAUAUUUAUAUAUGUGAAAAUAUGUUUAUAUGUGUGAAAUUUUUUUUUUGUGUGUUAAAAUGUAUGUGAAAAAGUUUAUGUAUUAAAAUGUAUUAAUUAAUAUGUUGGGUCAUAUUUGGAUCAUGGGUUUGAGACAACCCAAUAUGACCCAACCCAAAAUCAACCCAACCUAAAGUUGGGCGGGUUGGGUAUAACCCAUUUAAGUGAAAAUCCAAUAUUAACCCGCCCAAAAUCCGCCCAACCCGUCCAAUUACCAGGUAUAGCAGUACCUGAUUUCUCUCAGCCAUUCAUCAUUAAGACAAAUGCAUGUUAUAAUGGCAUAGGGGCUGUAUUAAUGCAAAACAAGAGGCCUGUAUCCUAUUUCAGUUAGGCAUUGGACAGAAGAAUAUGGGGCUGUCCAUAUAUGAGAAGGAGCUGCUGGCAUUAGGGGUGGGUAAAAAAUCCGAUCCGAUCUGAAACUCGACGAACCGAACCGAACCGAACCAAAAAAUAGGAUAUCCGAUCCGAUUUUUCUUAGCGGGGCAGAUGCGGAUCGGGUACCUGUAAAAACGGAUAUGGAUACGAAUACGGAUCAGUAAAAUAAAAACCCGCGGGUACCCGACCCGCAGGGUAUAUUAUAUAAAUAUUAAAAAAAUAAGGGUUCAUCAUAUAAUUUUUAUAAUUUUUAAUCCUAAGUGUAAGUAAAGUGGUUCACAACCUCAUAUUCUAAUCUCAUAUGAUCCGUCUCUCCUCAUCUUGUCUUAAAAAAACGAAUAUUCUUGGUGAAACCUGAACUAAAAUGAACAAAACAAAGAAAAAUUAGUGAAACUCUAUCAUAAAAAUUGUUCAUCCUUUUUCAUUUUUAUUCUACUUCCAUCGAUCUUUCUUGCAAAUUUUUCAUCAAUUCAAUCAAAAAUUUGUGUUUGGAGCUCCAAUUUUCUAUUAGCUAGAUAAUUAAAACAUUUGUGUCUUUCAUUUAUUUAUUUGUUUUAUUGCAAUUGUGUCUCUUAAAUUUGUUUCCUUUAUUUUAGUGCAAGAAAUUUAUUUUUCUUUUUCAUCCCCUUUAAUGCAAUAAGGUCUAUUCCAAAGAUGUAAGAAAGUUGGUGAAAAUUUUCAAGAUUAUUUUGAUUAUACUUCAAAAAUUAUUAGCUCUAUUCAAUUCUUUUCCAAACUUGAUUCCACAAUCGACUCAUUUUGGAUGCAGUCUUGUACCAUAACAUCCUUAAGGAAGUUGGAAAAGUUGCCAAAUACUUAUUAUCCUUGUGAUUGUUAUGUUAUAAAAGGAUGAAAUGUGUGAGAAUUGUGAUGUACUCAAAAUUAUCAUAAAAUUUCAUUUUAUCUAUUAGAUAUUAUAAUUCUAAUAUGUACUAAAUUUAUGAGAUCGGUUUGAUUAUUGGAUGACAUGUGUGAGAAUGAUGACGUAUGGAUUUUGAUUAUAAUAUUUCUACCAAUGUUAAUUAGAAAGCAUUUUUUAUUGAAAAAUAUGUUGAUAUUAAGUGGAAAAAAAAUUUUAUUGGAAUUUUUUUUUAGCGGCGGAUACCCUAUGACCCGCCCCUUUUUUUCGGGUACUCGAAAAUAUUAGGAGCGGGUUAGGGUCGCAAAAUGGCUGAUCCAAUAUUUUAGGGUUGGGUCAGCCAAAACGUAUAAGGAGCGGGUAUCCGACCCAUGCCCACCCCUAACUGGCAUUGGUGACUGCUGUGACUAAAUGGAGACACUACUUGGAGGGGCACCACUUCAUCAUACACACUAAUUAUCAAAGUUUAAAAUAUUUGUUGGAACAAAGGAUCACUUCCCCUCUCCAACAGAAGUGGCUCACCAAGCUACUGGGACUAAGCUAUGAAAUUCACUACAAGAAAGGGAAGGACAAUAUGGCAGCUGAUGCCCUCUCCAGAUAGGGCAGGAAGGAAACAGGAGAUUGCACAGCCAUUUCAUGUGCAGUGCCUACCUAGAUCAGAGAAGUGAUUGAGAGCUAUAAGGAAGAUGAAUGGGUUCAAGAAACCAUAACCCAAGUGCUGCUGACUCCUACCCAAGUACCAGACUACUCCUAUCAUGAUGGAGUUCUCAGGUACAAGAAGAGGCUAGUGGUCGAAGGACAGGGAGACAUAAGAAAGAAACUCAUCACUGCUUUGCAUGACUCUCAAAUAGGGGGGCAUUCAGGUUAGCUUCAUGAGAGCUAAACAACUAUUUUAUUGGCCAGGGAUACACAAAAAAAUAAAGAAGUUAGUCCUGGAAUGUGACAUCUAUAGAAAGUGUAAGGAUGAGCAUGUGACCUACCCAGGAUUGUUACAACCUCUCCCUAUCCCAGAGCAUUCAUGGAGCCAUGUCACCAUGGACUUCAUUGAGGGUUUACCAAAAUCAGAAGGGAAAGACACUAUAAUAGUAGUUGUAGAUAGCUUUACCAAAUAUGCCCAUUUCAUCAGUUUGGCACAUCUUUUUGAUGCCCCAAAGGUAGCCAGACUCUUCAUUGAUCAUGUCAGUAAGCUACAUGGGAUACCCUAGAGCAUGCUGCCAGACAGAGAUAGGAUAUUUGUCAGCCAAUUCUAGGGAGAACUAUUCACUAUGUUGGGAGCUAAACUAGAUUACUAUUGGCUUGUCAAACUAGUAAAAAUAAAAGUUCCUACUCUAAUAAUAUGGAUUUGAGUAUAGCGGUGAGUAGGGUCGUAUCCACAAAGACUGGGUGAUUUAUUUGUUUGUGAAAAAUGGGGGAUUAGAAGAAAUUAACUAAAUAGAUUACUUGAAUAAAAAUAAAGACAAUCUCACAAAACUAAACCAAGAAUAGGCAACACUCUAGUCGAAGGUCUAAUUUUCACUUUGGUUCAUUUAACUGAUCAUCGAUACAAAGGUGAAAUCACUUAUUCAUAAAUAAACUGGUUAUAGUUGUCAACACACUCUAACAACCUGCCUCUCCUUAUUGUUUCUAUAACCACAACACGCUCUGUGGCUAUUUCUCUUGCCAAUUAAGCAACCCUAAACAAGCUCUUAGGAUUUAACCUAUUGACAGUAUUAAUAAUUAGAGAAGCUACCAAUUCUAACUAACAAAUACACAAACUCGGUUCAUUUAAGUUAGAUUAUAUAUUCCCGUGACAUAAAUUCAAAAGUCUCUUUUACAAUCGAAUUUUAUCACACGCCACAAAUACUAAAACCAUCAAACAAUUACGGAUUUGAUAUUUUAAAUGGCACUAGACUAUUUCAACAAUUAGAUAUUGAUCACGUAUUUAACUGUAGAAAAUAAUCAUAAUCAUGAAUGAACAGAGAAUAUAUAAAUACUCAUAAAUAAAUAAAGCAAACAAAUCAAAUUAGAUCUCACAGUAUAGUCGAACCAAAGGUUCAAUUAUCUUUCAACCAAAAAAGAAAUUAGCCGCUCCUCCCAGUAGAUUCACGGCCACAAGAAAAUACUAGGGUUUAUUGUAGAGAAAAAGAAGAAAAAGAAUGAGAGGUCUUAGUGAUGGCUCCCCUCUUUUUCUUAUACUCCUACGAGAUUAGUCUAAUGCCACAGGGAGAAGGAAAACGUCUCCUAAAACGAAAAGACUUUCUUUUCUAGUCUUAUUCUUACUUAAACUAACAAAGUAAUUAAAAUUCAAUAGGCUAAUUACUUUCCAAAUGGAAUGCAUCACUCCACAAUUGAUCAGACUUCCAAUUUGCGUCUAAUGUAGCAACAAGGACACGACAAGUGCAAUCCCGUGGGUUCCAUCUUUCACUUGGUCAUAUCACGUGCCCACGUCUUAUAGAGUGCAGUCUUCUAAAAUUCAGCUUUAAUGCCCUUUUUACUCCAUUCUCACCAACAAUUCCUAAAAACAAUACCAAAAAUCAAAUAUGAGUAAAAUUUAUCGAUUAACACUUUAUUUUAGCAAAAUAAAGGGGAAAUUAUUCACAAAUUAUAUGCACAAUUAGCCAUUUAACAAAUUCCCCACACCUAGACAAUGCUUGCCCUCAAACAUUUACUACCCAAGAAUCACAGUCUAGAUGGCAAAUAUUUCAUAGCACAAUGCAUACUAACACAAGUAUCAUGUCUUCUCAACAAUUUUAUCCAAAUCAGGAUGCACAAGAUUCAACAGUUCUCACAUAGAUAAUAGUGUAUACACUCUGCACUUAAGUGUUUAAGGGGAUAUUUAACACUCAAAUCAACACCAUGAAAUGACAUUAUCAUAAGCUUGUUAAUAUAUCAUAUUUCCACCACUUAAAAUGAAUUCAAUCCAAAAAUCAAAGGCUCUUUAUAAGGGUUGUAACGGGGCUUGGGUUAAGGGUUGGAUAAAAGGGAAUUAUUUAGGUGUACAUAUAUCAAAGGAAACAUCCAUAAUACUCUGCCUGAAAUCAAACUCCUUUGUCAUUCACCUGUAUAGCUGGCUUCCAGGUAUGUCAAUAACUUCAUUAAACUUGGCAAGUGCAAACGCAAUUUGGGCAUUAUCCCAACUACCACAAAACAACACAAGUGCACUUCACAACAAAAAUUUUUUUCUUUUUCUUCUUUCUUUUUUUUUCAAUAUUUGUUUUUGUAUUUUUUUUCAUUUCUCUCUUUUUUUUAUUGCACAACAUAACUACCACACUUGCCAACCAUAAACGUACUUUUGGAACACAUUUGGAAUUUUCAUGCAAGAAUAUUAAUGUAUUCCUUUGACACAAGGUUCGAAUGAGAAGGUUCACACGAAAAAGGUUUCAGGUAACAAAUUUGGCUAUUAAACAAAGCAAAGGAUUGAGCCUCAAACAUAGUUAACUAUGGGUAAACAUAAUUAGGAAAGGCAUUUGGAAAGUCAAAAAUGGUCAAGCCUAAUUGCCCUUAUAAUUUUAAUACAUCAAAUUCAAGCAUGAUCUCAACAUGCAUAACAAAACAAAUUCUAGAAUGUCAGAUCAUAUGUGAUAUCACUCAACAAAAGAAGAUAGAGCAAAUUUAAUUGUAAGUGCUCCUUAGGCACGAAAACUUACAAAUUAGUUAAAAUUAUAUCAAAUCUUGAGCAUCCAUCAUUCAAAUCAAUUGCAAGAAAAUUACAUACUCAUGCUAAUAACAUUACACUAUUCAUAUUUGCAUCUUGACUGCUUUUGUAAAACAAAAGAAUCUCCAAACUAGAUUUGAAAAAUUUUCAUGACAAAUUUUCAUUUAUUUUCACUUGAAAGAUCCCUUCCCCCACACCUAAAUCAAACAUUGUGCUCAAUGGAUGAAACUUAAGUGCAAAAAGAAGAAAAGAGGACUUCCCUGAUUAUUGAACUAAACAUUCGGGAGGGAAUAAGUUGCUUAAAAAUUCAAUGUAGGCGAAGCACGUAGUGAGGUUCAACUUGGGGUCGCAAUGUUGGAGGUUUUGUUGUAAGGUGUGGGCACGUUGUAUAAGAAAUAGUCUUCUAUCCAUCCAAUCAUAAACACAAACAAUGCCUUCUGGACCUAGAGCGUGGGCACGUCUUGUAACAGAUAGUUGUCAGUCCAAUCCAACCUAAAACGAACAAUGCCCUCUGAACAUAGAGCGUGGACACGUCUUAUAACAGGAAGUCUUCUGCCCAAGAAAUUUUCACGCAAUCAAAGCGAAACUUUCAUGAGUGCGUCCACAACCUAUAACAAAAAGCCUUUUGUCAAAAAGAAGCGAAAUAAACUUAACUUCCACAUAAAAAAAAGAAUGCAAAAAUGAUUCAAAAUUGAAACUCUUGGGUUACCUCCCAAGUAGCGCCUUUCUUUAACGCCUUUGGCUAGACGAUACCAUGUUCGAUCAAGGGGGAUAAAAUCUUUUAGCUCAUUUUAUUACUUCUUCCUCGUGCCAAUAAUUCUUAAGCAAACGAGCUGCUUUGUUUCUCAGUUCAAGAUGUUUGAUUAUUGCAACUCCUAUCUUAUCCAAGUCAUCCACCUCAAAAACUUUUAAACCCUCACACUUAGGAGGUAAUUUUUGUUGCAUUACGGCUGAAGCAUUUUCCUCCAUACAAAUUUUCUCAUUGCAAUUCAGCUCCUCAAAUUUGUGAAACAUUUUCAGAAUUUCUAGCUCCUCCUUCUCUUCAUUGGAUCUAGUAAAUUGAUCAGGGAAUGAAGGAUGUAUCACCACAGUUGGGGGUUGUUCAUUAGACUCUUUCAUUGAAGAAGUUUGAGAUUGGGAUCUCAUUCCUGCUUUCUCAACUUCCUCUUCGAUUACAUGCUUGAAUCCUACUUUUUGAAACUCUUGCAGUCCUUCAUCACUUCUCAGGGUCAUUGCACUCAUAUUUUGUUUGGAAUUGAUAAUGUUCUGCGAGUGCAAUUCUUCUAAAAUUUGAGACUCCAAUCGGCUCAUUGUAGUUGGUAGUUGACUCAAUUGAUUCUCCAGGUUUCGAAUACUCAUUCUUGUCUCUUGUUAAAAUUAUUGUAUAUUAGUAGCUAGUGAUUUAACAAUUUCUUCAAGAGAUAUACCUGACCUAAAAGUUGGUUGUUGCUGUUGAAUAUUUGGUGGCCUCGCUGCAUAACUGAAGCUAAGGUUAUCCCUCCAUUCAUGAGUAUACAUGUUGGAAUACAAAUCAAUCCUCAUUUGAGGUGGAUUUGGAAAUCCUCCGACAGCAUAAACUUGGGCAUUCAAACCAUCUUAUAAUGUGGGACACAUGUUACUUGGAUGAUUCGAGGUAUAACAUAUUCCACACAUUUUUCUUUGUUGUACUUGCCCUUCAACCAACUUUUCUACAAGAAAUGUUAGAAAAUGUAAACGUUGAUCAAUAGAAGAGAUACCCACAUUAUUAACCCUCCUGUGAAUGAAAUCUUGUCUAUCACCAAAUUGUUGAGUAUAAGUAGCCACAAACUAACUCCAGAAUAAGGGAAAAAUAAAAUAAAAAUAAAUCAAAAAAAAUAAAUCAAUAAGGCACCAGUCCCCGGCAACGGCGCCAAAAUUUGUUGGCUUGUCAAACCAGUAAAAAUAAAAGUUCCUAAUCUAAUAAUAUGGAUUUGAGUGUAGCGGUUAGUAGGGUCGUAUCCACAAGGACUGGGUGAUUUAUUUCUUUGUGAAAAAUGGGGAAUUAGGAGAAAUUAACUAAAUAGAUUACUUGAAUAAAAAUAAAGACAGUAUCACAAAACUAAACCAAGAAUAGGCAACACUCUAGUCGAAGGUCUAAUUUCCACUUUGGUUCAUUUAACUGAUCAUCGAUAUAAAGGUGAAAUCACUUAAUUCAUAAAUAAACUGGUUAUGGUUGUCAACACGCUCUGACAACCAGUCUCUCCUUACUGUUCCGAUAACCACAACACGCUCUGUGGCUAUUUCUCUUGCCAAUUAAACAACCCUAAACAAGCUCUUAGGAUUUAACCUAUUGACAGCAUUAAUAAUUAGAGAAGCUACCAAUUCUAACCAACAAAUACACAAACUCAGUUCAUUUAAGUUAGAUUAUAUAUUCCCGUGACAUAUUCAAAAGUCUCUUUUACAACAGAAUUAUAUCACGCGCCACAAAUACUAAAACCAUCAAACAAUUACGGAUUUGAUAUUUUAGAUGGCACUAGACUAUUUCAACAAUUAAAUAUUGAUCAGGUAUUUAACUGUAGAAAAUAAUCAUAAUCAUGAAUUAACAAAGAAUAUAUAAAUACUCAUAAAUAAAUAAAGCAAACAAAUCAAAUUAGAUCUCACAGUAUAGUCGAACCAAAGUUUCAAUUAUCCUUCAACUAGAAAAGUUAGCCGCUCUUCCCGGUAGAUUCGCAGCCACAAGAAAAUACUAUGGUUUAUUGUAGAGAAAAAGAAGAAAAAGAAUGAGAGGUCUUAGUGACAGCUCUCCUCUCUUUCUUAUACUCCUACGAGAUUAGUCUAAUGCCACAGGGAGAAGGAAAACGUCUCCUAAAAGGAAAAGACUUCCUUUUCUAGUCUUAUUCUUACUUAAACUAACAAAGUAAUAAAAAUUCAAUAGGCUAAUUACUUUCCAAAUGGAAUGCAUCACUGCACAAUUGAAGACUUCUAAUUUGUGUCUAGUGUAGCAACAAGGACACGACAAGUGCAAUCCCGUGGGUUCCAUCUUUCACUUGGUCAUAUCGCGUGCCCACGUCUUAUAGAGUACAGUCUUCUAAAAUUCAGCUUUAAUGCCCUUUUUACUCAAUUCUCACCAACAAUUCGUAAAAAUAAUACCAAAAAUCAAAUAUGAGUAAAAUUUAUCGAUUAACACCUUAUUUUAGCAAAAUAAAGGGAAAAUUAUUCACAAAUUAUACGCACAAUUAGCCAUUUAACAAUUACAGCACAGCUUACCACCCCCAAACUAAUGGAGAGACUAAGAGAGUUAACCAGGUGCUAGAAAUGUACCUCAGAUGCCUAACUCAUUUGGAGCCUAAGGGAUGGAACCAGUGGCUAUCCUUGGUAGAAUGGUGCUACAACACCACACAUCACACGGCCAUUCAAAUGACCCCAUUCAAGGCUUUAUAUGGCAUUUCCCACCCCCUCAGCUAGCUAUGGGACCUUAUCUACAGACCAAAGUGGCUGUAGUUGGAGAUUACAUCAGAGAAAGGCAACAGAUGGACAACACGCUAAAGCAGAACUUGAAGCUAGCUCAGGAGAGGAUGAAGAAGUAUGCAGAUGAAAGGAGGAGUGAGAGGGUAUUCAGUGAAGGACAUUAGGUGUAUCUGAGACUAUAACUGUAUAGAUAGAGCUCAUUAGCCCUGAGGGGAUACACCAAACUCUCAGCUAAAUACUUUGGCCCCUACAAGGUAGAAGAGAAGAUUGGUAAUGUAGCUUACAGACUAAAACUGCGUGCCACCUCAAAGGUGCAUCCUGUUUUCCACGUGCCCCUACUCAAGAAAAAGAUCGGAGACAAGGUCACACCUACACUCCAGCUGCCAGAAAUAGAUGAAAGGGGUCACUGGAAAGUGGAGCCAGUAUCUGUGCUUAAUAGAAGAAUAGUGAAAAGAAGAUAUGCUGUUGCAGUUCAAUGGUUGAUUCACCGGUGGGGCACGGAUCUUGCAGAGGGCACAUGGGAAUAUGCUGAAGAAAUCGAAAGACAAUUUCCCAAGUUUCAAUCUUGAGGACAAGAUCGCUUCUAAGGGGGGAGUGUUGUAAUGAAGUCAGGAAAUAGCUGUGCAAGAAAAGGAAGGAAGGCGUGAAGGAAGAAGAAAGGAAGGCGUGGAAAGGCGUGGAAGUUGCAGGAGGAUAACAAGAGAAGGCGUGAUCAAGAAACCACGCCUUUGCUAGGUUCACGUUGUUUUUGCUGAUGCUGGGGACCAGUCUAGCUAAAAGAUCCCCUCGAACAUGUAUUAGACGCUCAUUCGCUCUUGGAGGAAGUUAGUUAGAGUAGCAACAGUAUAAAACGAGAGGAUCAUGCAAUUGUCAUUAGCUUUUUGAGAAAUUUGUUAUUGUAAUCAGAGAAGGAAUAUCCUCUCUGUCUUUUUUUCUUCUUCUUCGAGUUUUCCUUCGGUCUAUUUCCCCUUCUCCUCUUUUCCCGCCAAUCCUAUUUCUGUAACUAAAUUUUGAGAUUCAUUAAUGCAAUGGAAUUGUUUGUUUGAGUUCAUCUGAAUUUGUGAGUUAUUGAAUCAUUUCCUUAAGUUCAUUUCCAUUUCCUGCAAAAAAUUCCCGAUUCUGGACCAUAACAACUACAUAACAGCUUGUCGUCAUUUAGUGCAAGUAGCAGUUGAUAAUAAGCUUAUCCAUUGCAGUCACGUGACACGAAUAAUUUCCGCAAAAGCAAGUUCAGAUAAAGGCAUCAUUUAUCUAUGGUUUUCUAGAUGUCUAUAGAAAAUUGUUGGCUCUGUUUGGAUUAGCCAUUUUUGGAGGUGUUUUUCAAAAUUUUACUUUAGCUGUGUAUAUGAAAAAUUUUUACUGUAGAUGUUUUUUGGAUUGUUUUUAGAGGUAUUUUUAAAAAUAUGUUUUUGAGAAUUUUUAUAAUUUUUUUGGAAUUUUUUAAAAAAAUUUUACACGACCCACCAUUAUCCUCUCCCUUUUCCUUCCCCUCUCUUGUUUUUCUUCCUCUCCUCCUCCCCUCUAUUUCCUCCCCCUCCUCCUUCUCCUCCUCCCUCUUUCCCCUCCCUUCUCCCCCCCUCACCUCCUUCCCCCCAACCCUAAACCCCUCUCCUGCUCUUGGGUGGUGGCUGCGAUUUUAGCCACCACUUUAACCACGACCAUCUUGGUCGCGAUCAAAUCUGAUCGUGACUAAGAAGGUUACGGUCAAUCGAGGGGAAGGAAAUUGGGGGGGGGGCGGGGAAAGGGAAAGAAGAAAGGAGAAAGGAGAAAGAGAGAAGAGAAGAGGAAAAAAGGAAAAGAAGGAGGAGAAAGGGAGGAAAGAUGGGUGAAGAGAGAGAAGAGAGGAGAGAGGAUCGUGGGUGUGGGGGUGGUGGCCAUGGCAGUGGAGAAUGAUGGGUAGUUGUGUAUUUUUUUAUAUAUUUAGAGUUAUUUUUGAUAUAUUAUAUGGAUAUGAUAUUUUUGAAAUUAUUUUUAUUGGUGUAUUACUGUAGCAUUAUAGAUGAAAAAUUAGCAGUUGAUAAAAAGACAACCACUUAAAAUAGUUUUCCCAUAAAAUAUGUCGAAUGAUGUCAGAAUCACUGGCAUGGACCACUUGGGUGAGAACCCGUUAGAAUAGUCCAUUUCCAAGAAUAAGCCGACAAAACGUACGGAGUAGGAUCCACGUACUCUUUGCUAAGCAAAUGACCUUGCAAUUGCUCUCCAGUCAAUUGUUCUCCAUUAGAGUGGAUGAGUACACAACCAUAAAAAAUUUAAACUUUGUUUCGCAGAACUCUUUACAAUGCAUGUGUGGAUCUAGGUGCACUCCUUUCUGUGGAGUAAUUCUUGAUCGGAUCUAAAUUCCAUCAAUUAUCAUUUGGUCAGCAUAUGCAACACAGAUAGGCCAAUCAAGAGUGCUAAAAAUCGUCCAACAACACGAUUGAUAUACAUCGUUGCUGUUUUAAUGUCAGAUAAAACAAGCAUUAGAAUCGAAAUAUGCGACACAAUUAAAACUUCCACAUCAAAAAGGCCAAAAAAAGAGGGGAAAGAAGAAGUAACUUUAGUAACUCGACUGAACUAUUUUACACCGUGCUGUCUGUGACAGUGGAAAAGGCAAACGUAAAAGAUUUCGCCAUUCAUUAAGAUAUCGGAAUGAUUAACCGGUGUGGAAAAAAACCUGACGACGGGUUGGGUCAUGGGUGGGACAACUGGACGAUGGAAGCUUCAAUCCGCCAUGAAAAUUGAGAGAUAUUCCUUUUGAGAAAAUCUCCAUGAGAGGCAUAUCCCGCUCUCACCUAAAGUCCAUCAAUUAUAAUUUGGUCAGCACAUCCAACACAGAUAGGGCAAUCAAAAGUGCUGAAAAUCGUCCAGCAGCAUGAUUGAUAUGAAUCAUUAUCUUAAUGAUAGAUAAACAUGCACUAAAAUCGAAAUAUGCAACAGGAUAAAACUUUGACGUUAAAAAGAAAAAGAAAAAAGUAACUCCAGUAACUCGACUGGACUAUUUUAAGAUAUCCCAUUCAUUAAAAAUAUCUGAAUGAUUAAGUUGUGUGGAAAAAAACUCGACGAUGGAUUGGUUGGGACAAACCACUGGGCCAAUGGCUCAGUGGCCACCAGGGAGGGACUUAAGUCCCUCCUUGGGCUGUAGGUGAGGGUUCAAAUCUCACCUGCAGCGAAAAAAAUCUAAGAGUUGUGCCAUAACACUCUCUUGAUUUAGUUGGGUCUGUAUAUAUAUUAGGCCCUACAACAGCAUUCUUAGGCUCCCCCUCCCCCUAGAUUAGGAUAGAGUAGGUUAUACAAAUGUAUCGUUGCUCACAAAAAAAAAAAAGAUUGGUUGGGACAAUUGGACAAUAGAAGUAUCAAUCUUUUUUUUUUUCAAAACGAUAACUGUUGUAUAACAUAUUCUAUCCUAUACUAGACAAGAGGGAAGCCUAAAGAAGCUUGUAUCCGCCAUGGAAAAUUAAGAGAUAUUCCUUUUGAGAAAAUCUCCUUGGGGAGCAUAUCCUGCUCUCAGCUACAAAGAACCGUUCAUUCCUUUGCAGCUGAGCUGGCCGUAAAAUGCUGAGAUCCCUAUUGCAUAAUUGACAUUUAAAUCCCAGACUCUAUCAAACCAAUCCACGUCUGUACGCCCGAUGUCCAAAUAAUUACAAAUGGUGUACCGUUGCCAUGGAGACGCGCGCGAUUCAAAAAUUGAUCAAUCAAAAGCUGCCCUUUAUAUGUAAAGCCAGAAAGAGCUAGAUCAUCUUCAAACGCAUAAUUGUACUUAAAAUUUUUUUUAUUAUUGUGGACAAUUUCAAGUCUAUCUAUGUCCAUAAACAAUAAAAUCUUGUGUUUGUGAUAAGACAUCACCUACCUUUUUCAACCUACAUUUUUAUAGUUUUAACCACAUUUUUAUCUCACAUAUAUUAUAUCAUAAAAAGUGCUACAAUAAUUAUUUCAAAUAAUAUUUUAUCCAAACAACCGGAAACUUUGAAAAAGAUACCUUGUUUUUAGGAUCCUAAAAGACCAAAAGACGGUGUAGUACCCAUUAAAGCCUUUCAGUUGCAAAGCAGGCACCAGGGGAAGAUCCGGUGAGGCAAAACUCCUAAGCACAAGAUUCCCAUUUUCAUAGCAUCAGAAGGAAAAUUUGGAUUUAAAGCAAGGAAGGUAAAAUCUCAGUUAUCUUUCUUAAAGUAUCUAGUAGUCAUUUCUUAAAUUCCAGUUAAUCAUCCUGAUAUUUUAUAUGAAUUUUGAACCGCCUUUUCAAUUUACAUCCACUCAAGAAAACGCAUACAGAUUAGCAUUACAAACCCUCAGACAACCAGAUACCUAUUAUUAUUUUGACAAAAUUAUAGAGGAAAUUGAAACAACAGACCAGUGUUUAGCACACAUACAAAUAGAAGACGCUAGAUUAUCUAAAGUAGCACACCACCAUCCCGCAUCAUUUCUAAAAAAUUUAAGACAAGCAAAAAUAGAUUUACUUUGGCAUAAAUACUCUGAAUUAAAAUCAAUAGAAAGACAAAAGUUAGAAGAACAAGAAAAAUAUAAAAAUAAAAGGAAUUUUUGUAAUAAAGUUUGUAGAACAUUUGAUUAAUCACGUAGGUCUUUAAUUGGAGCCGUAGAAGUCCAACUUUAUAGCUUUAUAGCUUGUCCAACUUUAUAGCUUUAAUCACAUAGGUCUUUAAUUGGAGCCGUAGAAGUCCAACUUUAUAGCUUUAUAGCUUGUUUUUUGUAUCAGAGCUUGCCUUCCCGGUGAGCCUGAUUCCUUAAAGUCAAAAAUAGAUAAAAGAUUAGAAUACUUAGAUCUAGAAAUAAAAAAUAAAUCUAGGAAUAUAAUAACUUUAGAUAAUCAUAAGCAUAUUUGUUAUUUUCAGAACACCUAUAAACAUACCUUACAUAGUAAAGAAGAUAAAAAUUAUAAUAGCCUUAUUGAUCUAGUAAUAUCUUUAGGAGAGUCUUCAGAGAAACAUAAAGAAAAUAAUUCUCGGAUAAUAGAAAAUUUAUUAGAAUCAAUAAAGAAUAAAAAUAAAGUAAUAAAGACGCUAGUAGAAAAUCAGGAUUACUUAAAGGAACAAAAUAAUAAAAUAAUAAAAAGAAUAAAAUAUUUAGAAGAACUAAAACAAUUAAAAAUAGAACAUAAAAUUAAUACAGAAAAAAUAACUAAAGAAGUAUUAGAAGAAAUAAGACAAAAAUCUGUAGAAUUAAAACAAUCUUAUAAUCAAGUAGAAGUACUAUUACAUAAAAUAGAAAAAAUCAUUUUAAGUUAAUAUAUGAGUAGUAAUAGUAAUAAGCCACUUCCUUCACAUUAUGUCUUUUAUCCAGAUUAUCUGAAAACAUUAGAAGAAUUAAAAUAUUAUCAUCAAGACUCGUUGGGAUUAACAGAUUAUUCAGGAGCUAUUGCAUCAGAUAAAAUAUAUCCUAAACAAAAUAACUCUAUAAUAGCAUUAUUAAUAUCCUUACAUAAAAAAGUAGAUACAAUAACAGAAAAGGUCAGAGUCUUACAAAUAGAUAAGUUUGAAAAAGAUUUGGAAAAAAUAACGGACCAAUUUAAAAGAUUACAUGUAACAAAGAAAGAAAGUAAACCACAUCUUAGUAAUAUAUUUUCAGUCAAUCCUAAACCACAAAAAUUUUAAAAGAUGGCUAGUAGAACAUCAUUUUCAGGACCUAGUAGAACAGUCAACGAAAACACACAAGUAGGAACUAGUGUAUUAAAUAUAGGGAGACAAUUAAGAAGGAGUAGGAGCAUGCAUUUAGAAGAAGCAAUAGACGUAGAUAGAGACUUGGAAAUAUACAGGAAUAAUGAAAUAAGUUUAUUAAACCCAAGAACUUUGUACUCAGUAGGAUUUCUUAGAAUUAAUACAGGAUUAUUUAGACAAAGCAGAGAAGAACCAGUGAGCGCAUUAAAUAACCCCGUAAAUCUUAGAAUGAUAAUACAACAAAGCAUAAACCAAAUUAGAAGACAGUAUACAUAUAUGCAGAUAGGAUUAAUAGUUAUAGGAAUUAAAGGACUAACAAGGAAAGGAUUAGGGAAAAAAGUAUUAUUAGCAGUAUUAGACAAGAGACAUAAAAAAGUGGAAGAUGCAUUAAUAGCCAGUAUAGAAGUAGAUAUGAAUCAGAACGGAGGAAUAUUUUAUUGCAGCCCAGAUUUUAUGAUAACCUUAGAAGAUAUAAAAAAAUCUAGAAAUAGGAAUACAAACUAAAGGAUAUGAAAAUUUUCAAGAAGAUAAUUUAACAAUAAGUAUCAGAUUUAUAAGAAGAUUAACAAAUAGUAGUAAAACCAGAUAUAAGGUAGAAAUAAAGCCAAUAGUAGAGGCUAUGGCAAGUAAAGGAAUAAAAUUAAUAAAACCAAUAGAAGUAAGUUCAGAAAACUUGGCAGGAGAAGAAUGGGAGAUUAGUAAAUUUAUAGAAGAAAAUAAUCCAAUGGUACCAAAAGAUAGUAUAAUAUAUAAAAAUAGUCAAGGAAGAACAAGCCUUAGGUUUUUUAAUUAUGAACCAACAGCUUUAGGAACAGAUAACGAAGAAAUAGACAAAUCUGACAUAGAAUCAGACCUUAUCGAAAUAAAUUUAUUAGAAGAAGAAUUAAUAGAAAUAAAUCAUAGGAUUCUUUAUCCAAAAGAAUUAAAAAUGGACUUAACAGAGAAAGAACUAUUUGAUUUAGAAAGAAAAUUAGAAGCAAAUGGACAAAUAGCAUUAAACGAAGUAUUAUACUGUGAUAACGUAGGAAAUAUUAGAGUUAAAGAAGAAGAAGAAAAUUCUGAAGAAGAUAAUUUAGAAGUAGCCAGCAUAAUGUCAUAUAGAGAAUUAAUGGAUCAACAACAACAAAGUGGUGAAAGUAGUAACAGGUCAACAGAUAUGCAGACUGAUCCUAGUCACACAGGAAAUGUUAGAACAUAUGAACCAGGACAACCACCCAGAAUAGUCUAUAAUGAAUAUAGAGAACCAGAGGAAAAAUAUAGUUCUAGGGGAAAAAGAAGACCAUUAGAAUUAGAAAUAAAAGAGCAUUCAGUAGAUGAAGGAAAAACUUUAAUGUUAACAUCUUACGAUCCACAAAUGAUAGAAGAUGUAAUAGGAAGCUGGAAAGCUAGAGUAGUAAGAAAUUAUAUACAAAAAGGAUUCGAUCAUAACGUAAUAGAAAUGUAUACAUAUUUAGAAACAUUUUUAGGAGGAGUAGCAAGGGCAGCAUGGGAAGCAUUUAAACAAAAAUUUCCAGAUAGGUUACAACAAGAUCAGGCACAUGGAGUCAAUCCAAUGAAUUUUGUCAACCGAGUAGAAGAAAUUCUAUUAGCAACAAGCCCAAACAGAGGAGGAGUAAUGACACAGAUAGAAUCAGUAAGAAAACUAGAACAAUUAUCAAUUAGAAAUUGGAAAUAUAUUAAACCUUUUUUACAAGACUUUUUAUAUUAUAGUUGUUUAGCAGGAUGUUUUUAUGAUGAAGGAAUUAUAGAAAAAUUAUUUGCAAAAUUACCAGACGACUUAGGAAAGAAAAUAUAUACCUUAUAUAAAGCAACGCCCAUGGAACCAACAUUAAAAAAUGUGAGUACGGCAGUAAGAUUUAUAAUCAAUAGACUAGUAGAAGAAUGUACUUUUAUAAAAAUACAAAGACAAUUAAAAGGAGAAUAUAGUUUUUGCUCAGAAAUAUACACACCACAAAAAUAUGGAGAAAAAGAUAAAGAAAAAAGAAAAUAUAGAAAGCCUUAUAAAAAUUAUAAAAGAUACCCUAGAAAACAAUAUUAUCUUAGGAAAAGCAAAGCUAGAAAACCAUUUCUCAAAAAAGAACACCAUGUUAGAAGAUAUAGACCAGAAAGAACUUAUGGAAAUAGAUUAUCUUGUUUUAUUUGUAAACAACCAAAUCAUUUAGCAACAAAUUGUCCACAAAAACAUAACUCUUUUAAUAGAGAAGCUCACUUAAUAGAAUUAUUUUCAGAAGAUUUAAUAGAAAUAGAUGAUAAUAUACUAGAAACAGAAAGUAUUUAUAGUAUAGUAUCUGAAAACUUAGAUUUAACAGAUUUUAUAGAACAAGAAGACACAAGUUUUAUAGAUGAAAUUUUAGAAAAAUCAGAAGAUAGAACUAUCAUGGAUAAUAUAUAUUUAGAAGAGAUGAAAGAAGAUUUUAAAAUGUUAGAAGAUUUAGAACUAGUUGAAGUAGAGUGUAUCCAUAAAUGGGAACAUAGAAAAGGAAAUUAUAGUAAAGCAUGCUAUAACUGUAAUAAAUAUCCGUCAAUAGAAUUAAGGUUUCAAUGUCAGUUAUGUUAUAUAGAAGGAUGCAAAUUCUGUUUAGACAAAUUUACACAGGAAUAUGUUUUAAUAGAAAAUAUUAAUAAAGAAAAAACUGAAGAAAAUCUGCCUUUAGAACAUUAUUUAGAAAGAAGGAUAAGGAUUUUAGAAAAUAAAGUUGAACAUUUAGAGCAAAAAAUAGAAAAAUUAAGCAAGGGAAAAACAAUAGAAAACGAAGUAUCCAUUGAAAACAUAGAUCUAGAAAUAUUCCCUGAAAUAGAAGAAAUAAAACAUAAUUAUGAUCUAGAAUUAUUACAAGCAGGAACAUCAAAUAUAACAUCCAUAGAAGUAAAAACUCGAAUAAAAAUAGGAGAUUUUGAAACACAAUUACUAGCAGUAAUAGACACAGGAGCUAGUAAUAUAGUAAUCCAACAAGAAUUAAUUCCAGAAAAAUAUUAUGAAAAAGCAUACCAUAUUAGAACGGCUAGACAAAUGGAUGGAAGUACAUAUACAUAUGAUACAGCAUUACAUAAUUCUUUAUUGUUUUUUGAAAUUGAUAGCAUACACUGUACACAACCAUAUCCGGUAACAGAAAUAUAUAUUAGAAGUUUUCCUUAUCAAAUGAUAUUAGGACUAUCAUUUAUUUUACAGGCAUAUCAUGGCAUGAUUCUUACUAGAACAGGAUUAACAUUCCUGAGGGAACAUUUUUUACCAUAUAAUACUUUUUUAACAAGCAAUAAAUUUAAAAUAAAUAAAGAUAAUAAAUUUACAAGACUCUUAGGACUAGAAGAAAAAGAUAAUUGUAAAUGUGAUAUAAAAGGUAGCUGUAAGAAUGAUUCAACCCAAGAAUAUAGGGGGAAGAAUCAGAAAACUAAUUCUUUUGACAAUAUGGAGAUGACUGGAGAAAGACCUUUAUAUUCGUCACAAAGAAUUCAAAACUGUUUAGAAGACAAAGAAUUUGAAGAAUAUUUAGAGAUAGAAAAUUAUGACACAAUAGAAACUAUUUUAAAUAAUGAAAAAUUAUAUGAUCUGUUAGAAACAGGACAUAGAGAUAUAGACCAACUAAUAAGUGAAUUAGAAAAAUUAUAUAGAUAUAUUUUCAGUAAAUUUGAUUGUAAGUCAGGAUUUUGGCAGGUAAAAAUGCAUAAAGAAAGUAUAGAAUGGACAGCAUUUACAUGUCCUUUAAGACACUAUGAGUGGUUAGUAAUGCCUUUUGGGUUAAAAAAUGCACCAGCCAUAUUUCAAAGAAAAAUGGAUAAUAUUUUUAAUAAAUAUAAAGAUUUUGUCAUAGUAUAUAUAGAUGAUAUAUUAGUAUUUUCAAAAAGCAAAGAAGAACAUGUAAGCCAUCUAAAAUUAGUUUUCUCAGAAUUUAUUAAACACGGAAUAAUAAUCAGUAAUAAAAAAGCACAAUUUUUUAGAAAAAAUAUAGAAUUUUUAGGAACAGAAAUAGGACAAGGAAAAAUAAAAUUACAACCACAUAUUUGUAAAAAGGUUUUAGAAUUUCCAGAUAAGAUAGAAGAAACAAAAAAACUUCAACAAUUCUUAGGAUUAUUAAAUUAUGCAAGACCUUUUAUUAAAAAUUCAAAUAAUCUAGUAGCACCAUUGUAUAAUAAAACCUCUUUAAAAGGACAAAAAUUCUUUAAUAAAGAAGAUGUCAAACUAAUACAAGAAAUUAAACAAACAAUAGGCAAUUUACAUGAUCUAAAAUUACCAUUAGACACAGAUUACUUGAUAAUAGAAUGUGAUGGCAGUAGUACCGGAUGGGGAGCAGUUCUUUUUGCAAAACCAAAUAAGUAUAGCAGUAAAAAUAGUGAACAAAUCUGUAGAUAUGCUAGCGGUAAAUAUAAGGAAAAAGGCAAUAGGAGUAGUAUAGAUAAUGAAUUAUUAGCAGUAAAAUAUAGUUUAGAUAAUUUUAGACUUUUCAUAAUCAACAAAUCUGAAAUAACUAUUAGAACAGACUGUGAAGCAAUAAAAAAUUUUUUUGAUAAACAUAAUGAAAAAAGAAGUUCUACUAGAAGAUGGUUAAAUUUUGUAGAUAGUAUUAUUGGUAAUGGAUAUAAAGUAGUUUUCGAACACAUUAAAGGUAAAGAUAAUAAUUUAGCAGAUUUUUUAUCACGACUUUUUAACGAUUCUUCUGAUCUCUUAGCAGAUGGCAUAUAACUUCCAGAAAGUCAAAAUUGGCCAGUGGGAACUUACAAAGUACCCUAAAGGUACAAGUCUACAUUUCCAUAGCCAAGAGGAAGGUAAUUUAGAAGACAUCCAGCAGGAUAUCUUAAAUAACCUCUGGAAUAGCAGAAAUAGCACUGAUAAAGUUCGAAAUCUUAAUAUCUUAGCAUUUUAUUUUAGUAAUCUUCCAAAACAAAGUUUUUCAUAUUACGUAGUGGUAAAAGGAAAAAUACCUGGAAUCUAUUCUAAAUGGAUUUCCGUAAUAGAACAAAUAAAUCAUUUUCAUAAUCCUUUAUGGAAAGCAUUUCAUAGCAUACAGGAAGCAAUAGAAUUUGCUAGACAUAAUAUAGGAACAACAUUUUAUGUAGAUCCUAAGGCUAGCAUGGACAGCAUGAGGGCUCCAGUAUAUCAAAAUACAGAUGCCCCUAGUAGCAGUAGAAAUUAUCAAUAUGCAUUAGAAAAAGAUAACACAAAUAGAAUAGAAUUUUGUAGACAUUGUAAGAGCAUGGAGCAAGCUAUUAGAAGUUUAAAUUUAAAGUGUAGAAAUUUUGAAGAAGAAGAUCUUUCUCAAAAAGAAAAGAUAAAAUCUUUAACUGAACAACUCAAAAAAAUGUAUAAGAUCUCAGGCUCACAAGGAGAUACUAUUCUUUCACAAAUUUCUGAGAUUGGGGAGCUCAAAGGAAGGUUGUCUCAUACAGCAUCUCAAAUGGCCAGUUCUUCAUCCGGCCCAAUAAAACAGACAAUUUUUAUAAAAGAAAAGCCCAUUUCAGAAAGACCAUUUGAAUUUCUUAAGCCCAGAAUAUCCUUUAAACCAUAUCACCUACUUAGUUUCCUCCCUUUACAUAUCCAAGAAAUUAUUAGCCAAAAAACCCAAGCCCAAUAUUAUUCAAAAUUAAUGGCAGUCCAACAAUACUUUUAUGAAAUAGCAAAAGACCCAAUUAGAAAUACAGCAGCCAUUAGACUACACCCAUCUUUCUUCAUCGACCCAGAAAAACAUUGCCCAAACAAUCCAGAAGCCUGUGACCACCAGAAAAUAAAUAGCCAUUGUAUACAUACACUCAGUUAUUUUUUCCUCAGAGCAACUAUUAUUUUAUCAAAAUAUUCAUCCCCAAAGAUACUAAGAGUAAAUGGGGAAAGAGUUAUUUUAACACCACAAUUUCUUAUGGAUGCCGGAUUCCUGGAAAAAAUUAUUGUUACAAAUCCAGAAGAUACUCAUUGUCUUGGAACUCAUCUCGGAUACUUCAUCAGAAAAAUGUUAGACUAUGGACAGUGGGCAACUGUACAUAUCAAAUCCGCAUCAGCAGAAUGGAUAGGACUUUUUGAUAUAGAACCAGCAAUACAUAGAAUGAUGAUUACAGUCAGCAAUAUACCACCAGCAAGGAGAACGACAGAAGAACUAGAGAAAAUCAGCAGCAGUCUAGUGGAAUGUCCAUUAGAAUUAAAAGAACAAUUGAUAAAUGCUAAAAUGAUCCAAUUAGCUUACAGACAUUUCAUAGAUCAAUGGGAAAAUGGAAUUAGAUUAGUAUAUGAAAAUAAGAUACAGAAGCUAUAUGUCCCAUACAGGUUUAAGUUAGAAAAAGAUUUCACUAUAAGCACCAAUUAUCCAGAAGUUUUUGAAAAAUAUUUAGAAGGAUAUUAUAUGAGCACAGGAGCAAGGCAUUUGGAUAUCGAACCAGAUGAAGAAUAUAAUGAUGAUCAUUAUUGGGAAACAAUGGGACCAGAAGAAAUGAGCAACAUCGAGAAUAUGAUGGAAGGAUAAUUCUUCGGCCAUCUUGUCUAGAGCUAUAAUGCAUAGACCGGUCAUAAAGCUUUUAUUGUAUAGUUUGGCCAAAUUACUUUUCAAUGUAUAGGAUGGUCAUAAAGCUUUUAGCCUUUAUUAGCUGUCAGCCGCAUUGUAUAGUUAGGCAAUAUUGAUUGAUGUUUUACGGAUUUCAGUAGGUUUUAAGUCCGUAAAAGUUAACAUGUCAUGUCCACGGACUUUGAGUCAAAAAUUUUAAGUCCGCACAGUUUGCACAAGAAGUCUAUAAAGGCAUACGUCCCAAACCAAUGUUGGGUACGAUGCACUUACACCCUGUAAAUUAAACCAUCCAAUAAAAACUCCAACUUCAUACGUUCUUUAGCAGUUUUUACAAGUCUUUAGCUCUCUCAUAUUGCUAGCAUAAGACGAAAGAGAAAUAAGAAAGUAGAGAUUUAGGCAGCCAACCCUAGAUUAGAUCCAAACAACCGGAAAUUUUGAAAAAGAUACCUUGUUUUUAGGAUCCUAAAAGACCAAAAGACGGUGUAGUACCCAUUAAAGCCUUUCAGUUGCAAAGCAGGCGCCAGGGGAAGAUCCGGUGAGGCAAAACUCCUAAGCACAAGAUUCCUAUUUUCAUAGCAUCAGAAGGAAAAUUUGGAUUUAAAGCAAGGAAGGUAAAAUCUCAGUUAUCUUUCUUAAAGUAUCUAGUAGUCAUUUCUUAAAUUCCAGUUAAUCAUCCUGAUAUUUUAUAUGAAUUUUGAACCGCCUUUUCAAUUUACAUCCACUCAAGAAAACGCAUACAGAUUAGCAUUACAAACCCUCAGACAACCAGAUACCUAUUAUUAUUUUGACAAAAUUAUAGAGGAAAUUGAAACAACAGACCAGUGUUUAGCACACAUACAAAUAGAAGACGCUAGAUUAUCUAAAGUAGCACACCACCAUCCCGCAUCAUUUCUAAAAAAUUUAAGACAAGCAAAAAUAGAUUUACUUUGGCAUAAAUACUCUGAAUUAAAAUCAAUAGAAAGACAAAAGUUAGAAGAACAAGAAAAAUAUAAAAAUAAAAGGAAUUUUUGUAAUAAAGUUUGUAGAACAUUUGAUUAAUCACGUAGGUCUUUAAUUGGAGUCGUAGAAGUCCAACUUUAUAGCUUUAAUCACAUAGGUCUUUAAUUGGAGCCGUAGAAGUCCAACUUUAUAGCUUUAUAGCUUGUUUUUGGUAUCAGAGCUUGCCUUCCCGGUGAGCCUGAUUCCUUAAAGUCAAAGAUAGAUAAAAGAUUAGAAUACUUAGAUCUAGAAAUAAAAAAUAAAUCUAGGAAUAUAAUAACUUUAGAUAAUCAUAAGCAUAUUUGUUAUUUUCAGAACACCUAUAAACAUACCUUACAUAGUAAAGAAAAUAAAAAUUAUAAUAGCCUUAUUGAUCUAGUAAUAUCUUUAGGAGAGUCUUUAGAGAAACAUAAAGAAAAUAAUUCUCGGAUAAUAGAAAAUUUAUUAGAAUCAAUAAAUAAUAAAAAUAAAGUAAUAAAAACAAGCUAUAAAGCUAUAAAGUUGGACUUCUACGGCUCCAAUUAAAGACCUAUGUGAUUAAAGCUAUAAAGUUGGACAAGCUAUAAAGCUAUAAAGUUGGACUUCUACGGCUCCAAUUAAAGACCUACGUGAUUAAUCAAAUGUUCUACAAACUUUAUUACAAAAAUUCCUUUUAUUUUUAUAUUUUUCUUGUUCUUCUAACUUUUGUCUUUCUAUUGAUUUUAAUUCAGAGUAUUUAUGCCAAAGUAAAUCUAUUUUUGCUUGUCUUAAAUUUUUUAGAAAUGAUACGGGAUGGUGGUGUGCUACUUUAGAUAAUCUAGCGUCUUCUAUUUGUAUGUGUGCUAAACACUGGUCUGUUGUUUCAAUUUCCUCUAUAAUUUUGUCAAAAUAAUAAUAGGUAUCUGGUUGUCUGAGGGUUUGUAAUGCUAAUCUGUAUGCGUUUUCUUGAGUGGAUGUAAAUUGAAAAGGCGGUUCAAAAUUCAUAUAAAAUAUCAGGAUGAUUAACUGGAAUUUAAAAAAUGACUACUAGAUACUUUAAGAAAGAUAACUGAGAUUUUACCUUCCUUGCUUUAAAUCCAAAUUUUCCUUCUGAUGCUAUGAAAAUAGGAAUCUUGUGCUUAGGAGUUUUGCCUCACCGGAUCUUCCCCUGGCGCCUGCUUUGCAACUGAAAGGCUUUAAUGGGUACUACACCGUCUUUUGGUCUUUUAGGAUCCUAAAAACAAGGUAUCUUUUUCAAAAUUUCCGGUUGUUUGGAUCUAAUCUAGGGUUGGCUGCCUAAAUCUCUACUUUCUUAUUUCUCUUUCGUCUUAUGCUAGCAAUAUGAGAGAGCUAAAGACUUGUAAAAACUGCUAAAGAACGUAUGAAGUUGGAGUUUUUAUUGGAUGGUUUAAUUUACAGGGUGUAAGUGCAUCGUACCCAACAUUGGUUUGGGACGUAUGCCUUUAUAGACUUCUUGUGCAAACUGUGCGGACUUAAAAUUUUUGACUCAAAGUCCGUGGACAUGACAUGUUAACUUUUACGGACUUAAAACCUACUGAAAUCCGUAAAACAUCAAUCAAUAUUGCCUAACUAUACAAUGCGGCUGACAGCUAAUAAAGGCUAAAAGCUUUAUGACCAUCCUAUACAUUGAAAAGUAAUUUGGCCAAACUAUACAAUAAAAGCUUUAUGACCGGUCUAUGCAUUAUAGCUCUAGACAAGAUGGCCGAAGAAUUAUCCUUCCAUCAUAUUCUCGAUGUUGCUCAUUUCUUCUGGUCCCAUUGUUUCCCAAUAAUGAUCAUCAUUAUAUUCUUCAUCUGGUUCGAUAUCCAAAUGCCUUGCUCCUGUGCUCAUAUAAUAUCCUUCUAAAUAUUUUUCAAAAACUUCUGGAUAAUUGGUGCUUAUAGUGAAAUCUUUUUCUAACUUAAACCUGUAUGGGACAUAUAGCUUCUGUAUCUUAUUUUCAUAUACUAAUCUAAUUCCAUUUUCCCAUUGAUCUAUGAAAUGUCUGUAAGCUAAUUGGAUCAUUUUAGCAUUUAUCAAUUGUUCUUUUAAUUCUAAUGGACAUUCCACUAGACUGCUGCUGAUUUUCUCUAGUUCUUCUGUCGUUCUCCUUGCUGGUGGUAUAUUGCUGACUGUAAUCAUCAUUCUAUGUAUUGCUGGUUCUAUAUCAAAAAGUCCUAUCCAUUCUGCUGAUGCGGAUUUGAUAUGUACAGUUGCCCACUGUCCAUAGUCUAACAUUUUUCUGAUGAAGUAUCCGAGAUGAGUUCCAAGACAAUGAGUAUCUUCUGGAUUUGUAACAAUAAUUUUUUCCAGGAAUCCGGCAUCCAUAAGAAAUUGUGGUGUUAAAAUAACUCUUUCCCCAUUUACUCUUAGUAUCUUUGGGGAUGAAUAUUUUGAUAAAAUAAUAGUUGCUCUGAGGAAAAAAUAACUGAGUGUAUGUAUACAAUGGCUAUUUAUUUUCUGGUGGUCACAGGCUUCUGGAUUGUUUGGGCAAUGUUUUUCUGGGUCGAUGAAGAAAGAUGGGUGUAGUCUAAUGGCUGCUGUAUUUCUAAUUGGGUCUUUUGCUAUUUCAUAAAAGUAUUGUUGGACUGCCAUUAAUUUUGAAUAAUAUUGGGCUUGGGUUUUUUGGCUAAUAAUUUCUUGGAUAUGUAAAGGGAGGAAACUAAGUAGGUGAUAUGGUUUAAAGGAUAUUCUGGGCUUAAGAAAUUCAAAUGGUCUUUCUGAAAUGGGCUUUUCUUUUAUAAAAAUUGUCUGUUUUAUUGGGCCGGAUGAAGAACUGGCCAUUUGAGAUGCUGUAUGAGACAGCCUUCCUUUGAGCUCCCCAAUCUCAGAAAUUUGUGAAAGAAUAGUAUCUCCUUGUGAGCCUGAGAUCUUAUACAUUUCUUUGAGUUGUUCAGUUAAAGAUUUUAUCUUUUCUUUUUGAGAAAGAUCUUCUUCUUCAAAAUUUCUACACUUUAAAUUUAAACUUCUAAUAGCUUGCUCCAUGCUCUUACAAUGUCUACAAAAUUCUAUUCUAUUUGUGUUAUCUUUUUCUAAUGCAUAUUGAUAAUUUCUACUGCUACUAGGGGCAUCUGUAUUUUGAUAUACUGGAGCCCUCAUGCUGUCCAUGCUAGCCUUAGGAUCUACAUAAAAUGUUGUUCCUAUAUUAUGUCUAGCAAAUUCUAUUGCUUCCUGUAUGCUAUGAAAUGCUUUCCAUAAAGGAUUAUGAAAAUGAUUUAUUUGUUCUAUUACGGAAAUCCAUUUAGAAUAGAUUCCAGGUAUUUUUCCUUUUACCACUACGUAAUAUGAAAAACUUUGUUUUGGAAGAUUACUAAAAUAAAAUGCUAAGAUAUUAAGAUUUCGAACUUUAUCAGUGCUAUUUCUGCUAUUCCAGAGGUUAUUUAAGAUAUCCUGCUGGAUGUCUUCUAAAUUACCUUCCUCUUGGCUAUGGAAAUGUAGACUUGUACCUUUAGGGUACUUUGUAAGUUCCCACUGGCCAAUUUUGACUUUCUGGAAGUUAUAUGCCAUCUGCUAAGAGAUCAGAAGAAUCGUUAAAAAGUCGUGAUAAAAAAUCUGCUAAAUUAUUAUCUUUACCUUUAAUGUGUUCGAAAACUACUUUAUAUCCAUUACCAAUAAUACUAUCUACAAAAUUUAACCAUCUUCUAGUAGAACUUCUUUUUUCAUUAUGUUUAUCAAAAAAAUUUUUUAUUGCUUCACAGUCUGUUCUAAUAGUUAUUUCAGAUUUGUUGAUUAUGAAAAGUCUAAAAUUAUCUAAACUAUAUUUUACUGCUAAUAAUUCAUUAUCUAUACUACUCCUAUUGCCUUUUUCCUUAUAUUUACCGCUAGCAUAUCUACAGAUUUGUUCACUAUUUUUACUGCUAUACUUAUUUGGUUUUGCAAAAAGAACUGCUCCCCAUCCGGUACUACUGCCAUCACAUUCUAUUAUCAAGUAAUCUGUGUCUAAUGGUAAUUUUAGAUCAUGUAAAUUGCCUAUUGUUUGUUUAAUUUCUUGUAUUAGUUUGACAUCUUCUUUAUUAAAGAAUUUUUGUCCUUUUAAAGAGGUUUUAUUAUACAAUGGUGCUACUAGAUUAUUUGAAUUUUUAAUAAAAGGUCUUGCAUAAUUUAAUAAUCCUAAGAAUUGUUGAAGUUUUUUUGUUUCUUCUAUCUUAUCUGGAAAUUCUAAAACCUUUUUACAAAUAUGUGGUUGUAAUUUUAUUUUUCCUUGUCCUAUUUCUGUUCCUAAAAAUUCUAUAUUUUUUCUAAAAAAUUGUGCUUUUUUAUUACUGAUUAUUAUUCCGUGUUUAAUAAAUUCUGAGAAAACUAAUUUUAGAUGGCUUACAUGUUCUUCUUUGCUUUUUGAAAAUACUAAUAUAUCAUCUAUAUAUACUAUGACAAAAUCUUUAUAUUUAUUAAAAAUAUUAUCCAUUUUUCUUUGAAAUAUGGCUGGUGCAUUUUUUAACCCAAAAGGCAUUACUAACCACUCAUAGUGUCUUAAAGGACAUGUAAAUGCUGUCCAUUCUAUACUUUCUUUAUGCAUUUUUACCUGCCAAAAUCCUGACUUACAAUCAAAUUUACUGAAAAUAUAUCUAUAUUGGAUUCUAUUUAUUAACUCAUUUUUAUCUGGUAUAUCAUAGCUAUCUUCUUUAGUAUUAUCAUUUAAUCUUUUAUAAUUUAUUACCAUUCUGCUUUUUCCUCUAACUAUUUCACUAUAUUUUUUAACUAUAAAUGCUGCACUUCUGUGUGGACUAGUACUUCUUCUAAUUAUUUUUAACUUAUUUAAAUCUGCUAUAUGCAUUUCGAAUUCUUUUAUAUCAUCAUUAUUAGCUUCUAUCUUUGCUGUGCUAAUUUUUAAAUUUGGAUUUAAAAUAUCUAACUUACAUUCUGUUUUGUCCUUAUCCCAAUGAAUAGUUGGAUUUUCUCCAAAAAUUUCUAAUUUUUCUAAUUCACUUAUUAGUUGGUCUAUAUCUCUAUGUCCUGUUUCUAACAGAUCAUAUAAUUUUUCAUUAUUUAAAAUAGUUUCUAUUGUGUCAUAAUUUUCUAUCUCUAAAUAUUCUUCAAAUUCUUUGUUUUCUAAACAGUUUUGAAUUCUUUGUGACGAAUAUAAAGGCCUUUCUCCAGUCAUCUCCAUAUUGUCAAAAGAAUUAGUUUUCUGAUUCUUCCUCCUAUAUUCUUGGGUUGAAUCAUUCUUACAGCUACCUUUUAUAUCACAUUUACAAUUAUCUUUUUCUUCUAGUCCUAAGAGUCUUGUAAAUUUAUUAUCUUUAUUUAUUUUAAAUUUAUUGCUUGUUAAAAAAGUAUUAUAUGGUAAAAAAUGUUCCUUCAGGAAUGUUAAUCCUGUUCUAGUAAGAAUCAUGCCAUGAUAUGCCUGUAAAAUAAAUGAUAGUCCUAAUAUCAUUUGAUAAGGAAAACUUCUAAUAUAUAUUUCUGUUACCGGAUAUGGUUGUGUACAGUGUAUGCUAUCAAUUUCAAAAAACAAUAAAGAAUUAUGUAAUGCUGUAUCAUAUGUAUAUGUACUUCCAUCCAUUUGUCUAGCCGUUCUAAUAUGGUAUGCUUUUUCAUAAUAUUUUUCUGGAAUUAAUUCUUGUUGGAUUACUAUAUUACUAGCUCCUGUGUCUAUUACUGCUAGUAAUUGUGUUUCAAAAUCUCCUAUUUUUAUUCGAGUUUUUACUUCUAUGGAUGUUAUAUUUGAUGUUCCUGCUUGUAAUAAUUCUAGAUCAUAAUUAUGUUUUAUUUCUUCUAUUUCAGGGAAUAUUUCUAGAUCUAUGUUUUCAAUGGAUACUUCGCUUUCUAUUGUUUUUCCCUUGCUUAAUUUUUCUAUUUUUUGCUCUAAAUGUUCAACUUUAUUUUCUAAAAUCCUUAUCCUUCUUUCUAAAUAAUGUUCUAAAGGCAGAUUUUCUUCAGUUUUUUCUUUAUUAAUAUUUUCUAUUAAAACAUAUUCCUGUGUAAAUUUGUCUUAACAGAAUUUGCAUCCUUCUAUAUAACAUAACUGACAUUGAAACCUUAAUUCUAUUGACGGAUAUUUAUUACAGUUAUAGCAUGCUUUACUAUAAUUUCCUUUUCUAUGUUCCCAUUUAUGGAUACACUCUACUUCAACUAGUUCUAAAUCUUCUAACAUUUUAAAAUCUUCUUUCAUCUCUUCUAAAUAUAUAUUAUCCAUGAUAGUUCUAUCUUCUGAUUUUUCUAAAAUUUCAUCUAUAAAACUUGUGUCUUCUUGUUCUAUAAAAUCUGUUAAAUCUAAGUUUUCAGAUACUAUACUAUAAAUACUUUCUGUUUCUAGUAUAUUAUCAUCUAUUUCUAUUAAAUCUUCUGAAAAUAAUUCUAUUAAGUGAGCUUCUCUAUUAAAAGAGUUAUGUUUUUGUGGACAAUUUGUUGCUAAAUGAUUUGGUUGUUUACAAAUAAAACAAGAUAAUCUAUUUCCAUAAGUUCUUUCUGGUCUAUAUCUUCUAACAUGGUGUUCUUUUUUGAGAAUGGUUUUCUAGCUUUGCUUUUCCUAAGAUAAUAUUGUUUUCUAGGGUAUCUUUUAUAAUUUUUAUAAGGCUUUCUAUAUUUUCUUUUUUCUUUAUCUUUUUCUCCAUAUUUUUGUGGUGUGUAUAUUUCUGAGCAAAAACUAUAUUCUCCUUUUAAUUGUCUUUGUAUUUUUAUAAAAGUACAUUCUUCUACUAGUCUAUUGAUUAUAAAUCUUACUGCCGUACUCACAUUUUUUAAUGUUGGUUCCAUGGGCGUUGCUUUAUAUAAGGUAUAUAUUUUCUUUCCUAAGUCGUCUGGUAAUUUUGCAAAUAAUUUUUCUAUAAUUCCUUCAUCAUAAAAACAUCCUGCUAAAUAACUAUAAUAUAAAAAGUCUUGUAAAAAAGGUUUAAUAUAUUUUCAAUUUCUAAUUGAUAAGUGUUCUAGUUUUCUUACUGAUUCUAUCUGUGUCAUUACUCCUCCUCUGUUUGGGCUUGUUGCUAAUAGAAUUUCUUCUACUCGGUUGACAAAAUUCAUUGGAUUGACUCCAUGUGCCUGAUCUUGUUGUAACCUAUCUGGAAAUUUUUGUUUAAAUGCUUUCCAUGCUGCCCUUGCUACUCCUCCUAAAAAUGUUUCUAAAUAUGUAUACAUUUCUAUUACAUUAUGAUCGAAUCCUUUUUGUAUAUAAUUUCUUACUACUCUAGCUUUCCAGCUUCCUAUUACAUCUUCUAUCAUUUGUGGAUCGUAAGAUGUUAACAUUAAAGUUUUUCCUUCAUCUACUGAAUGCUCUUUUAUUUCUAAUUCUAAUGGUCUUCUUUUUCCCCUAGAACUAUAUUUUUCCUCUGGUUCCCUAUAUUCAUUAUAGACUAUUCUGGGUGGUUGUCCUGGUUCAUAUGUUCUAACAUUUCCUGUGUGACUAGGAUCAGUCUGCAUAUCUGUUGACCUGUUACUACUUUCACCACUUUGUUGUUGUUGAUCCAUUAAUUCUCUAUAUGACAUUAUGCUGGCUACUUCUAAAUUAUCUUCUUCAGAAUUAUCUUCUUCUUCUUUAACUCUAAUAUUUCCUACGUUAUCACAGUAUAAUACUUCGUUUAAUGCUAUUUGUCCAUUUGCUUCUAAUUUUCUUUCUAAAUCAAAUAGUUCUUUCUCUGUUAAGUCCAUUUUUAAUUCUUUUGGAUAAAGAAUCCUAUGAUUUAUUUCUAUUAAUUCUUCUUCUAAUAAAUUUAUUUCGAUAAGGUCUGAUUCUAUGUCAGAUUUGUCUAUUUCUUCGUUAUCUGUUCCUAAAGCUGUUGGUUCAUAAUUAAAAAACCUAAUGCUUGUUCUUCCUUGACUAUUUUUAUAUAUUAUACUAUCUUUUGGUACCAUUGGAUUAUUUUCUUCUAUAAAUUUACUAAUCUCCCAUUCUUCUCCUGCCAAGUUUUCUGAACUUACUUCUAUUGGUUUUAUUAAUUUUAUUCCUUUACUUGCCAUAGCCUCUACUAUUGGCUUUAUUUUUACCUUAUAUCUGGUUUUACUACUAUUUGUUAAUCUUCCUAUAAAUCCGAUACUUAUUGUUAAAUUAUCUCCUUGAAAAUUUUCAUAUCCUUUAGUUUGUAUUCCUAUUUCUAGAUUUUUUAUAUCUUCUAAGGUUAUCAUAAAAUCUGGGCUGCAAUAAAAUAUUCCUCCGUUCUGAUUCAUAUCUACUUCUAUACUGGCUAUUAAUGCAUCUUCCACUUUUUUAUGUCUCUUGUCUAAUACUGCUAAUAAUACUUUUUUCCCUAAUCCUUUCCUUGUUAGUCCUUUAAUUCCUAUAACUAUUAAUCCUAUAUGCAUAUAUGUAUACUGUCUUCUAAUUUGGUUUAUGCUUUGUUGUGUUAUCAUUCUAAGAUUUACGGGGUUAUUUAAUGCGCUCACUGGUUCUUCUCUGCUUUGUCUAAAUAAUCCUGUAUUACUUCUAAGAAAUCCUACUGAGUACAAAGUUCUUGGGUUUAAUAAACUUAUUUCAUUAUUCCUGUAUAUUUCCAAGUCUCUAUCUACGUCUAUUGCUUCUUCUAAAUGCAUGCUCCUACUCCUUCUUAAUUGUCUCCCUAUAUUUAAUACACUAGUUCCUACUUGUGUGUUUUCGUUGACUGUUCUACUAGGUCCUGAAAAUGAUGUUCUACUAGCCAUCUUUUAAAAUUUUUGUGGUUUAGGAUUGACUGAAAAUAUAUUACUAAGAUGUGGUUUACUUUCUUUCUUUGUUACAGGUAAUCUUUUAAAUUGGUCCGUUAUUUCUUCCAAAUCUUUUUCAAACUUAUCUAUUUGUAAGACUCUGACCUUUUCUGUUAUUGUAUCUACUUUUUUAUGUAAGGAUAUUAAUAAUGCUAUUAUAGAGUUAUUUUGUUUAGGAUAUAUUUUAUCUGAUGCACUAGCUCCUGAAUAAUCUGUUAAUCCCAACGAGUCUUGAUGAUAAUAUUUUAAUUCUUCUAAUGUUUUCAGAUAAUCUGGAUAAAAGACAUAAUGUGAAGGAAGUGGCUUAUUACUAUUACUACUCAUAUAUUAACUUAAAAUGAUUUUUUCUAUUUUAUGUAAUAGUACUUCUACUUGAUUAUAAGAUUGUUUUAAUUCUACAGAUUUUUGUCUUAUUUCUUCUAAUACUUCUUUAGUUAUUUUUUCUGUAUUAAUUUUAUGUUCUAUUUUUAAUUGUUUUAGUUCUUCUAAAUAUUUUAUUCUUUUUAUUAUUUUAUUAUUUUGUUCCUUUAAGUAAUCCUGAUUUUCUACUAGCGUUUUUAUUACUUUAUUUUUAUUCUUUAUUGAUUCUAAUAAAUUUUCUAUUAUCCGAGAAUUAUUUUCUUUAUGUUUCUCUAAAGACUCUCCUAAAGAUAUUACUAGAUCAAUAAGACUAUUAUAAUUUUUAUCUUCUUUACUAUGUAAGGUAUGUUUAUAGGUGUUCUGAAAAUAACAAAUAUGCUUAUGAUUAUCUAAAGUUAUUAUAUUCCUAGAUUUAUUUUCUAUUUCUAGAUCUAAGUAUUCCUAGAUUUAUUUCUUGACUGAAAAUAUUUCUAGAUCUAUGUUUUCAAUGGAUACUUCGCUUUCUAUUGUUUUUCCCUUGCUUAAUUUUUCUAUUUUUUGCUCUAAAUGUUCAACUUUAAAAAGUAAUAUUGUUUAUUUUUUAUUGUUAAGUAAAUUUAAUCUCAUAAAAUGAUAAUAAAAUGUAAAUCUAAUAUUUCUAUAAAGUAAAUAAAUAAAUUUUAUAUACACUGUCAGCGUAUAUACUAUCACUAUUAGAUAUAUGACACAUGAAUAAAAAUAUCUAAUGUGUCAUAUAUCUAAUGAGUAAAAUUAUCUAAUGAGUAAAAAUGUAAAAAUAUCUAAUGUGUCAUAUAUCUAAUGAGUAAAAAAUCUAAUGAGUAAAAAUAUUGAAUUUUUACUCAUGUGUCAUAUAUUUAAUAGUGAUAAUAUAUAUAAGAUUAAUCCAAAGUAAAUUUAAUAUUGUUAAAUAAAUUUAGUCAUCUUAAAUCUUUGCCAAUUGCCACCUACACUCCACCGCUUCCUACUAGCCUAAACGCACAACCUUGCGGUGGACCCAUCACCAACUAUCCUUCGCUAUUGCCGAGACUCAUUUUAUUGCUUACCGACCAUUUUUAAAUGUAUUCAAUGCCAACAAUGAAAACAUAACAUGCCAAAAAUUUUCAAUGGACCCCAAAAAUACUACACGUAAAGAUUUUAAAAGAAUAUUCCCAUUAUGAAAAUUUUCUAAAAGCAUCCUAAAAGUAACCCAUCAAAAUGGAGCCACACUCUGUGUAACAUUUGUGAAUUGUCGUUCCUAAACUAAUUUUCAUACCUUUAGAUUAGCUGUUUUUAAGGGUAUUUUUGAAAAAUUUUACUGUAACAGAGUUUUUAGAGUAUGUUUUGGAAUAUUUUUAGAAAAUAUUAUGGUAUAUUUAAGAGUAUAAGAGUUUCUAGAAUAUAUUUUGGAAUAUUUUUAAAAUUUUAAAAAAAAUUAAACUAAUUUUUAGAUUACCUUUCAAAGUACUUUUUAAAAAUUUUUAUUGUAUUUGAAAAACUAGUUUUUGAAAAACACUCCCAUCCAAAACUAGUUUUUAAUAUAAUUUUUGUUUAGGGAUAAUAUUAGAUACCUCCCCUUAGGUUUCUCUUAAUAUCACCUGAUACCCCUAAGGUUUCAAAAAUAUCACUUACCUCCCUUACUUUAGUUAUUUGUGUAACAAAAUUUUUAAAAACCUAAACUACCCUUUCACUUACUAAAUAAAAAUGAUCCUAAGUCACUUUGUUCACUUCAAGAAAAUCAUCACUUCAAAAGCAAUCUCUUGUAGUACUACUACAUCACAAUGCUACACCCUAUAAAAAUAUAAAUUUGAAAAAUAAAAAUGAUAUUUGAAAGGAAAUACAUUUGUAUCAAUUUAAUUCGAUAUGUUCAAAAUCGAUUUUUUAUAAAUUUACAUUUUUUCCACCAAUUUCUUUACCCUUGCUCAAACCAUUAAAUUAUACCAAUUAUUAUAAAAAAUCAACUCAAAAUAAGCAAAUAAAUAGUACCCCACUUUAUCACAAUCACAAAAAGUAAAAGAUAAAUAAAAUUUAAUUUAUUAUAAUUUAUAAUAUAAUAUUGCAUAUUCAUCCAAAAAAUAUGAGGAAGAGAGAAUGAUGGAAAAAAGAGAAAAAGAAGAAAGAUGACUUCCAUUUUUUUUUUUGAGCUUCAUUUAUUUAAUAUGUUGUAAAUUAUGUGUUAAGUGAGGGUUAGUAUAGUCUUUUUACAAUUAUUAGGGGGAAGUAAGUGAUGUUUCUAAAACCUCAAGGGUGCUAAGUGAUAUUAAGAGAAACCUCAAGGGAGGUUUCUGAUAUUAUCCCUUUUGUUUAACAAACAUCCUUAUUCUUAAUUUCAAUUGGAAGUUCAAACUUUAAGUAGUUUAGUAUCAUUCCGUAAAUUUAGGCCUUGUUUGAAUUGUAUUUUUCUGAAUUUUUUUGUAGAAAAAUUAUUAUAACGAUUUGAUAUGUGUUAAAUAAAAAGAUGAUAAGAAAAUAUGUUCACGAAAAAAGUAAUAAUUUUUCUUUGAAAAUUUACUGUCCAAACAGCCUUGGCUUCCUUUAACUUUUCCGACAAUCCCUGCCUGUCAGCUUCCUGCUUCCUUCUUCCCUUGUCCUCAUACUCCACCUUGCAACAACCCCGUUCCAUGCUACUUUUCCAUAUCCUCGCAACCCCUGAAUGCAAAUUGUCCCUUCUGUAGAUGCUGCAUCUUUGGAGCCAAAUUUUGUGCAUUAUUUUCAUAUUAUCCUUUCUAAACUAAUUUUCGUAGUUUCAAUUUGUCUUUAGUUUAAAUAAAAACUUUAAGUAGUUGGAAAAUAUCCUUCUCCAUUUCUUUAGUCAUAACUAUGAUAUAAUUUUGAUUCUAAUUGCUCAACAAAAGAAUAGGUAAAAAUAUUAUAUUUCUUUUUUAUGCUCUAACAAAAUCUAACAAUUCUAAUAGCAUGAAUAACAUCCGAUUAUAUAUAAUUCAGGUCCAAUUUUAGAUCUAGGUCUGGGCCGAAAUUUAGAGCUAUUUUUUAUUUUCUGUGCAUGGUGAUUCCAAAAAUUGAAGUAUCUGAUAAGUAUAUUUCAUUUUUUUAUUCUGGGUAUGAUUUGUAAAUUUUACUUAGGAAAGCAAUACAAAAAAUAUUGAAAUUUUUGUUGUUCUCUUUUUGUAUUUUUUUCAGUCAAUUUUGCUAAUUCGCUAAAUUGUUCAACUAUAUGAUUUGGAAUCUUGUUAUAUCUUGGAGGAUAGGAACUUAGAUUAGUUCCCUUUUUUUGGGUAUGAUUUGUAAAUUUUAGUUAGGAAAAGAAUACAAAAUUGUUGAAUAUUUCGUAAUUUUGUGUUGGGUGUGUUAGUCAAUUUUGCUAAUUUGCUAAGCUGUUCAGCAUGUGUGAUUUGGAAUAUUGUUAUUUCUUUGGAGGACAAGAACUUAAAUUAUUAGUUUAUGUUAGUCAAAGAUUGUAUUUUGGUCAAUUUUUGAUAUUGAUUAUUAUGGAUACAAUUAUUUUUAGUUUCAACUACGUAUAAAUAUUUUUGGUAUAUUUAUUUAAUUGCAUUGUUAGAGGGUUGAACAUUGUAGGGAUCUGUUUGGACAGCGAUUUUCUUCAAAAAAAUUGCUACGUUUGCUGUGAACACAGUUCCCUAUCACUUUUUUAUUUCACAUAUAUUAAAUCGCUACAGUAAUUUUUCUACAAAAAAUUCAGAAAAAUGCAAUCCAAACCAGGCCUAAGUAAAAUAGGGAAUAGAAUAAAACUAAGGUAUGCUACAAUACCUAAUCCAAACCUUAUGUUUGGUAUGAUUAAUUAAUUGCAUUUAUUAAGAGAGCGACUAUUAUAUGCCAUGUCUGGGGCUACGUUAAAAUUAAGGAAUUAAAAGCAACAAAGCAAUGCAUGACAUUAUGGUGAAUCCAAACCGAAGACAUGAAUCAAUUUUUGAAAAAAAAAAUAAAUUAAAAAUCUAGAAAAAUAGGAUGAGUAGUUGAAGGCUCAAUAUGUUUUGAGCCUAUUGAGCCUUCAAUAACGUAGGAUUGAAGGGUGGAAUUUAAGAAACAAAAAGGGUUUUGAGCCUAAAAGAUCUCUAAUUAUUGAACUCUCAACCUUAACCGGUAAACCUUUUUCUCCGUGUUGUAUCACAACGCGAUUGCAUUUGCACCUGGACUGCCACUCAAAACUCUUUUGUUGAUCCGGUCUGGGGAUUGGCUUUCAAUGUUGUGGCUAUGGACAGCAAGGAAUUUGUCUAUGUUUCAGCAGAGACAUAUCUCGGCUGCGGACAUAGUUUCUGCUGUCUUGGCUUCUGUAAAGGAAGUGAUGACAGGUUAGAGGAAGAUCCCUUUAACUAGAGCCAACUGGGAAUUGGCUUUGGAGCUUGGCUUGCCUCUGCGUCUUAGCUCGUGAUGGUUAAUUCGUAUGCUUAAACAGUGAUUAGUUGCAAGUAACUGGAUUCUAUGCAUUCCUGUGCACAAGCUUCACUUCUGUGAUCAGUAAGAACAUAUUUUGCUAUGAGAUUAUUUAUAUAUGUGAGUCACAUUCACAUUGAGGUCGAGGAAAAAAAAAAUUUCUUGCUUAAGACCGCGCGUCACAGCACCAUCACAGCUGUUGAAUGAAGGAUUGAGUGGGAAAAUCUUGACAACUUAAACAUAAUUAAAUAAUACCAUUCACCUGUUUGAGCGCAGAAAUAAGAAAUCAUGCCAUUCACGUUUUCGUGUACGGAUGUUUGGAUUUUCUAGAUGCUGAACAUCCACUUGAGAUAAACUCAUCUAUAAAAUGGUCAUGUUGGAUCCUUAAUCCAACAUUGGACUUAUAUGUGAAUAAUUAUGUAUUGCAAACUGUCAAUUAAGGUUAAACCCAAUUAAAGUGAUCAAAUAUAGUUUGGAUUUAAUGUAUCUAAUAGGAUGUGGGCCCUUUUAUGUGUAGAAACUUAUGGGCUCCUAUUUCAAUGAUGGGCUGAAAUAGGGCUCCAAAGGUAACAGGAAUGUUACCUAUAAAUAGGGUUAUGGUCCCCAAGUCACAAGUAUCGUUUUAGUUGUAGUAUUUCCUAAUACCACAAAAUACAUCUUCCCUGAUAUCCCAUCGUCAGGAUAGAUACCAGAGAGAAACUAAAGGCCUCUCUCAAAGGAUUGGUGAAUACCUGUUGACCUGGAAGGCCACCCCAAAUAUCUAAGGGAUUCAAGGAUCAAGUUUAUCAAUAUGGAUUCAGGUACGCUUCCGCAAUUUUACAGUUAAUUUAUUUCUUAAUAAUCGCCAUAUAGAUCUUGGGUUUAAAGGUGAUGGAUUUCACCAGUGGUUAGAUUUAGAUAACCACACUAACAAGUGGUAUCAGAGCCCAUAUGGUUGAUUAUUGGGAAAUAAUUUGGAUUUAGAAAUUCAUAAUUUUUGAGUUUUUGUUCAUAUAGAACUAUGAUUAAUUUUGGCUUUGCUUGCACGGCUAACAAGUCUUUGUUCCGUGGUUCAUUGUCAAGUUCAAUAAUUGUUUCAUGAUACGGCUUCAUGUUUCGGAUUUGAUAUUUAUUUUGGAAGUCUCGGUUGCUGAUGGUAUGAAUUGCUGUGAUAAACAAUUGUUGUUCUAAUGGCACGCAGUGUGAUUUCAUCCAUAUUGAUGUCUUUAUGCUUUCGUACAAUUACAUCAGAUAACUCAUGAAUUCGGUCAACACUUGAAGUUAGUGGGCUCCAUGAAUUCUUACAUAUGAAUUGAUAUGAUAUUUAAGUGGGCUCCAUGGUAAUCAAACUUUAGCCACGGUUCAUUGGUAUUUUAGUGUGCCAACUUCCUUUGUAAACCAAUUUGGUUUCUGGCUUCGGGAGGUCUUUCGUCUUUUUCCCUGGUUUUAAGAAUUAAAAUUGACAUGAAAUAUCCUGAGUUUCAAUUUUUGUCCAUAGUAUUAAUUUAGUUAAUACUUGAGUUGUUUGACCUGUUUCUUUGUUUAAGGAUAUAUAUGCCUAUAUUUAUGUUAAGGAUAUUAGGGUUUCUUUAAUUUAAGUGAACCCUAAUAAAGCUAAUAAGAUAUUUAAGCCCUACAAAGUCCAUAUGUUUGGCCCACUAUAUAUAUAAUUUUAUAAAGUAUUUAUGGACUUAAAAAAAAAAAAUUGGGCUUGAAUAAUAAAUUGGGUCAAAUUAUGGAUAUGGACCUUUGGUCCAAUAAGUUUUGAUUCAAUUAAUUGUUUGAUCAGAGUUAACUAAAGUUGACUUUGAUCAAAAUUUUGAUUAAUUUGUAUAAUUUUAAAUUUGAAUAUUGGUAUGAUUAUAUAUAUUUUGGAAUGAAUUAAUUGAAAUAAUAUGCCACCAAAGUGACCUCUAUUAUGAAAAUUAAUUUAUUUUAGAAUAUAACUAGUUGAGUACUUGUAAUUUUAUGAAUAUUGAUCGGCCCAAAGGAAGGUCCAUAUUUAAUAAAAUUACAUGUGCACUUGUGGUAAUAAAUACGUGAUAAUUAUUUGGAUUUUACAUGUGAUUUAUAAAUUGGCCCAAAGGAAAAUUUAUUUUUCGACAUGUUAUUAUUAUCAGUAUUUAUUACUGCACCAAGAUAUCACUCAGAAGUUAAUAUUUUUGUCCAAAGACGAAAUAUUAAUGGAAUAUCGGUAUCUUGAGAUGGGACUGCCAUUAUUUGAAUUUAUUAUUGUUUUGAUUUAUGUGAGCUUGUUUUAAUUAUGUUAUGUUUUCUGUUCAGUUGCGAAUGAUCUUACAAAUAUUACUUCCAAUAUCAAUAAUAUUCCUAUGCUGAAUGGCACAAAUUUCAAGUCCUGAAAAGAAAAUCUCUUGAUAGUACUUGGAAUAAUGGAUCUCGACCUUGCGUUAAGGAAUGAUUCACCCCCACCUCUUAUAGAUCAGAGUACCUCUGAUGAAAAGAGAAAUAAUGAGAGGUGGGAGAGAUCAAAUCGCUUGUGUCUGAUGAUCAUUAAAAAGGCCGUUCCAGAAGCAUUCAGGGGAACAAUGUCAGAAACGACUGUAACCGCUAAAGAGUUCCUUCAGGACAUUGAAAAAAGGUUUGUCAAGAACGAAAAGGCUGAAGGUAGUACGCUCUUGACACGCCUUGUUUCAAUGAAAUAUAGUAAUUUGGUUUGUUCUGAAGUUAAUUUAACUUCGGUACCUAGACACACAUGGUGGUUAGAUUCUGGUGCAACAACUCACAUCAGUGUGUCUAUGCAGGGUUGCCUGAAUUGCCGAAAGCCUAAUGAUAGUGAAAGAUAUAUCUACGUGGGCGAUGGCAAAACAGUUCAAGUUGAGGCAAUUGGAGUUUUUAGAUUAUUGUUAAAGACCGGAUUUUAUUUGGAUCUCAAUGAGACAUUUGUUGUACCGUCUUUUAAACGGAAUUUAAUUUCUAUUUCUGCUUUGGACAAAUUUGGUUAUUUUUGUUCAUUUGGAAAUGGAAAAUUUGAAUUGUUUCAUGAUUCAAAAUUGGUUGGUUCUGGUUCUUUAAUGCACUACGAUAAUCUAUAUUUAAUUGACACAAUUACCUCAUUUAAUGAAUCUCUGCAUUUGAGUACUAGAGGAGUUAAAAGAAAAUUAGCCAAUGAGAAUUCAGCUGCAUUAUGGCACAAGAGAUUGGGACAUAUCUCCAAACGGAGAAUGGAAAGGCUUGUGUCAAAUGAAAUUCUCGGUCCCUUGAAUUUUACAGAUUUUAAUGAUUGUAUUAACUGUAUAAAGGGAAAACAAACCAAUAAAAGGAGAUUUGAAGCCAAUAGGUCCUUAGACGUCUUAGAACUUAUACAUACAGAUAUUUGUGGACCAUUUCCUACAUCUGCUUGGAAUGGUCAACAAUAUUUUAUAACGUUCAUAGACGAUUUUUCAAGAUAUCGCUACAUAUAUCUCAUUUCUGAAAAGUCACAGUCACUAGACGUGUUCAAAAAUUUUAAGGCCGAAGUUGAGAAUCAACUCAACAAAAGAAUUAAAAGCGUCAAAUCUGACCGUGGUGGUGAGUACUAUGGCAGAUAUGACGGUUCAGGUGAACAACGUCCAGGACCAUUUGCUAAAUAUCUAGAGGAAUGCGGUAUCGUCCCACAGUACACUAUGCCGGGUUCACCCACUAUGAAUGGUGUAGCUGAAAGACGAAAUAGAACGCUUAAAGACAUGGUAAGGAGUAUGAUAUGUCAUUCUACUUUACCAAAGUCACUCUGGGGUGAAGCACUUAAGACUGCAGCAUAUAUCCUUAAUAGGGUUCCAACUAAAGCAACUAUCAAAACCCCUUAUGAGCUUUGGACAGGGAAAAAGCCCAGUUUAAAGCAUCUACACAUUUGGGGAUGUCCAGCUGAGGCAAGGCCUUAUAGGCCUAAUGAAAAGAAACUGGACUCAAGAACGAUUAGUUGUUAUUUUAUUGGAUACUCUAAAAGAUCCAGGGGUUACAAGUUUUAUGAUCCCACAGCCAAAUCAAUUUUUGAGACAGGAAAUACUCGGUUCUUUGAGGAUGUCGAGUUUGGGGGAGAAAAUACAGUAAGAGACAUUGCCUUUAAAGAGGAAUAUAUUAAUAUUCCCACAGGUGUCAUUGCUCUUGCUCAGGACCCUAUUCCUGAACUUGAUCAUGGCAUAACAAAUCAAGACAAUGUUGAAGAGCAAACUGUUAUAGAAGAACAAACUCUUCCUCUUCAAGAAUCAGUGCCAUUAAGAAGAUCCACUAGAGAAAUGAGAAGUGCAGUGCCAGAUGAUUACAUUGUUUUUCUCCAAAAACAUGAGGAUGACUCUGGAUUGAUGGAAGAUGAUCCAAUCAACUUCCGUCAAGCCAUGAAAAGUUCAAAUUCUCAAAAGUGGGUCGAUACAAUGAAUGAAGAGAUUAAAUCCAUGAAGGAUAAUGACGUUUGGGAUCUUGUCCCAUUGCCAGAAGGAGCGAAACCCAUUGGUUGUAAAUGGAUAUUUAAAAUCAAGAGGGAUUCGAAAGGCAAUGUGGAAAGAUACAAAGCUCGUCUUGUUGCUAAGGGAUUUACACAAAAGGAAGGUAUCGAUUAUAAAAAAACCUUCUCUCCAGUCUCUUCAAAGGACUCUUUUAGAAUUAUCAUGGCAUUAGUGGCAUAUUUUGAUCUUGAGUUACAUCAGAUGGAUGUAAAGACAGCGUUUCUCAAUGGUAACAUUGAUGAGACGAUUUAUAUGGUGCAACCAGAAAACUUUGUAUCUGGAGAUCCAAAGAAUAUGGUUUGCAAACUUAAAAAAUCCAUCUAUGGGCUCAAACAAGCGUCUCGACAAUGGUAUUUCAAAUUUCAUCAAGUGAUUAUCUCAUUUGGUUUUGAGAUGAAUCUAGUAGAUGAUUGCAUAUACCAUAAGUUCUGUGGGAGCAAACAUAUUUUUCUGGUAUUAUAUGUUGAUGACAUUUUGCUUGCCAGUAACGAUAUUGGUUUAUUGUAUGAAACCAAGAAAUUUCUAAUUAAGAAUUUUGAGAUGAAAGAUCUUGGUGAUGCAUCUUUUGUGUUAGGCAUACAGAUACACCGUGAUCGCUCUCGGGGUAUUUUAGGACUAUCACAAAAGGGUUAUAUCGAAAAGGUCCUUAAAAGGUAUGGCAUGCAAAAUUGUAAACCAGGUGACACCCCUAUGGCUAAAGGAGACAAAUUUAGUCUUGAGCAGUGUCCCAAGAAUGCUUUUGAGGAAAAAGAGAUGCAAAAGAUUCCUUAUGCCUCAGCAGUGGGGAGUCUAAUGUAUGCUCAAGUAUGUACGCGUCCGGAUAUUGCGUACAUUACUGGAAUGUUGGGUAGAUAUUUGAGUAAUCCUGGAUUAGAUCAUUGGAAAGCAACCAAACGGGUCUUACGAUAUCUAUAGAAAACAAAGGACUACAUGCUCACGUAUCGGAAGUCAGAUGAGUUAGAGAUCAUUGGAUAUACUGAUUCCGAUUAUACUGGAUGCAAAGAUACUAUGAAGUCAAUGUCAGGCUAUGUCUACUUGUUGGCUGGAGGUGCCAUAUCUUGGAAGAGUGCUAAACAGUCCCUAAUAGCAUCUUCCACUAUGGCUGCAGAGUUUAUAACUUGUUAUGAGGCAUCCAAUCAGGAAAUUUGGCUGCGAAAUUUCGUCACAGGAUUACGUGUAGUGGAUGGCAUUGAAAGACCACUCAAAUUAUUCUGUGACAAUAAGUCAGCAGUCUUAUAUUCCAAUAACAAUAGGAGCUCGACCAAAUCUAAACAUAUAGAUAUCAAGUUCCUGACUGUUAAAGAAAGAGUGCAGAAUGGACAAUUAUCAAUAGAGCACAUCGGGACAAACUCCAUGGUUGCGGAUCCGCUUACUAAGGGAUUGCCACCCAAAAUGUUUCAUGAGCAUACUGCUCAUAUGGGUGUCGUAUUAAAUGAUGUAUAGUUUUAGUGGGAGUUUGUUAUUUUAAAUGCUCUUAUGAUAUUUUUCAGUUAUUAAGGAUUUAAGGAUAUUUUAUGCAUAAAUAAAGUUUGGAUUUAUUUGCACUCUAAUUUUGGUAUGGUUUGAUCUCAUAAAAUUUAAGGUGGACCAGUUGGAAAUAGGCAUGUUUUGGUCACAUUACAUGAAAUUUUUCAUGCUACACAUCCACAUCAUAAUUCAUGUCAUUCAAUUGCAUUGAUAUAUGUGACCAUUGAUGGGUCGAGUUACGAAAUUGUAACAAAGGCCGCUUUGAUCCUAUAUUGGUGUAAUUGAUGGACCGAAUUGGUUGCAGAUACAUUGUGAUAAUGACAGUAAAGUUGAGCUCAUACGGUUAAUUGCAAAACAUAAUUAUAAGGUUACACAUAUAGUCCAAGUGGGAGAUUGUUGGAUCCUUAAUUCAACAUUGGACUUAUAUGUGAAUAAUUAUGUAUUGCAAACUGUCAAUUAAGGUUAAACCCAAUUAAAGUGAUCAAAUAUAGUUUGGGUUUAAUGUAUCUAAUAGGAUGUGGGCCCUUUUAUGUGUAGAAACUUAUGGGCUCCUAUUUCAAUGAUGGGCUGAAAUAGGGCUCCAAAGGUAACAGGAAUGUUACCUAUAAAUAGGGUUAUGGUCCCCAAGUCACAGGUAUCGUUUUAGUUGUAGUAUUUCCUAAUACCACAAAAUACCUCUUCCCUGAUAUCCCAUCGUCAGGAAAGAUACCAGAGAGAAACUAAAGGCCUCUCUCAAAGGAUUGGUGAAUACCUGUUGACCUGGAAGGCCACCCCAAAUAUCUAAGGGAUUCAAGGAUCAAGUUUAUCAAUAUGGAUUCAGGUACGCUUCCGCAAUUUUACAGUUAAUUUAUUUCUUAAUAAUCGCCAUAUAGAUCUUGGGUUUAAAGGUGAUGGUUUUCACCAGUGGUUAGAUUUAGAUAACCACCCUAACAGGUCAGUCAUUGUGCAAGUGAACUCACCAAAACAAACCUGCAAAAAUCACUGAAAAGAAAGAAAAAAAAAUGGCUGCCUCUUUGCAACCACUGUUCUCAGCAAUAACAUUCCUGUUGUUGAUUGCUUCUCUGAUUGGGUCCUCCGAAGCUGCCGGAAUUGUCCAAUACUGGGGCCGAGGCCAUUCAGAACCAUCAAGUUUGGCUGAGUUCUGCAGGCGAGAAUUCGCUACCGACGUGAAUAUUGCCUUUCUGGAAGAUUUUGGUAGCGGCCACAUGCCUGAAUUGAACAUAAUUCAUCCUUGGCCGAGCGCAGCAGACAUAGAAUCUUGCCAGAAUAAUCAGACCAAAGUGUUUAUUUCUCUAGCAGGACCAUCGAAUCUUUCUUGCGUCGAAGAUGCAGAAGAAGUGGCAGCCUUUAUCUAGAACACUUACUUAGGUGGUAAUUCAACCUUCCGUCCAUUCGGCACAGCUGUUUUAGAUGGCGUAGAGCUUCACAUCCACAGCGGAAACCCGAAUUACUUGGAUGUUCUUGCUCUGGCACUUAAGGGAUACUCAAACGUAAUCUUAGCUGUAGCGGGGGAAUGUCCUAUUCCUGACCUUUUUCUUGACCCAAUUAUCAGAACUGGAGUCGUUGAUCAGGUGCGGGUGGAAUUUUUCGACAACCCAUCUUGUGAGUUUCUGCCUCCAAACGAUACCAGUCUCCUCUUCCGGAGCUGGGACAAUUGGUCUGAUUAUCCAGGCGUUCAUAAAUUGUACCUGGGAAUACCAAUAAACUCUUCUAUCGCACCUGAGGGCGGUUACAUCCCACCUAAUGUGCUAGUUUAUCAAGUUCUUCCCUAUCUGCAGAACUCUCCUGUUUAUGGAGGCAUCAUGGUUUUCCCCUACUUUGGUCACAGGGUAACUUUCAAGUCCCUGCUACGGUCCUAUGCUCGUGCUGUCUGAUCAGUUCCUC
rnacentral:lncRNA from 1 species